CCAACCAAAUAAAAGGAUCAUUAUUAUUUUGAAUCAUUUCAUACAUGAAUCAAAUGAUACAAUUAACCAAACACACCCUAACAAACUAUAUCCCACAGAUACCAUGGUGGGAGCUGGUACAAAGGAAAAGGUUGAGAAAACUAACAUCAAUUAAUGAGAGCUCCGUGUAGGGAUGAGUGAACUGGAAAACGAGACGGGAAGAUAAAGUAGUAAACAUACUUAAUUACAACAGUCUGAAACGUGAGAAAAAUGUUUUUUAUGCCACAAAGGUCAGCAGCUCUCGCAAAUUAGUUGGGGUUCAUUUAAUUUGCCCAUAACCUGCACAAACAGGAGCGAGGAAGCACCAUUAGUUAGGGUUAUGAAGAAUAAUCAGGUGGUAAAUGUCGAUCCCAUGGCAGGAUGUACAAAUCGAGGCUCCAAAUCCAAUCCAAAUAGAAAAAUGAAUAUAUAUAUAUAUAUAAUUAUUUAAUCUCUAACUCACAACAAACACCUUCAGUAACAUCAGCCCAAAACCAGAAGCAGGGAAAGAGGAGUCGGAGGGGAGCAACACAACGCGGCAACUGCUACACAUCGUCGCCGUCGCGGCGCUAAGGGGCAGCAGGCGACAGCAGGAGGUGGCGCUGCACUUUGGGGCGAAGCUGAGCAAGCGAGGGUAUCUCGAGUCUUCCGAGCCUAGAUUUUUUUACCGAUUGAAUCACCGUUUCACGUGUGGGCCGCACGGUGAGGCGGAGUCCGCAACGUAGACUAGCUAUCGACGUGGGUAGCGCGGUUACGCGCCGCGUUUGUUAUAUUCUAAUGGCGUGGACUGGGACGAGGCAAUUCGGAGCUUACCUGCCCCGUCGGGUAUCUUUUUACGACUGACACGUAGCGGAGAGAGAAGAGGAAGGAUGUGUUGUGCGGUACUAAACUUUAUUCCCACGUUACAUGAACUAAACUAAAUUAAAAUAAAAAUCCUUUUACCUUCUUCCCUACCCUCCUGCUACCCCAGCACCUACUACCGCUGGAACUCCAACUACCGCUGGUUGAAGCUUCUGCCCACUGUCCGCCGCACCUAAUCUCCAUCUCCGACGACGGUGGAGCAUCGCCCGGACGUGCCCAACCUACCCGCCACAUGCGAACUCUUGCGCGGUGCAGGUAAGAUCCUUCGUGCGUCGGCGAGUAACGGAGCGAGCGGAGGAUUGGCCCGAACAGAGGAGCCUUGAAUCGGCGACGAGACGGAGGCUCGUCGAUUCGACCGCAAGGUGAGCUCAAGCGGGUGGCGUCGCGUUGAUUUGGACGCUGGGAGGCUCAACGAGGUGGCGGAGCGUCGAUUUGACCGUUGAAGGACCCCGAUGGGGUGGCGGCAGUCCUUCUCGUCGCCUCUACCCUAUGGUGGGCGAGCACCGUCGCACGUUGAAGCUCCGCCGACCUAGCUGCGGGGCAAGCGAGCUCCGACAGUGCAGCCGAGCGCCGCUGCGCAGGUGAGGGGAAGGAGCAGCGGUGGACCCGCAUAGGUAGGCAGCGACGGCGAGGGGAGGGGACCCGAUAGGUAGGCAGGGACGGCGAGGGGAGGGGAGCAGCGAUGGGUAGGCGCAAGCGGAGGAGCGGCUGCAUGGGGAGGCGAGCAAAAGGACGACGAUGGCGACGUGCGGGAGGGAGCCGGUGGGAGAGAGCGGUAAAUGAGGAGCAAGAUGUCCAGCACACCUUAGUCCAAUUUUAUGAAUUAUUAGAGGACCAAAGGGUGUAAUCCGAACUUUAAUCCACCUGAGGAGCAAGGAUGUCCCAGCACACCUUAGCCCAAUUUUAUGAAUUAUUAGAGGACCAAAGGGUGUAAUCCGAACUUUAAUCCACCUGUUUGGGGUGCUUAGAACUAAAAGUGCAAAUUUUAGUCAAAAAAUCUUUAGUCUGCGCGGAACGUUUCAUGGAGAUAAUGGUACCGGCGGGACCAAAGAACUAUCAUAUAUUUUUUCAGUAUAUAUUGUAGAAAUUACUCCGAUAAUUUAUUUUCAACUACUUCCAUAAAAAAUUAAAAAAAUGAAUGCUACUUUUUUUAAAAAAGGACAGUUUCUACGUAUUAUUGCGCACAUUUUCUGAACAAAAGAAAAUCAAAAUAUUCAUAUGCAAACCAAUUUUCUUUUCAACAUACAUGAACCACGCGAAUGUUGCUGCAAACAUCUUCCAUCUAUUUUUUCCGCAAAUGUUACAUAAGGGCAAUUUCAUAACAAAGUUACAGGCAUAUAAAAAUCAUAAAAAUACUUUAUUGUAUUAGAAAGCAUGAGCUUGCAAGAAAAAUAAAAAAAACAACUACUUUCAGAUCUUCAAAAAUAGUGGAAGGCAUAAUUUCAGAUCUUGUGCUCUUCUCAAGAUGUUUUCGAGUGAUGUCCAGACACACAACAUCCACAUCUUCCAAUCUCGCAAGAAACACCAAGCAAUAACAUGUUUGUCGCCGCAUUACUUGCUGUAGUUGUACGCGUGGGGAAGGUUAGGGUCUUGGGGGAUCCACAAAGACCGUAGCGGGACCCUACCUCCUCCUACUGGCACAUGCCUUCUCCGGCGAUGUCGAGCCGUGCGCCGCCGUGGGGAGGCUAGCGGGGGAGGGGGAGCACCUAUGGUGGAGGAUCCGAAAGUCGGUGGCCUUACCUUUCAAGGAUUGCACCGGAUCUGGGCUCCAAGCGCGUGGCGCCGCCGGCCUCCCCAGCGAGCUCCUCACUGUAGUAGCUCGACGCACGGGGAGAAAUCUUCCAUGGAGGCCGCCGGCGGCCGAGGGGAUCCUGGCGCCUCCUCCAUGGAUCAGGUGCGGCUACGUCGUUGCCGCCCGAUGGAUCCGCUGGAGCAUUGUCAUGACCCGCCUGCCCCACCGCCUCCGGCCUCCGCACCUUGGCCACCUCGCCGGAUUAGGGACUCGGUAGAAACUGAGAAAGGAAGAGAUGAGGAGAGAAACGGAGGGGAAAAUGAGGAGGAGAGAGAAUACCGGCAGUAAGGGUGCGUUUGGUUGCGAGGACGAAGUGGGACGGGACGGGACGAUCCCACUUCGUCCCGCGUUUGGUUGGAGGACAGGUGGGACGGGGACAUCCCUACGAGGGAAUAUACCCUCCAGAUGCGGGAUGCCCCCGUCCCACCAAAACGAGCGGACGGGGGCAUCCCACUUCGCCCCCGUCACGCGCCGUCUGCACCGGUGGGGCUCCGCCCCAGCCGGCGGGCGAGCCGCAGGCGGAGGGGCCGGCGCGGGCGAGCUCCGCCCCGGCGGCGGGCGAGCCGCCGGCGGAGGGGCCGGCGCGGGCGAGCUCCGCCCCGGCCGGCGGACGAGCUGCGGGCGGAGGGGCCGGCGCGGGCGAGCUCCGCCCCGGCGGCGGGCGAGCCGCCGGCGGAGGGGCCGGCGCGGGCGAGCUCCGCCCCGGCCGGCGGACGAGCUGUGGGCGGAGGGGCCGGCGCGGGCGAGCUCCGCCCCGGCCGGCGGGCGCGAGAUCCGCCACGGCCGGCACGGGCGAGCUCCGCCGCGGCCCCUGGGGCGAGCGGGGCGAGCGGCCGGCGGGGCGAGCGCCCCCGGUGCCGCGGCCGGUGCCCACGGCCUGGGCGGCAGGGAGCUCCGGCGGGGGCGGUAGGGAGCUCCAGCGGGGGCGGCACGGCUUGGGGCGGCAGGGAGCGUUGGAGAAGAUACGGGUUAGGAGAAAAAAAAAAGAAAAGACGAUGACAUGUGGGCCCAUAUAUGACAUGUGGGUCCCACUAAACACAUGCAGCUAACGGUGUUACCCGAGCCAUCCGUCCCUCGUUUUCAAUCCAUCGUACCAAACAAAAAACUGGGAUGAAUUCAUCCCUCUCAACCAAACAGCAGACGGGAUGAUCCCAUCCCAAAAAAUAGAGACGGCACCGUCCCAUCCCAUCUUGUCUCCAAACCAAACGCACCCUAAAUGGCGGAAGGUGGACACCGGCUCCUUAAUUACUUCCGUAAUCGCUUUCUCUCUCUUCGAAACGUUCGGCCGUUGAUAUUUGAUCCCACGGGGCAGGAAACCACCUCCGCGGUAAAUGCCCUCCGAAGUUGAUUUUCGCGUGGACUGGCAGCAAAUUUUCUAACAAUCCAGCCAAAGCCUGCACCUCUCGUGUGCCCGUGGUACCCCAUGGGCAGAGCGAACACGCUGCCAUCCUCGUGGUCGAGGGUUGAGGCCAGCGGCCCGCGUCGGCUCGUUGUCGAAGCUUUCACAUCCGGCCAGGCGGCCAGUGUCGUCGUGACGGGAUGCGCAGGCAGCCCGAGCCCGCUGGUUCUAUCGUGCCCGGCGUGCAUCCCGACCAGCCUUUCUCAAAACCCACAGCCACGCGGCACCUGUGAACGAGUCGUACCACUGUACUUGUAAAAAAAAUCGUACUACCAAAACUCACCACCAGACGCCAGCCCCACGGCGGCGCGCCAAUGUCAUCGCGCCAUCCGUUUGGCCAGUGCACUACACAAGAAAACGGCAGCUCUGGGCACGCGCGCGCGUCCGCCACCCCUUCUCGCCGGUCGCGGCCACGGUCAGGUUCACGCCCCAUCCGGCUCCGGCCACGGCCAGGCAGCGCGCGCGCGUGCGGCCGAUCGACCGGGCGGUCACCAUUGCCAGCCGCCCCAGGGCGCGCGCGAGUCGCGACGCGAGGACAGCGUCGCGCCACGGCCGCAUGCACGCGCGCGGCAAUCAAUGCGCGACGUCGCGGGCGCCCCCCAGAUGCAGCUGCGCGCGCGGCUACGUGAGGCCCAUCUGCUUUUGGGCGGUAACGACCCGCUGGCCAGCCCCGGCGCUGCCCUGCCGCCGAGGGAACGACGGCGAGCGCGCGCGGCUCACACGUGCUGCGCGCCGGGACCAGCCUGGGCUAGCGGACAAACCGUAGCUUUUUUCCGAUAUUUGUUACCCGGAUUCGGCGGGGUUCCGGCACUCGAUUUGGCUGUCCGACGAAAGCUCGGUUUGGGAAUUUGACCGCAGGUGUAGCCGUGUAGGGUUGGAGCCCUGCUACGCGGCGCGCUGCGGUUCCUCCGCCGGCGGCCUCUUGGAAGCUUGAUCACUUGAUCUCGCCUUCUUCCUCACGGAAAAUAUCCAGAAUCUUCGUGCGGUGCCGUGCAAUCGUGCAUGAAUGCUUGUGCGGUAGUACGACGGUGAAAUUCAUUCAGUCCUUGGAGAGCACCGGCAUACGGAGUACUCCGGCCAUAUAGGUUUGCAGUGAGAAAAAUGGUGCGCUGGUUUGCCUCGCCAAAGAAAGAACACGGCAACCUCUCGUGGCGCAUCCCCCGGAUGCAGCUUUCACCGGUAGAAAACCGACCUUGAGUCCCGGUUGAUAAACCUCAUAUCUCUCGAAAAACUAAUUGGGACUAACUAUUCGGGAUUAAAAAAAGAUUUUUUUCUUUUUACUUUCAAUUCUUUUCCAUAUUAAUGCUAAUUGUUGCUACACAUAUAUAUUACAUAUACGUAUACAUUCUUAGCGUACACUACCUCCACGUAUACGCUCGUAUACAAGUCGUAUAUAUUUUUCAUGAUAGUAUAGGCAUAAUAUUAAUUAUAACUACUAUAUAUACAAUUCUUAGUAUAUUAUACACAUCAAACUAGUAUUUAUACUAUUACUAUAUAUACAAUAAUUUGUCCUCUUCAUUCUUAGGAUCCUCCCAUUGUGGUGUUGCUCCAUUCUGCUACAGAAUGUCCAUCGUAAUAAAAUUCUCAUUUAUGAUUUAUCACCUCGUCCACCAGAAAUCCUAUGAGAGUUUCUUGGAUUGCCAAAAGCCUCUCCUUCUCCAAGAGUUUUUCUCUAAACAAUUAAAUGUAAUGAGCUAGAAAAUAAUUAAUUAUUAAUAGGUUUAUUUUACAUACAGUUAUGUUAUCCGAUAUCACCUUGUCCCUCACAAAAUGGUACAUAUGCUCGCAGACGUACUAUCCACAUAAAUUAUUCCCUUAUUCCUGUCUCAAGCACUUUAGUGGGAAAAAACAAGUUAUGAAAUAUUCGUGUUACAGAAUGUACAAAAUGUGGAAACUUUAUACGUACUAGGAACGGCGGCGCAGAGGGCCGCGAUGGAGGCGGACAGCUGUGCAGGGGCCGGGCGUCGAUGGACGGCUUGUAGAAGACCCGACGCCGGGGAGGGGGCCGGACGAUGGUGGAUGGCGGCGGCGCUGCUGCAGUGGUGCCGGUGUCCGGGUGCUCAGCGCACGACACCGUGCGGUGGGGGAGAAGCCGGCAGGCCGGGGGAGGAAGAGGGAGCCCGACUGGGAGGGCGCCACACCGCGGAGUCGGCUGUGGAGGCGAAGGGGCGGCCGGCGGAGGAGGAGAAUGGGGCGUCGGGGCGUCGAUGGGUGCGCCGUGGAGGAGCUGCCGGCCGGCGGCGUGACGGCUAGGGGGACGAUGAUGAUGCAACGGCCGGGGGGGACAAUGACGACGCAUGGUGAGGUAGCGGCGGGCCGACUAGGCGAGUGGGGGCCGCGUCGCGGCUGUGGAGGAGAAUGGGCGGCGCAGGGAAUGUCGGCGCUGAAUGUCGAUGGGGAGGCGCGGCGGCGGCAGUCGAGGAGGAGAACGGGUGGCGCGAAGAUGUGGGGCAGCGGCGUACGCGGCGGAGCACGAGAGGUGGCGGAUCGGGGGAGUGAAAUGAGGAGGAAGAAGGAGGCGGAGAAGAGGUAGUUGUGUCGCCCCCCCCCCCCCCGCCCCGGGUGUCCUUUGCAACCGAGACUAGGGGGCUUUUCGUUUCAUGCUGGUUUUGUAGUUUUAAUUUAUAUAUGUUUUAAGUUGUUUUGUACUGGUGUUGUUAAAGAAAAAUAAAAAAUUACAUAUUUUGAACAUGCAAAGAUAUAUUAAAUUAGCAAUUAUAUUUAAAAUAAGUUUGAAUUAGUUAUUAAUUCUAUACUAGUUAAAUAAUAAGUUUCUAAAAUAAUUAUUUUAAUGCAUCGAUUGAUCAACAAACUCUUCAAUUAAAUUAUUUCAACGCGCAAAAAUGCAAUUGAUAUAUGUGGUUAAGUUAACAUUGUUUAUAUUUUUCGAAAAAAAGGUUCACCAUAAAAUAUUACGAUAUAAUUAAAAGGUUCUGAUGGCUAUAGAGCAUUACAUAAAGGUGCACCAUAUUUAGUGCAUUACAAUGUAACGUUAGAAAACUUCUAUUACUUGGUCAUGAUCGCGGUGUAAGUAUGGAGCCUCUUGUUUGGCUAGCAUGAUGCUUGGAUCAACUUCGACAGUGAAUGGAGGCAUGCUAUCAAACUGAUCAUAAUCAUCUAACUGGUCAGUUUUGUCCUUGACUCCCACGAUUUUUCUUUUACCUGGAAGAACUAUGUGGCGAUUUGGCUCCCAUGGAUGUGGCGAUUUGGCUCACAUGAUUUUUCUUUAUCUUCUGAAUUUUUCUUAGGUUCGCUAGACAUGUCCUUCACAUAGAAAACAUGAUGCACAUCGUAAGAAAGGACGAAUGGUUAGGCCGGGUCCAUUAUUGUUAUUCCAUACUGAUCUUUUGUUACGCCACCUCCAACUAGCUUCACCCAUUGGUAAUGAAAUAGAGGGAUGUUCAGCGGUCCGUAUUCGAGUUCUUAGAUCUCCUCUAUGAAACCUUAAUACAAGUCCUUGCUCUUGUUGUUGUCUAUGUCAUCUAUAUGGACACCACUAUUUUGAUUAGUGCUUUUUUUUAUCUUGGGCUCUCGUGUAAAAUGUAUAACAUUUAUCUCGUAACCUUGUAACUUCACGAUUGUGCUAGAAGAUCCCCUUGCUAACCAAGCGAGUUGUUUGUAAAUCACGGAGUUACCCGAAAGGUGUUGAUGCAACUAAGAGGGAAAAGUAUCCAUGUGAUGACGUAUAACUAAGGCAUCGAAUUUUGUCGGGUAUUGGAAAAAUAGAAUCUGUUUGUGUUCCUCGAUAUACGAAGCCACAAAUGAUGAUUAUUUCAGAACCGUGAAGUGUGCUUUAUGGAACAAAUCACUAUCAUUACUUAAACUUGAUUUUCUUCCAAGGGUGCCCGUUCCCCAUAACAUCCCCUCGUGGCGUGAUGUUGGAACCCCAAUUGAAUACAAAACUCAAUGAUCUUCUUUGUUCCAUAUCCCUUGGCGAUGCCUCCUUCUGUACAGACACGAUUAAGAACAUAGUUUUUUAGACUAACAUGAACCUCUCGAAAGGCCACAUAUUGUGCAGAAAUACUGGACCAAGAAUAGUACUCUUUGACUAGGUGAUCAAGGAGGUGCGUCAUAAUAUUGAAGAAGGAUGGUGGAAAUACCAAUUUAAAACUGAUAAGACAUUGUACCAUAUCGUUCUGUAGCUUUAGUAGCUUGGUUGGAUUGAUUGCCUUCAGCGAAAUCGCAUUGAGAAACGUGCAUAGCUUUACCAGUGUUAAUUGUACAUUCUCUAGUAGAAUACCACUCAUUGCAACCGGAAGCAACUAGGUCAUCAAAAUAUGACAGUCAUGGGCCUUUAGAUUUAUGAACUUCUUUUUUUCAUAUUAUUAUUCUCUUUGUAUUCGAGGAGUACCCAGACAGAACCUUGAUACUAUUCAUGCAGUCAAACAUGCUAUCCUUAUCUUCCCUACUGAGAGGGUAACUGGUAGGAUGUAAGUAGUGCCGUUCUUUAUCUCUGUUUUCCAGAUGUAGAUCAUCUCGUUGAUUUAUACAUUUCAGGUCCUAUCAUGCUUCCAAUGUAUCUUUUGAGUUCCCACAAAGCCUAGCACGUUCAUGCAAAGAUUCUUCAUCAGGUGUAUCAUGUCUAUUGCAUCGUGGACCUCUAGGAUUUCCCAACAAGAUAGCUCCCGAAAUAUAGACUUUUUCUUCCACAUGGGUGCACGUCCGUUAUUGUCGUUCGGAACAGGUUCGCUACCAAGACCCAUUUCAUUACCAUGUGCAGGUCUUUUACGAUGGUCUAAUGCCCCUUUGAAAUGCAUCCCUUUUCUUUCUUAACUGGUGGUUAGCAGGAAGAAAUCGAUAAUAACCCAUAUAAACGAUCUUCCUAAAGUGUUUCAAAUACAUAUUGUCUAUGUCUUCUAAACAGUGGGUGCAUGCCCGAUAUCUCUUAUUUAUCUGUCCUGAAAGUUUCGUCAACGUAGGCCAAUCAUUAAUGAUUAUGAACAAUAAUACUCGUAGGUGAAAACUCUCCUGUUUAUUCUCAUCCCACACAUGUACACCUUCUUCCUUCCAGAGCAUAAAGGUUCAUCAACCAACGGAUUUAAGUACACGUUAAUGUCGUUGCCAGGUUAUUUUGGGCCUUGGAUAAGUACCGGCAUUAUAAUGAAUUUCCGCUUCAUGUACAACCAAGGAGGAAGGUUGAACAUACAUAGGGUCACAUACCAACUAUUAUGACCACUACUCAACUCACCGAAUGGAUUGAAUCCAUCAGUAAUUAAACCAAACCUUAUGUUCCUUGCAUCACUUUUAAAGUCCGGGAUUGCUCUAUCAAUUGAUCUCCACUGGGCCCCAUCCGCGGGGUGUCUCAACAUCUCAUCUUGCUUACGUUAUUUUUUGUACCAUCACAUCAAUUUAGCAUUCGCCUUAUUUCUGAACAAACAUUUCAAACGUGGUAUUAUAGGGAAAUACCACAUCAUCUUUGCGGGAACUCUCUUCUUGGAAGGAUACCCCUCAACAUCAUCAGGAUCAUCUUGUCUGAUCUUAUACCGCAGUGCUCUGCACACAGGAUAAGUAUCCAAUUUCUCGUAUUCAUCACCACGAUAGAGGAUACAAUCUCUAGGGCAUGCGUGUAUCUUCUGAACCUCCACUCCCAGAGGGCAAACAACCUGUUUAGCUUCAUAUGUUGUGGACGGCAAUUCAUUAUUCCCGGAAAGUAUGUUCUUUACAAUUUUCAAUAUCCCUUGAAAUACCUUAUCGGACACACCAUUUUUUACCAUCCAUUGCAGCAUUUCCAGUGUGGUUCCUAGUUUUUUAUACCCCUGCUUGCAAUAUGUGUAUAAUAAUUUUUUAUGAUCAUCUAUCAUGCGCUGCAACUUUUUUGAUUCCUUCUCAAUUUCGUAGUCUUUUUGCGCAUCCCGUAGCACCUGACUAAGAUCAUCAAUAGGUCCGUCUUCUGCAAACUUUUAUUCAUCAGUCUCGUCCAUUGUAGUAUCUGCAAAAUCUUAGCUUGCAGCCCAGUCCGGAAUGUUGUUAUCAUCCUCCUCUUCUUCGCUAUCUUCCAUUAUAACCCCUCUUUCACCAUGCUUGGUCCAAACCAAAUAGUUAGGCAUGAAACCAUAUCUAAACAAGUGGCUGUGAAGAGUCCCCCAGGAAGAGUAGUCCUUCUUGUUACUGCAUUGGAAGCAUGGACAACAUAUGAAUCCCUUCUCUAGCUUGUUGACUUUUGCUACUUCGAGAAAAUAAUGCAAGCCAUCAAUGAACUUCUUGGUCCGUCUAUCUGCAUUGUACAUCCAUUGCCCGUCCAUCUGCAUUGUAUUACAUGAAAAAUGGACAUAGGUCUUCGUAUCAGAUAAAAAAAUUUGAUCAAUAUUAAUAAUUUACACCAAUCAACCUUCAUAAAGAUAAAAAAUAAUUUACAUGAAAAUUACACCAAUCAACCUUCAUAUCAUUCACUAGGUCAACAAAAAUAAAAUUGGUAAAAUUCUGGAAUAAGACAAUAAAGAUAUAUAUAUUACAUACGCUCUAUAGUGGACUUCAUAUAGUCAAUAAUCCUAAAAUAAUGGUACAACAUAGCAGAAUGUUGGCUCUUCAAACCAUCUCUGCACAUGACUCAAUCUUCUACGAAGUGUAUGGAGAGUCACCUCCACUCCUCCAGUACCAGAAAAUAAUGGUACAACAGAAGAUCUUCGAAUCCAUGUACUCGGAUUGGAUAUCAUAAAAGAAUCUUGAAAUAAUUAUCCAAACGUCUUUUGAAGUGCCACAUUUUCAUAAUAGAAGUAUGAUGGCACACAAUAGCCUGUCAAGGUAAAAGAUUUGUUCACUAAGCAUGGCCCAUUUUAGCAAAUCAAAACUAACUAAAAUUCGAUAGGUCAAGGUCAGUGAACAGUGUCUACCUAAACAGGCUCUUGGGCCACUAUACUUCUAUUAUAAGAAUGUGGCUCCAAAAGUUAUUUGAAAAACUAUUUUAAGAUUCUUUUAUGAUAUUCAGCCUGAGUUUGUGGACUCGAAAUUCUUCUGUUCUACCAUUAUUUUUGGAUUUUUAACUUCGUGAAGUUCACUAUAGAGCGUCUGUAGUCUUUAGUGUAUCUUUGUUGCCCUGUUCCACAAUUGUAGCAUUAAGUUGACCAGUGUAAUUUUCAUGUCACUCUAAUUUAACGUGCAAACUAUCCAGAAAAUUGUAACAAUGACCAAAUUCUAUUUCUUACGCUUACAAUUUAUUUACCUUAAUUUUAUUUCUUACACCUGCAAUUUAUUUGACUAAAUAUUAAAAAUACAUUUACAUUAUUUUUCCCCAUACCUAAUAUUGAUCAGGAUAUUUAUCUAAUACGAAUCAUAUAUAACAAGAAAGCUAUCCAUCAAAUUUUAAUUCAAAAACAUGUAUAAAUAAAAAAUCCUCACCAUUCUUCCUCAUUCUAAAACUCAUUUUUCUCUAUCUCUAAAGCAUAAAACAAAAUAUAAUAACAAUAAAUGAAGGGAGGAUGAAGUAACUAACUUUUACAACACUUUAGAUGAGUGAAAUCCCCAUAAAAAUGAGGAAAAACAUUGGGUAGCACCUCCCUAAGCUUGCUUGCUAACCAUGGAGAAGGAGCCGGAAGCUCGGUCUGAGUGGCUCGGGCUCAAGGAGGAAGAAGCUGAAUUUUAAAGGCGAGGCAUUUAGUCCCGGUUGAAAACACCAACCGUGACUAAAGCUCCUUACCAGGACUAAAUGGGGACCUUUAGUCACGGUUAGUGUUUUUAACUGGGACUAAAAGCUCCACCUGAUUCCCUCAUUCCACUAGCUGUUGCAAUCGGGGCUAAAGAGGUCUCUAGCUCAUCGGUGGCCGUUUGACUGGGAUUAAAAACCUUCUUAUCUCGAGUUCAAAAUCGACCGGAACUUAAAAACGCUGGAUGGAAAUUCUCUAAUUAGUGCUUCGUUUCCCUCAGGCCGCCCGGGGAGCUUGAACGAUCAGCCGACGAGAGUACUCGAGUUCGUUUAGGAGUCCUCAAACUCGGUUACUGCUGAAAACGAGGCCUGAUCAGCGAUCACGUGGUGACGCACGCGUGAGACGGAGACGGACCCCAGCCAGCAACAGCAGGCCGACCUACUACCAACCAGUGACCCGGUUCACGUUACUCAUUGACUAGCAUCUACUCCUACCUGUACCAUAUCAGCUGGCGUGGCCGCCGUCGCAUCCACAUCCGCGCCGAGAUAUUUCCCCGGCCGGGGCGGUGGCCAUGUCAAGCCUCGCCACUUGGGGCCACGCCAUCGGUGUCGCUUGCAAGUCAACAUACGGCCGUGCCGUCGGGGACACUUGUCCGGCCAGAACCGCCCGGCUCCGCAUUGUUUAUGCGCCCGUCACACGUGAAAGCGCGCUCCGGCGAGCGGGAACUCGCCGGGAUCGCGCCACCUGUUGGCUACAGUUCGCCGGCAGGCAGCCUCUCGCCGAGGCAACGCUGCUCCAGUGCAAUCAUGCAACUGUUCAUACCUGACGCGCUGUUGGGUCGCAAUUAUUGGCCAGUGGAAAUUCUAGGCCCGCUGUUGCUUUUUUCGGAAGGUUCUCAGCUUCUGAAUUCUGAUGCUCGGCGAACAGAACCAACAAGUGGAAAAGGCUCUGGGAUGAAGCGACUAAUAACCGCAAGAGGAAAGGAUGCGAUGUCAUCCGCAAUCAUCUCCAGCGAAAAAGCUCUGGAGAAAAAGGCUCUUGUAGCACGCGCGGAUCACUACUUUAUCUGCGCUUUUAGCGAGGGUUUUGGCAAAGCAACGUGGGGGUAUCAGGCGUGUAUCUUUGCUAGCUCUGUUUGCCCUAGAUGGCGUAGUACUUUGUAGCAGACACUCUUGCGUGUGCUGUUAGCACUGUUCACUGGCAUGCCAAUCUCUGCAAAACUUUCAGCGUAAUCCACAGGACAGAUCAAGCUUUACGGGGUCUUACCCAUUUCCGGUAUGAGCUAGAAAGACAAUACACAAAUACAGGGUGACCACAGAGUUCAGAAAGAAAAUGUCAUUGACUGAAGUAGUAUACCAAAGAUCACGUGUCGAAUAGCUUGUGAGAAAUGUGCUCGAGUGUCUUGCUCUGUUAGUUGCUCAUGCUUUUUCUCUAGAUCAUGAGGCCGAAACUUUGUUUUCAAGCUAAGGGUGCAGGCGAUGCUUAUCCAGAAGAGGGGAAGGCUGCCUGAGCACUCAAGCGGCACCGGCGCCUUUCCCCUUUCGGCACGAAAAUGACACACACGUUGAUGUCAACCGCGCGCGGACAAUCUGGGUGCCCAUGCUCAGAUUCCUAACGCUUCUUCCACAUUGCAACAAAAAGCCUCCUCCACAAAUCUUGCUUGGACAGUGGACACGAGCUAGUGUGUAAGCACAGCAUCUGCCGCAGAUACGCAUGGGAUCGGAAGCACAUCAGCAGCGCAUGUGUGAAGAUUUGCUGAAAAUGAAGUGAAAACACAUACUGUUUGGCCUGAAGAAUCCAUGGACCAAAAAACUGGCCACCACACUAGCUGUGCAAAUAAACAAAUGGCAGGAUUACCUCAUCAGAACCAAAGAGGAUUAGAAUCCACUUGCAAUUGAGACCAAGCUUAAUCCAUGACCAAGAGAGGUUAAGUGUAGCUCCAUCAGGAGGCUUUGCUUUAAGCUUUGAUGUUUAGUAAGACCACCAAAACACUCCAAAUGUGUAGCGAUCUGGACCUAACUAUACUAUGAUGAGCGGUGGCAGCCGCUCUUAUUUAAUCUGAUCCAGUGCGUUAAAAUAAGUGCGUGGUGUUUUAUGUCACGCCGUGAUCCAAUCCAACGCUGGAGUUAGUUAUGUCGUGACGUCCGGUAGGCCUGCAACGCAGAGACUAAAAUAUCAGGGUUCCUCAUACAGCAUCAGUGUGUUAUGCACACACAAUUGAAACAGUCGUUAUCUAUGAUAAUUCAAACUUGAAAACCACAAGUUAGAACACGCCACCACUUUCUCUUCCAAAUGGAUAACGAAUCCUCCAUUUCAAUGAGGUAUUUUGGAGUGAAUUCAGCCUGAACCUUGUCUCGACGUCUGCUGUUCCAAAAUUCUCAGAGUGAAGGACCAAAAGGGAAAACGUAGACGAAAUGUCCGCCUGCCUUGACACUCCGGUCAAGCCUUUCUUUCUCCCUUUACACGAGAGUUUCAACAUGUACGAUCAGAUGAUGAUAUUCGCAGCCGGGGGACCGACAUCUGUUAUUCUAUUCCGGACAGGCGACACAGCCAUACAGGUGUCUCGAUACAUUAUUUCAGAGCAAGGAACCCCCCGGUAGUUCACGUGAUAAUCCUCUCCCCAUCGGCCAUCGUUCCGUGCAGGCCGGGGGGAUCACAGGUUCGUCUCGCUCUCGCAGGCACCAGUAGGAGAGAGUCCCCGGCUCGGGAGCCGCAGCCAAUCCAGCCAUGACUCACCAUGAGAUCUUUUCUCCGCGGGUUCCGUGCAGGCUGACCAGCUGUGCGCUUCAUAAUUGAGAGGGCCAGAUUGCAUUCGCAUCAGCGCAAAACCUUGCCCCUUUAAAUAGACACAGGUCAUCUCAGUCUCAACCCUGUAGGCUUCUCUCCUCUCCUCUCUCUCCUCUCUCUGCCUCUCUGACUUCUUCCUCCGGGAGUCCAGCUCACCAGGAGGAAGAAGUUCCAUUGCCUUCUUCGCUCAUCUGCCUGCGUCCACACUCGAACAGUUGAGUCGUUCUUCCCCUCCCAAAUCCCCAUUGUUUUAUCUCCUGGCGUUCUAGAACCGUAAGUACCUGCGCUCGGCGGCAAGAAGCAGCAAGCGCGGGGUGACGUUCCCCGCGUCGUCAAAGGAUUAGGUGGCUCCUCGUUUUCCCCUGGAUUUCGCAGCUCGAUUUCACGAUCUUUGGGAUAGCCUUUUUCAAUGUAUUUUAUCAUUUCAAUAUGGCGGCAGAGGCAUUGCUCGAUCGAUCGCGUACCGGUAGCACUAGCUAGCGCAGGCAUCCCCUGGUGUUUUCUUUUGAGUUUUUUUUUGGGUUUCCGAUGGCACAACUUGCCGCCGAUACACAAAAAAACAACGCCUUUUCGGGGCGAAAAGUAUGCCAAUUUGGCCGUACGUUACGCCAAGUUGCACUCCUGUUCCGAUGUUGAUUACUGGUCCCCCCCUGCGAACGUUUUAAAGGAUAAGAGUUGCUUCGUCUCGCUCACUGGUGUUCGUCGUGGUUUAUUUCUUCGGUUGUGCGCGCGUGCAGAGACUGCAGAGACGGGGAGCGGAGGUAGUAGUGGUGGCGGUGGCCCUUGCUGGGUGGAGGUGGAGGCUUCGAUUCGGGCGGUGGCUCGUGGCCUGACGAAUCCCGGAAAGGCCGCCGGAAAGGGGAGGACAAAGGUGGGAGAGCUUUUAUUGGUUUCUUUCCUGUUCUUGUUCGAUGGUGCUCUCUCUGAUUGGUUUGUGCUCGCGUACAAGUUACAAUCUUCCGCAGUAUCCUUUCUGCCCGAACAUUUCUUUCAAAAAUAUCCCUUUUACUGCAAGAGUUUCCACGAUCCUCGUUUCCGUUUCUGCCGUAGAUUCUUAGUGCAGUUAAUUUCUUUCAUCUUCUUGAAUCCGCGAUGUGGUUUGUUGAAUUGUUGUUGAGUUGCUGAUGUCGUUUUUGUUGCUGGUCGUGAAUUCGCGACGCUCGCAGGUAAACAGGCCGCUGUGAAGCCAUGGGGUGCGGGGCGUCGAGCCAGAAGGACGCCGCCGGCGGGCCCCGGAGACGGCCGGGGAGCGUCGGCGACGUGGUCGUGUUCCUCCCGGGCCUCCGGGUGCCGAGGAGCGUCGACCUCGCCCAGGCGCUCGGCGGGCGCCUGGACAGGAGCAUUGUGGAGCGGCUGUCGGCUCUGAGAGCGCGCGUCGUCGAGAUGGCAAUGCAAGAGUCGGCGGUGGCGCUGAAGCCAAGGCGGAGGGCGGCGGCACGGCACGGUGUGUAGGGGAGGGGGUGGUGGUACAGCGCCUGAAUUGGUAGCUAGUUUUGUCUGCAAGCGGAGAAGACUUCACAGAGCUGACCUGGGUUUGCUUCCCUGCAGGAUCUAGUACAGCCAAUCUCCUACAGGCUCUUGAAGAAUACUUGCCCGUUCUGCUAGGAUUGGUAAAAGAAGGUGAGGAACUGCUGCAGUAAUCUGGUGGUCUGUUCGUGUUUCAGUUCACAAUUUCAUUUUGGUGUUCUGAUUCAUCCAGCAUGCAAAAUGUGCAGGUAGUAUGUUGAGGCACGCCGUGCAAUUCACUUGGACUAACCAAGAGGAUAAUGCUGAGGUAUGUCCAGCCCUGAAUAUCGCGAACUCAUUGCUGUUUUGUUGCUCCUAAGCUGUAUGUUAAAUCAACUUUCCAUAUAUCAGGAGACGGCCAUGGCAGAUGCCUGGUACGAGGUGCUGUCCGUGCUGCAUUUGAUGGCCAUGGUCUGCUUGCUGCAGGCCAACACCCUGCUUCUCCCCAGGUCAUACGGCGAUGGCUAUGCACCAAGAGUUUCUGAAGGUGCUACAACUGUGAACUGUACAUCCGAAGUGUCCUUGUCCUAGAGACUGUUGUUCCAAGUUUGUGCUUUUAAACUAGGUUCAUAGAAAAUAUAACGACCUGUUGUGCAUUGAAGUAUUUCCAUCUAUAGUGUUCAUGUGCUGAUAUGGCGACAAAUUUCCAAUGUGCUACAGAGAGCAGAAGGGUCACUGUUGAUGUUUUCUUGAAGGCAGCUGGAUACUUAGACUGCGCAAUUCGGCAUGUACUUCCACAGAUUCCACCGGAACUAAGGUUCUGUACACCUUGGGUAGCUUUCUGGUAGUGUUAGGCUUCCAUUCGAAUUUUAAAACAUCUGCUGAAACAUUCCCCUUCAAUAUAUGGAUCACAGGAGGCAACUUCCAGUAGACCUCGUUGAAGGAAAUCUCAAAGCUUUAAGCCUGCAAGCUCUGGGUCAGGUAGUGUCUUCUCAACUUGGAAAAUUGGAUUUUUUUUUGAACAACUUCUUAAAUGGUUCCACAAUAUAAAUCUACAGUCCAUUUAAAAAAUAUUUCCGAUGAGAAUACUGGACAUAUGCUUAGAAAGAAAAGAAAAGAAAAGAAAAGAGCACAGAAGAUAUUAUGCCUGCAUGUGAUUUUGAACGAUAUAUUUCCUAUUACUGCUGAAGCAGCAUGUAUUGAAUAGCACAAUUUUAUACUUCUUAAGUUGCAAUUUGUUGCUGGGAACAGCCUAAGAAACCUAGUACUAGCAUUCUAUUUAUCAUGGUUUAUCAAAUCUACACUUUGACAUGUCUGAUACAUUAGUCCUAUUAUUAUCUGUACUCUUGCUAGCCAAUACAUUUGAUAUUAGAUAUUUCAUUUUUUUUUCCUGAACAUUGGUUUCUUUCUACAGGGGGUGGACAUGCAGCUUGGUUUGGCUAUCGAUAGUCCAAAGGCCACUUUAGCAGUAAAACGGCGCUUAGCCUGUGAAAUGAUCAAGUAUUGGCAACAUGUUCAGGAAAGCAUUCCAGAUCUUCCUGGCUCUGAUGGAUGGGGGAAAAAGCACCGGCUGUUUGUCAAGUGGAAAUAUGUUGAAGCAAAGGUAUAUAUCUCGUCUCAAACUCUCAAUCAAAGAGACUAAAUUUCAUCAGAUUACAUAGCUUUUGAUCUCUAAUGUAUGAUAUUUGAAGCAUCCAUACUGUCUGACAUCUAUUUACAUGUUUAUCUCAGCUGCAGCAUACUAUUUUCAUGGUUUGAUUCUUGAUGAGGGAAAUACAGAGAAAUCCCAUGGAAUGGCAAUAGCCGCACUUCAAGCUUCAGAAGAAUUUCUGAAAGAAAGCAAAAGGGUUUCGGAAGCCUUCCAUGCAACUCCUCCAACAUCGAGGUAGAGCAUUGCGCCUGCACCCCCCCCCCCCCCCCCAACACACACACACUGACACACACACACUUCACUCCUCACCAUAUUUUGUUUUUUUUAUUUUAAAAAUUUCACAUUUGCCAAGAUAAGGGUGCUCGAUAAUCUGUUUGAGGAACAGCUGUUGCUGUGAUUUGUAAUAACUAAUAACACAUUCAUAGUAAGGGAGACUGAAGUUCAUACCUGUACUUUGCAGGAGCCCUACUCCAUUCGGAACAGCAAAAUAUAUGUUUGACAAGAUCCCAAAAGAUGCUUCAAGCAAGGUCCGAAUCAACCAGGACCUGUAUACCCAAGAAAAGUAAGAACCAUCAGCACUGAAACAUACUGGAAUUGCGAAUCCCAUGUACUAAUGUGUCAUUAUGGGGAAUUUGCAGGGUCAUAGGAACUCCGCCUCCCUUACCAGAUUUUGCAUUGGCGCUAACACCUGAAGACUAUGAUCUUCCUCCAUUAGAUCCACUUUGGAACAAAGAAGACAGACGUCAUUAGGUGUAUAUGCAACAGAAUGGUUUCUUCAGACGAAAAGCUUGGCGUUAGAGAGAAACAAGAAGCACCAAGAUCUGCCAUGCGAAAGCUGAGCAUGGUAAAAGUGUACAAAGUAUGUUUGAACCAAAUUUCGUAUCAAAAAAAAAUCCAACCAAUUGUUAGGAAGGCCUGAAGAUAAUCUGAAGAGCAUUGUACAGGCGAUUUUUCUUCUGAUAAGGGAAAUGCUUUGUCAAAGGGUUCAUUUAACAUUCUUGAUCCUGAUUCCUGAUGUUCCUGAUGCUUGCAUUUUCUCGACAAGGGCAUAGCUUUGGGCCCGUUCUGAUUUAUGUGUGGUCCCUCAAUAGCUUUGCCAGAUUCAAUGAUAUUUCAAGAACUGUAACCUUCAGAGUUUCAUAAUUUGAUUGGGAACCAGCCUGGGACCAAAAGUGGCAGCUUUCAACUUGUAUUUCAUAAUGUCUGUCAUAAACGUUUGCAUUGGCAUCUUAAAACGUGCCUUGGAACAAUCAGUUCCAAUCAAGCAAAUUUACAUGAUAUGAGCAAGAUUGUCACAUAAUCAGGGUGCCCCAAAGAGUUACCCCUUUCCUAUCAUUUAGGGAACGAAAAUGUCAACAAAUCAUGAUUUUUCAUAUGAAAAAAAAGAUAUCUCAUAUGAUCUAUUCAUGCCAUCUAUGAGAUGUAAUCUACUGCUAGAUAGUAUGACCCGACUAAUACAAAUGAUGCAAUCCCACUAUGGGCCAUUCGUAGUCCGAUGCCACGGAACAGAACAUUCCUAUCAGCAGGAGAUAUCCCUGUCUUUCUCUCUAUCCACGUUCCUGGUGCUUUCCACUUAAGAAACUUCCUCUCCAUUGCGAUAUACUGAAAAAAAAAGGAAAAAUAGGUACAAGGAGAUAACAUAAACAAGGUGUAUCACAAAUAGGAAAGAAUGCAACGUCCAAUUUGGAGGCAAUUACACACACAAAAGGAGGAUAGACUAUACAAAGCACGGACAGCCUGUACCUUAGGCACAACCGUACAUUCUGAACGACUUUUUGCAGUAUCAAACGUAUGUGAAGCAGCAGCUGCAACUGCUCCUGCAAAGCCUGCAGCAACACUAGAAGCAAAAGGGUGUACAGGGCCUGCGUCUUCUAUAUUCCUGAGAAGAGACGGAAGGUUAGAUACUUAGAUAGACUAAAAUGCCAGGGCAUAAAUAUGGUUACCAUGCUAUCCCUAUCUUUACUACAAAUCAAAUAUGCUAACAUGAUUCCAUUACCUAGGUUCAGGUUUCAUAUUAACUGCCUUCCAAGUGAGCAUCGCUGUGUGUAUGAUUUGCCAAGUUGAAAAGAACAUACCACCAAAGACACAGUCUCGAGCUAUCCCUGGUCUAAGCCCUCUCCACAGUGCACCCCAUCCUUCAAGUGAUAUCACUCUAGAAGGUAGCUGCACAGCAGAUGGUAAUGGGGGCUUCCCAGAGCCGGUAAGCAUCCACGGGUGCUGCUUCAGGGCACCCAACAUGUCGGGAUGCUUUGGAGAAAGAUCAGAUAACAGACUCACGGUGCUGCUCCACACCCUCAUGUCAGGAACAUAUCCAGGCAACAGUUUGGAAAGUAGUGGAAACGAUUCUUGUGCAACAUUUGCAGGGCCCAUUGCUCUUGAAGGUAUCACAGAACUAACUUGGUUUCGGAGUUUGAAGAGUUCAAAUGGUGUGCAGAAAACAGCCUCUACAGCACCAGCAGCUAUGCCAGCCAACAUAGCCUCAGAAUAAUAGACAUAGUUGUCCUCCCUUCCAUCUGCCAAUACAUAUACAAGAUGAUAAACAUUCACUAAAUUUCACCACAAGUUGGACAUGGAAAAUUAAACAGGUUAAGCGGUGCUAGUAAAUCAUACGUAGAUUAGGUCAUCAGAAGAUAUAUCGAAUUAUCAAGAAAGGGGUGCAAUUUAAAAACAAACCGACGGUGGUAAUAACAAAACAAAAGAAAAAGCAAUGUAACACAAUGCUUGAGAGAUAGACCGGCAAUAUAAAUAUUGAUAACAAAGUGAACAUAGAGCAAAUUGUCAUAAACAGUGAAUUGUGGGAGAACAUUCUUUACCUUUAUAGAAGGCUGUUAAAAAUUCAUAGGUCCCAAAGCGUGCUCCCAACCCAGGAAGUUUUCCCAUUAUGGACCAACCGAUGCCACUAUAAAACCCUAAAAGGCAUACAAUGACUUAUAAGAUAAUGGAAUUAAUUUCAUACAUGUUAAGUAACACAUAACUAGACAUGAAGCCAUCCGACAUGAACUGGAAAAGUUUAUAUAAAAAUCAGGAUUCAUAUGGCUUUCUACUACAAUUUUCAUUGAAGAAAGUUUUUAAUGGAACAGGCACCCAACGAAACUUGGGGAAAAUUUUGGUUGUGCAUAAAGUGCUGACUCAAAGUUAGGACUUUAGAUCUUCUAACAAUUGGAUUCAUAGUUUCACACAGAAUCCAGCAUAACUAUAUUUAUGUGAGGUCAUUCAUUCUUUCUUUAGAAUUGGUAGCUCUGUCACGUAGGCUCAACAAUCAACCGAUUAAAUCAUGAGACGAUUCUGGCCCUAGUAUAACAUGGAAGCUCAACAUAAUCAGCAUACCAGCCUGCCAAUUUCAACAGUUCACACAUCUCGGUAGCAAUGCAGAUCAGGAUGAAGCACAAGUACUCCAAUCGCAAUACACAGUCCCACUACCAAAGAUAUCUAGCAACUAAGCAGCCAACCCCCAAUCGAACCUGCAGGGCCGGAGGCGGCCAUGAGCCGGUCCACCACCUGGCGGAGCCCCAUCUUCUGCUUCUUCCCCGCCGCGCCCAGCUGCAGAGGCAAGAAAACACCGCGCAGAUGCCAAAUCAGACCUUGAGAAAGCACCGGUACAGCAACACAAGGAGGGGAGGUGGGUGGGCGCGCUCGCCUGGAUGAGGGUCUUGACCGUGUCGAGGGGGUGCACGGCGACGGUGGAGGCGCUGAUCGCCGCCGCGCCGGCGGCCGCGUGGCCCGCGAACACGCUGUCCCCCAGCGGCUUGCCGCCUCCCACCAUCGCGGCGGCCUGGAAGGCUCCUCCCGGAAAUGGCGAAAAGCGGCGACGCGGAGGUUUAGGGGAACAACGGUGUGAGUGGUCUGAGGCCGCGGGUGACUGAAUGGGGCCCAGUCACAAAAGGCAGCCCAUCUCGUUCAUGGGCGGAAUGGCAGCUGGCCCAUUGAGUUCCUGGCCCUGUCCCUCCCCAUGACCCGAAUCUUCGCACGAUCGGACCGUGGGGCGCGCCGACGCGAGUCGAACUCGGGUCCAAGUUUUCUUCCGGCUUGGUGGUGCCGCCGGCUCGACUUGACCAACGCUCCCAGGUUCCAACUGACGCCGCCUCCCGGUCGCUCUCGCUGCCAUUGGCCAUUGCUGGGGUAGAGACCAGGUUGGCCGCCCCCUGCUCCCGCUCCCUCUGCGUAUCUCCAUGGGCCAAGGCCAGAGUCAGUCCGCCCCUCCGGCGGAGGAGCCUUCUCCGCCCGCCGUGGAGCCGUCCUCGCCGUCUCCUGCUCCUGCCCCGGCGUCCUCCUCCCUCGAGGCGCUCGCCGCAGGUAUGAUAUACAUCCGAAGCCCCGAAUCUCAUGUGUCUAUGGCGUUUGCCUCCUCCGUAUACCGUGCUAGUUGAGUUGCAGUUGCGCUGGGUCUUCGCGUUCCUUGGAUUUGUUGGAGCAUUGGUUGAAGUGGGGAGCUCUUGGCUGGUAGCAGACUAGCAGUCGAAUUUGAUGGAAUUUUUGGGUAGCCAGUGACGGGUAGGAUUCUGGUACGAAAGUAGCAGGAUGAGAUCUUUCGUCAGUUCGUGUGAUAUUUUAGUAUGCGAUAAUGUAGACUUUUUACAGAUCACGAUCUCUUAGGCUCGUACCAAAUAAUAUUAGUAUUCAUUCAUGCUGGAAUUAUGCUAAUAUAAACUGUUAUUUAAUGUCAAUGAUGCGGUAAGCUAAAUAAGCAGGGGCCUGAAGCCUGACCCUUACUCUUGAGGAGCAAGCGAGUCAUAGGCUAGGCUGCUAUUCGACCAACGUGGCAAUGUCUGUCCAGAAUGACUAGCCUAAUCGAUUGAUAUUGUAGCUCUCUGAGAAGUUACAAUAUAUACUUUGCUGUGGAAAAGUUGCAAUAGGGCUUAUGCCCAAAACCUAGGCUUCUCGAGGGUAACUGAAAGUAUAUGGUACAAAACCACAGUUCAGACUGUUGGCCCUAGGGUCCUAGUUCCAGGUACAAAACCAUAAUUCAACUCAAAAGGUUACUGCUACUGCAAACUCUAGUUCUCCUUACAGCUAGCAAAUUUUCUUUUAGAUGUGUAUAACAUAAUUUUCUUCAUUUGGGCUCCUUCUUAGCCAUGUACUGCAUUGUUCUAAUUAAGCAUUUUAAAAAUUGUGCAGAGGCAAUGUCAUUUGAUGAGGGUGACACUGCGGAGGUAUGUCACUUCCUCUUGCUUCUAGAUAGAUUCUUAUACAUCAGUCACCUAUUUGUUUCACUAUAUCUUGGCACUCCGAGUGCCAGUGGUCAGUGAAAUAGCAUUUUGCUUGUGCAGUCAAUUGAUGAGAAGGUACAGAAAGCUCUGGAGUGUCCGUGUGUGGCUGAUUUGAAAAAUGGUCCUUGUGGAGGCCCAUUUGUAGCUGCAUUUUCCUGCUUCCUUAGGAGCACAGAAGAAGAGAAGGUUCAUUUCUUUUUAGUUUUCUACAAGUUACUAAGUUGAUUCAACUUAAGUCCACCUUAUGCAAGUUAUAUUAAGUGUGUAUGUAUCAGGAUGGUAGCACUUAAUAAAUGGCCUAUGAUUCAAAAGUUUAUAAAUGAUGUUUUUUUUUUGUUAAAGCCUUAACAUUUAGCUGGUGAAAAUUAAUGGUUAUGAUUUUAUUGUUCUGUUGCUUGACAUGUUUGUUUCUUAUUUUUCCAAUAUCUGUGUGUUGUUUUGGUUUUCUUUCGAAAGUAAUUCAACACAAUUCUCUGUCUGCUAUAGCGUGCGGUUUGAAAUUUGUUGGCAAACUUGAAAGGUGCCCAUGUUAUUAGUUGGCUUAAUUGAGUAGAGGAAGAUGUGUUGUCCAAGGGCGGGUUCUUAUGAUUCAAAAGAUAUAAACUGGUACCAUUGUCAAUUUAGUCAGACUACAAUGCUGAUGUAAGGCAUUGUAAGGUGAUUCUGUUUGAUCAAAAUCACUCAUUGUGGUCUUGUGGAUAUCUCUUUACUUUUACAUCAAUAGAAAAACUAUUUGUUUGCUUGUUCUUUACAUCCAAAGACUUUGAAAACUAUCAAGUGCUAACUGGUUGAACAUAGUUGUUACCUUCAAUUGUUCCUUUUCAAAUUAUGUCUGUUUAUGUGUUUCUGUACUGUCUUACCAAACUUGGAUCCUUCAUUUGAAACUUCAAAUAUCAUGCGUACGGGAAUAACAUUUGACCAUGUGGCACCAUUAACUGUUUGAUUCAUUUAUGUCUCUUCCUAUAAAUUAACUAGCGCUAAAGUUUGCUAUCUCUUCCUUUCCAGGGAUCAGAUUGUGUGAGCCCCUUUAUCGCAUUGCAGGACUGCAUCAAAGCAAAUCCAGAGGCAUUUUCUAAGGAGAUUUUGGAGGAAGAGGAGAAUGAUGAGGAAGCAGAGAAGUCCAACCUGAAAGUUAGAGCUCCAGCAUGGUCUAGAGAAUCCAAGCCCAAGGCUUGAGAUUUCAUGGAAUUAACUGAUGAUACUGAGAUUCAUCCAGUUCAUGCACUUCACCUUAUUCCUUGUUCCUCUGAUAAGUUCUUCAGUAGACAGUUGUAGAUUGAUUUCAGAGAGCAGAGAGCCAAAGAGGCAUCUGAAAUCCAUCCGCAGAAAUACAUAUACUUUGUAUGGUAGAAAUGCUCUGGUGUAUUUCCUUUGCGAAUAUACACGUUACUUUGACCGGAAGCGACAAAUUUGUAAUCUAUAAAUAAUUGGGAGUUGGGAUUUGGAGUGCCAUACGAGCAAGUAAAGUUUUGCGAAGAAUCAGUUCCAUGAUGAUAGUUUAUGUUGAGUUUGUUACUUUGUUUAUUGCUAUGGUUUCGGUAGCAGUUCUGAAGAUCUCGUUUUCAUUUGCAUUUGCUACCCGAUCUCUGAGGCUAUGCCGAUGUAUUUAUGUGCUUUUAGCGCGGUGUUGGUGAUUUUUGCAUAAAGGAGUUGAUGCGAAUUGCAGAUUUUUUUUUAAAAAAAGUAGCGAAUUGCAGAUUUACAGACAUUUCAAACUGUAGUUUUGUCAUUCUUCUUUUUUAUAUGUAUACAUUCUCUUUCUGUGAGGAAAUGCAAAGCACAGCAGCUAUUGUCGGCUUGUAGCGCUGCUGCUUGGCGGAAGAGCUCAAAAGCAAAGAAAACUUGUCUGAACCUGGCCCGUUGCUGCGGGAAUAAUUGAAUGGAUUAAACGCGGAGUUUAAUACAGAAGAUAUGAAAUACUUCGUGUGUCAAGACAGGAUGCAAGUUGGUAGUAAAUAUAGAGGUUGCAGCCAUUGCUUUGUUUGAUAUAAGUUAAAUACAGGAUUUACAUUGCGACAACUGGGACAGAUUAGGUGGGUACUAUGUUCUGUUGUACGAAGCAGAGCCCUGCAAGUAACAGUAGUAGUUCUUUUGAGGAGGACCAUCCAGCAGAGGAAUCUCCGUAGGCCUGUUUGUGCAAACAUGUAGGGAAAAUAAUGUGGGGAAGACAGGAGUGUGUUCAGUUGCUUGGAGGUGCACCAAUAAAUAGUAGCCCAGAUAGUAUAUUUUACGAGAAAGAAAGGGAUAUUCAGGUACGAAAAUUUGAAACAACGCUUGCUGACAUGGUAUUGGCAAAUUUAGUAGGAAGAAGGAUAGCAUGUGCCCUGACAUCAGUUCCAUUAAGUGGUAAUCUAGUAAUAUUAGCAAGAAUUGUUGUUGUAAGGGGUGGCAGGAUAUGCAUGAUAAUAACAUCCAUGGACCAAGUGCGAAGCCCAAAGCACAUGGAGGACAGCAGCACCUUACUAACCUGGAACUGGAGUAGGGGAACCCUGUCUUCUCCUACUACGUGAAUUAGGUGCAGGUGCCUUAGGAAGGUUAGACAUCGUCACAGGUCGAACGUUGUAGGAGUCAUGCGAAUUUCUGUAAAAUAUGAGGCAGUACCAUAUUUUUGGGAAUAGGGUCAACGUGAUUGUAAGUGUGAAUAUGGGAAUUGAAAUAUGAAGAGGUCAAGUAAAUUGGCUAAGGCACAGGGCAUACGAUUAACAAAGCGAACAACAAAACCAGAAUCAAAUAGGCAAUGUACAGUCCUGCAGGAAAAUUAGUGUGACACACAGCAUGUCAUGCACGGAAUCGGCAGCUCGCCGAGUGCAUGUUCAGUUGUAUAAAUAUUAUCCGGAAUCCAGAUGCAUGCAGUACGCAUAAGCUGAGUAGGCAAACUAACUAAGGGGUUUUUGAUACCCCUACUAAACUUUAACACCUGUCACAUUAGAUGUUGGAUACUAAUUAGGAGUAUUAAACAUAGUGUAAUUACAAAACUAAUUGCACAAAUGGAAUCUAAUUCGCGAAACGAAUCUAUUAAGCCUAAUUAGUUCAUGAUUUGACAAUGUUAACCAUUUGCUAAUGAUGGAUUAAUUAGCCUUAAUAGAUUCGUCUCGCGAAUUAGACUCCAUCUGUGCAAUUAGUUUUGUAAUUAGCUCAUGUUUAGUCCUCCUAAUUAGCAUCCAAUGUGACUCUACUAAAGUUUAGCACCUUGUAUCCAAACACCCCUAAACAAAAUGGCAGUAAACAAACGGAUGUGAAAGUAGGACGUAUCCUCGUAGAAAAAGAGAUCAGUGAUCUGUAUUGUACCUGAUCGAGAUCGGUCGCGUUGUAGCCGAGGUGCAUGUGCCGGGGGACCAUGUGGAGGACCCAGAGCAGGAUCCGUACAGAAGCGGCUGAGGUCGACACUAGUAGAACGGGCUCUUCUUCUCCAAAGGUUGUGCGGUCGUGGCGCAUCGAAUGAUAGCGGCCCUGCGUCCCUGCCUAUCGACGGACCCUGCACCGCUGAUCCCUGCGCUAGUUCGGAGGGUUGCCUCCACUCUUCCAGUCCGGCGUUACCGAGGCCAGGUUCGUGGCGAGCAGUAGCGACGGAGCCGCCAAAGGUUGCGGCGCGGAGGACGGUGGCAGGCAGGUUCCGGAAGAGUGGUGAGGAGGCUGAUCUCGGAGGAGGGGGAAGCGGCGAUUGCGGCGGCGUGGGAAUGGGUUGUGGAGAGUCAACGGCGGCGGACUGAGCGAGGAGAAGACCGCGAACUGCGAUUUUGCCCCUUGGUGAUAAGAUGGGAGGCUCGUGGACGAGGGAUAUCUAAUUAAUUGCCACUGUUAGAAUUAGCGCACCUUCGAAAACCACUCUUACAAUUUCGCCUACAUUUUUACCAUUGGAGAGAAAAUUUUGUUACACAUUCACAAUUUUUGCAUCCGUGGAGAGCCAUGUCACGCAUACACGCUAGAUGGGGCACGCGAAAAGACCCGGCUGCCCCUGGCCUUAUCCUUUAGACCGCCCGACCGCCUGUCCCCGUCCCGACAGAGCCAGACCAUCCAUUCGAGCCAGACAAAAUCAUUCCCCACCUGCUCGAACCCGAGGGAGCGGCGACGGUGGAGGCAGCGACGGUAGCAUUGGCUUCGACGAUGACAGCAAUGUCGCACGCUGCAGAGUCUUCCGGCCGAUGGAGGGGACGGGAAGGGGUUGGGGAACAAACGGGCCUUCCUCUAGUGCCCAUAUUGCGGGAAGGCUAGGGUGUUCGAGCGACGGUCGAAAAAGGACAACGUCAACCAUGGCCGCAUGUUCUUAAAAUGCCUAAGGGGCGUAGGUUGGGUGAGAUAGGUUGUUGCUCUCAUGCUGCAUUUGGGGUUCGUUGUUCUUGACUUGAUGCGGUUUUGUCUACAGAUGCGAGAAAAGUGUGACUACUAUCGGUGGCAGAGGGAGUAUCUGAAUGAUUUGGUUGACGCCAAAGUAGUUAAGGUGUUUUAUCAUGAACAUGAGCAUGAAAUCGAAGAAGAGGUACAAUUUGUGGACUUCCAACCCGGGUUGUUGGCGCAAGAACGGGUUCAUGGCAAAGUGCAGAAGCAAGAUCUAGAAGCAAAGUUGGACAAAUUAAUGAAGCUUGUGUUUGUAUUGUGUAUGCUAUUUGUAGCCAUUGUUGGCAUGUUCAUUGGCCAUGUGUUGAAGUAGAAGAUAUGUGUUGUAGUACAUUGGCCAAGGGACAAAUUUGAUGAAUGAAUGAUAGUAUUUGAUAAAUGAACAAUGCAUAUUUGUGUGAUAACUGAAUGAGUUCAAACUGACAUAAUUUUUUUCAAUAGUGACAUAGUUCAACUUGAUAGACAUAGUUCAACCACAACAUAGUUCAACUUGACAGACAUAGUUCAACCACAACAUAGUUCAAACUGACAGACAUAGUUAACACACAUAGUUCAAACUCACACACAUAGUUCAAACUGGACAGACAUAGUUCAACCACAACACAUAGUUCUAACUGACACACAUCACUUCUUAGUUGUCCUUCUCUUUCUUGGACUAAUUUUCUUUGCUACAGAAGGUUUCAAGACCUUGGAUGCCAGCUUCUUCUUUGGAGUCAUCUUGUUUCCUGGAAUUAUCUCUAAAGGUGUUAGCAUUGUCUCUAAAGGCUCCAAAUCAGUUAUGGGCACCAAUUCCAAUGGUCCUUCAAAAUCAAGCCUCCUAUACAAAUUCAGAGUGAUGUUACUUAUUUGUUCACAUAAGAAACACAGUAAAAUGGGGAUCAUACCUCUUGGGUGGAGCUUUAGGUGCUGAUUUUGUUGCUUCACUUGCUUCAGUUGUACCUGCUGGACUUGUUACUUCACUUGCUGCUUCUUGGCUUGCUGCUUCCAUACCUGAUGCUUGGCUUGCUACUGCUUCCUCAUUUGUUGCUGCUUCCCUUACUACCGCUUCCCUUGCUGCUGCUUCCCUUCCUACUGUUGCUCUUGUCCUUGGUGUUGUAGCCUGCACUGUCUCAGUUGUCUUUGAUUUCUUUCUCCCAACCUUAGUCUUUAUCUUCUUGGAUCUCUUCCUUUUCUUGAUCCUUGUCAGUUCACACCUCCAACUCAUCUUCGUGUGACCAAGUUGACCACAACCAUCACAUUUUGUUUGCCUUGUAGCCUUUCCUAACCUCUCCAAGUAAGAAGGUAUCCUGUUCUUUAUCUUCCUUCCCAGACCUAUUUUCUUAGCAUCUGGUGGAUAUAGCUUGAAGCCCUUGUCAACUUGUGGCCACUGACUCCUAUCUGUUAUGUUAGGCCAUCCCAUGUCAUAUGCCUGUCUGAACCUUUGCACUGAAUAAGCCAUGUCCACAUAUUUAUCCCACAUUGGUUGCCUCUCUGUAGUGAUGACAGCCAAAGCAUCUGGGCAAGGCUUUUCUAUGACUUGCCACUGUCUACAUGUGCAAUUAUUCUCAUCGAGAUAGACCACAUGUCUUCUGACCUCCUCAUUCUUGGGAAUCUCUGUUACCUCAGCUUGUUCAAGUUUGCCCUUAGUGACUUUAAGGUAUCCUAACCCCUUUAUGACUGUAUUUAGCCGAUGAAUCACAACUGGUAGUAUGACUCAAUGCAAAGCUCUAGAUAUCCUUAUCCUUUUCUCAAACAAGACCACACCCUUCUCCCUGAUAGCAUCAACCAUAUAAUGCAGUGGCAAGUCCUUGAACUCCUUUAUCCAUGCAUUCCAUGACUCAGCCAAGUUGUUGUUGAUGUAGUCACACUUUAUAUCUGGUGAGAACUUUGAUCUAGCCCAUAGAAGGUUGUGAUGGUCUUCCAUUUCCUAAAAAGUUUAUCUGCUGCCCUCUGUCUACCAUACCAUAUAGUUUGAUACUGAAUCUGAAUCUUAUACUUGUCCUCCAGUUCCCCCUUUAGUACUUUAGCAUCCAACCCAGGCUUCCUCUUCAGUAAAGGGAUGGCUCUCUUAGCACCCCAAGCCUGGUUUGCCAUUCUUCCCAACACUCUACUUGUUGAAGCACACUGAUGAAGAUACUAAUUUAUUUGAACCUGCAGUAAUGCAAACAAACAUUACAGUAGUUAGUCUAACAUGAAGCUAAUAUAUAAUUGCCUAACAGUAAUAAAUUGCAUAAAUAUAACAUGAAAUAGUUAGUAGGUGUACCCUGACACAACCAUCCAAUUGUGUCUUAGCCCUAAUAAUCCAGGGGCAUGCAGUAGCCUUGUAAAAACCUCUGAACCUGGACUUGUUAGACUUCUCGGUGUCUAGCUCAAAUUCAUUCACAAUGGCACACUGCUUAAUUGCUAGUCUGAAUUCACGCAUAGAAGGAUACAUUGUGCCAACAAAUAUCUCUGGAUUAUCCCUAUCCCAAUCCAUAACAGGUUCAAUAGGAUCACUGUCAUCCACAGUACAACCGGCAUCUCUCGUGUCCUCUUCCAUUUCUUCUGGAAUGGGAAUUUCUGUUCUUGCUGCCUGUUCUGCUCUCUCAUGUGCAUCUUUGAAACUCAUAGCCUCAAACACUCUAUCUUCAUCAGCCAGUACAGUUGCUUCACCAUCUUGAUCAGGUUCAGGGAGGAUAACCAGAGAGUCCCAAUCCAUAAUCUCAGGUGCCAAAUUUUCAUGACCUGUCUGAUCUGCCUCUACAUUAGAACUAAAUGUCUCACCUAAACCUUCAGGAACAUUAGGUACUAGUUGUGCUUGGCUGUUGAUACAGAUCCACCUCUAGUUUCACAAUCUUGUUCCUCCUGCUGAUAGCCCUUAUGAACUACUUGCACUAACACAUUAGCCAACCUGUCAUGAAACCUUGACCUAAUCAUCUUCUCAAAAUGCUCAUUCUUUCUGAUCUUCCAUUGAGAACCACUAUCACUAUCAACAGCCCACACGACAAGUAUCUGACUAGGACCCCAAAUGAUCUUACUCACCAUUUCAGUAACAAAUGAAUCAAGAUUGUACCCAUUGCAUCUAUCAAUUCACAGAUCAUGCCAUUGCUCAGCCAUAUCUAAAGCACCAAAGUACUCCAGAAUUGAUUUAAAUUUUUCACAUUUAACCACUAUUCUAAAAGCAUUGCCAGGAUCAAUCCUGACAUAAAUCAUAAACAAUGAAAUAAUUUGAAAGUUAGAAAUACCCAACCCUAGAGAUAUGCAUAUGCGGUGCAGUGACUUCAAGCGUGCUUACCAUGGAGGGCAUUCGCUAGGCUCCAUGUUCAAUCAAUGAAGGAACCUCACAUCUACUAGAAUACCUCCCUACAACGAUGAAAUAAAGCAAAUCAGGGGAGCUCAAGGGAAUCCAGAAGCCACAUCUAGGAGAACAUCAUUCUUGGAGCAAGCGUGGAGCAAUUACCUUCGAUCCGUCACCGUCAACGUUGAAGCCGACUCUGGCGCCACCGGCGCCGUCAGGGUUCAGCUAUGGUUUGAGCAGGUGGGGAAUGGAUGGUCUGGCUCGAUCGGGACGGGAACAAGCGGUCUAAAGGAUAAGGUCAGGGGCAGUCGGGUCUUUUCACGUACCCCGUCCAGCGUGUAUGCGUGACAUGGCGCUACAUGGAUGCAAAAAUGGUGAAUGUGUAACAAAAUCUUCUCUUCGGUGGUAAAAUAUAGACGAAAUUGUAAGAGUGGUUUUCGAAGGUGCGCCGUUUAUAACGGUGGCAAUUGAUUAAAUAUCCCUCUGGAGGAGCCCGGUACGUGGACCGCACGGAUACGGUUCGGUGGGGAUCGGAUGGACUGAACUGGACGGGAACUGUUGUAGGAACUGUCGUACAGUAGCAUCGGUAGGGGCCGUCAGAUGCGGUAUCCAGCGGCUCGUAUGAAGCUAUGGUACUGUAGCACAGAAAGUGUUCUCAGAAACUAAAGAUUUUGAUAUGAUUUGGCCCCGUGAACGCCCCCAAAAAGGCUGUUCCUUACUGGGCCGGUCGGCCCAUAUUCCUUACUCGUCGUCUUCCUCCAAACCUUUCCGAACUCCGGAGUCGCAACAACUCUUCCACCACGAUAAGCCCUAAUCGCCCGCCAGUUAGCCACCACCACCUCCAUGGCGACCACCUCCUUCCAUCCGCUCGCCACCCCGAUUGCCGGCGGCGGCGCUCGCAUCCGUCGCUGCCCGCUCUCCCUACCCGUUCCCGCCCGCACGGCGCCCCGGCGGCCGGCACCGCUCCUCGUCGUCCGCGCCAAGCGCGCCGGCAGCCGGCCCCCCGCCGCCGCCUCGCGGCAGCCCGUGAACCCCAGCGCGGUACCAAAGCGGGAUGCCGAGGAGGAGGUGGAGGAGGUCGAGGAGGAGAUGCCGUGGAUCCAGGACAAGGCGCUGGACCUCGUGGAGUUCACCGGCACCGUCACGCAGGCCAUCCCGGGGCCCCGCGUCGGCUCAAGCCCCGUGCCGUGGCUCCUCGCCGUGCCGCUCGCCUACGUCGGCGUCUCGUUCGUGCUCGCGGUCGUCCGCACCGUGCGCAGGUUCACCUCCCCGCGCUCUAAGAAGAAGCGAAGGGUAAAUGUUCGCGUUAUAAAAUUUUCCGUGGUUCCAUGAACGAAAUUUGAUCUCGUGCUGGGUACUUAAAGUCGGUGUAAAUUUUCCUUCACCUUCGCCGCUGCACUAGCCCUGUGAAUUAGGUACAUUUUGGAACAUAGGUUUGUAGGGAUCAAUCUAGCCCCACAAAUUGUGCUCUUUAGAGAGGUUUGCUCUGUCAAGGCGAUGGGAAAUGAUAAAUUUCGUCCCUUCUUUCAGCAGCUAAUUCUAUUUUUGCAAAAUUAUCUAUCUGUGCUGACUGCAUCGCUGUAUAGCAUCUUGGAAUCACACUAAAAAUCAUUUUACAGCCUUCUUAAAUUCAAAGUAUAAUGAGUUUGCAAUUUCAGUUAUAGAACUGUUAUAAGUUUGUUCCUCUAAAUCAAAUAGAUACCGUUGUAAAUACUUAGAUUGGAAGUGCUAAAACAAAUUUGAGCUUGCUUUCAUUGUUGAUUGCAAGGUUAAUGUUUUGUGAGCUGGUUGCAAUCUUAAUGUCAGCCUACAAUUUGUCAUUUUUUAUCUUUGCAUGUCUUCAGAAUACUGUAACUCCUGUUAAUUUUUUAUUUUUGGUUUCACUUAAGGCCCCGUUUGGAUCCCUUCAUUUUGAAGGAAUUGGAAUCUACUUAAUGGAGUAGGCUAAUUAUCUUGGAAUGUGACAUUCCACAACUUUCCAAAGUUCAGAUAUAACCCUAUCUUAAAUUCAUAGGGGUGGGAGAUGGAAAUUGAUUCUAUAGAUCCUCAUGCUAUGUUUCUAAUGUGCAACUUAUAGCACGCUCUUCGACUCGCUUCCCUAUAGCAGAAGUGCAGCACAUAAGUAUCUCUCCCAUAUGGCCAACAAUAAUAUACAAAUAUUUUCCACAUACAAUUAUAUUAGCUUAGUUAAUUUGUGUCUAAAUUAUGAUUAUUAGAAUGGAAUUCAAUUCCAAGGAUCCAAACGGGGCCUAAUAGUAAACCAGUGUUUCUCUACAGGUGGGUAAGAAUAUAUUCUUGUUGAAGUCACUAGAUGAGCUGUUCCAGAAGGGCAGGGAGGCAGUAGAUUAUCCUUCUCUCCAAGAUCUCAUGCAGAAGGUGUGUGCCGUAACCAACCAUCUAUAUAAUUCUUGAGAAACUAAAUUAGUGGAGUGAUAUGGGAAUGAUGGCAGGUAGAACAUACUUUGCUUAUUUUCUUUUUUGCUUAUUCUAUUCGAGAAGACUUUACUUCGUUAGCUAUCUUAUUCUGACACUGGAGUUAGUGAAUUGAUGCUAUGUUAACUGGUGCUGAAACCUAGAUUGGAAAUUUUGCUGUAUGGUAGAAUAAUAAUGUUCUUAGCAAACUGUUAGUUCUCUACACAGACGAGUCUAUAUCUAUUGCAAUUUGAUGACUAAUUUACUGAGUACAUUGCUACUGGAAAAUAUUUCUUUAUCUUUCAAAAAAAUAUUUCUUUCCAUAGAAAACAGCAAGCUCAUGAAAUUGUAAAUAUGCUGCUUCUAUGUGUAUGCAGACAGGAUUUGACAUGGACGAUGUAGUAAGAAAGUACAUCCGGUACACACUGAAUGAAAAACCCUUCAAUCCUGAUGUGGUUGUGGAUCUUAUACAUCUUAGAAAGGCAUCAAUGCUUGAAGAUGCAGAAGUUGCUGAAAUUUUGAAUGAGAUCUCAAGACGAAUUGUUCGAGAAAAAGGUAUCUGUUGCUGCUUAUUCUAGUUUUUCGAAAGAGCUCAAAAUAUUUCCAGUCACAUGCUCUGGCAGAUUUACCUUUGCGAAUCAAGAUAUAAUUCCUUUUCCUACUUUCCUUCUGCUGAAGUUUGUGCGCCUUUAUGCUUAACUUUCUUUGCGAAGCUACUAAUAUCCAUUUUUCAUCUGCCAUGCCAUGUAAACAACAAAGUUUUAGAUUGGGUCCACAUUUUGUUUAAGAAUGCGUGCAGAGCUGUUUCCUUGGUUAUUAUCAAACUCAAAUAUUUUGUGUAACUUGACAUUUAUGCAUUGAUGAAAAAUUUGAUACCUUGAGAAUUUAUGUCUGGUCAUUACUGCAUGCGAAUGUUCCGACUUUCAAGUCCUUCAAAGCAUAUCCAAAGGAUCAAUGUAAAGGGCAUGGUUGUUGGGGCAAUCACAAGGCAACACAGAUGCAUCCUUCUACAAAUUCGUAGUUCAUACACUCUAUUAACCCACCCCCUGAUGUGGAAUGUACCAUACACUGAUUAUAAUGUGAGAAGAGUGGUAGUAGCUACAUUGUAAUUUUAUUUCUUUCCUAUCAUCAGUUGUCACUAAAUAUCUUAUUAAAUUCAAAAUUUCGGUUUUGUUAUGUCAUUCUUACUCAAUAUGCUUUUGUAUUUACAAUCUUGCAGGGCCAGUAGUUAUGGACUUAUCUGGGUUUACAGAACAAGGUUUUAAGCGGAAGCUUGCUGUACAAGCUUUGUUUGGAAAAAUCCUUUACUUAUCGGAGGUAACUUGUCGAUCCUCCAUUUUUUUUUACUGAUUUUAUAAUUCCAUAUCUGUUUUAAGACAAAUCUUGAUUUGAGCUGUAAUGAAAAAAUAGAAAGGUUUGAUGGCUCACUACUUGCUGUGGAAGUCUAUAAUGAAUGUUCGGUUUGACAAACCAGCUUAUUCUAGACGGGUUUAGAUCGUCAUGGGGACCAUUCAUGGUAAUGAUGGGAUGGCAUCAUUCCCUGUUUUUAUGAUGUAAAUGUGCAAUAUGAUUUUAAAGCAGUCCAUUCCAUUUCUCAGAACAAAUCAGUUGUUUAGGUCCAAAACUAGGAUCGUACGGUCCAUUCACCAUUUCAUUCCUCAUGCAGAAAACCCCAUAAAUGCAUGUGCCUCUUCUUAUUUACCUCUGCUCACUGCUGUCUCUGCUGUGUUAUUGUGUCUAAUCUCUGAAGAUGCAGAUAAUUGAUUACUAGUCUGUGCUUUGUAGGAACAUUUGUCUUUCCAUUCAGUUUGAAAUGUUGCUUUCCAUAAGAUAGUCAUGCCCAUAUUAUUGCUUUCAUUCAAAUUGAUUUAUCUUUCAUCUGGUGCAAGUUUCAAGUUUAUUCUUAUCAUGGUUUGUUACUGAUUAGCCUGUGCACAAGUUAUCAUGAUGGCUCAGAUCUUAAUGGAAAUUGUUUUUGAAUCUCUAUCCAGCUUCCGGAGUUCUGUUCACGGGACAGCUCACUUGUUGUCAAAGAAAUCUUUGGAGUUACAGAGUAUGGCUAAAUUUACUAUAUGGGGAAUUCUUGCUUUCCUUUUACCUCCAUAGCCUUUUGGUAAUUAUUGUUUUGUAAUUUCUUGUGUGUAGUGAGGAUGCAGAAAGUAUUCGAAUUCACACCCUCUCUGCAACCGGUGAUAUCGAAUCUAUACAAAAGAUGGUCGAUGAUCUAGACAUUGGACAGGGUCCCUCGUCAUCAGCUUGAAUGAUGGUGAUGGAAUAAUGCUGAACACCUUCGUUGAUAGUAUUGCAACUUUAGCGUGAUGUGAGUUUCUCCGGCCUUUUUCGUCUAGAUUGUUUUCAGCCGUUGAAGUAGGAGUUGAGCAGAGGACAGGGUACUUUGGCUGGAAGUUUUGUAAAUUGCCUUGCGAUUAGGCCAGUAACGUCUGGCUGUGUCUCAGACCUGCCCAUGACUUUGAGGAAACAAGAAAGUUGAAUUGUAGCAAUGAGUUUAUAGAAAGCGGGAAUGUUAUUGAAAUUUACUCCAUUUUGUUUUUUUUUGUUCUAUCGUGUCACUAAACAACUAAACAUAUACCUGCGGUUAUAAAUUAUCUACUGAUGAAGGAUGGCAAAUUUAGCAUUUGAGUGCGUGGCAUUCUAAAAUAUGUUUGGCCAUAGUGCUGUCAUGUGUAAUAAUAAUGAUAGAAUGAUUCUUCGUUCACCAUCCUAUUACCUCUGAUAUGUACUCCAUCAGUUCUCUUUUGAUAGGCAUUCACGAUUGAUAGGCAUUCAUGGAGCCCUGUAAGGCCAUUCUCAUUUCAUAUUUAUGUUUUCAAAAUGCCACAUAAGUAAGAGAACAUUUUUUUAGUUUAAAUAGUUUCAUACAAUGCAUUAUUGUUAUUUCCUAUGCUAUAUGCAAGACACAAACUGUGUUGGAAAUAGUGUACACAUGGUUUCAUCACCAUGAAACUCAUUUCAUCUCUUUCUUUGUUAACUCUUUACCACCUCAUAAAAAAUGUUACAUGACACCUUAUUUAACGAGAAUGAAACUUCCAUUAAAAAUAGCAUGCUGGGCCUCGAGGCCGGAGGGUCUCUUGUUUUCUUCCAGCAUACAAAACUUGGCUUGCUACUCAUUGUCGCUGAUCUUGAGGCUUCUCAGGGCCGUCGAUCCCCAAACGCCAUCCCUACCACACGUGUCCUUUUGCCCGUGACCACCUGUCACGUCCGGAGCUGCGGCCUCGCCCUGCAAAGAGCUCCCCAGCGAACGCUUCCGGCGCCACGAAAGGCAGAGUGAGCAUCGAAGCUGCAGAAACCAGAGCCAUCAAAACCUGCGGAAAAAGGCAGUACCGUGCCGACGCCGCCGGCACGGGACCCCUCCUGCCGGCCGCCACCCGCGCGGCGGUGGCGGAGUUCGUCGCCACGGGCAUUUUCGUGUUCGCCGCCGAGGGCUCCGUCUACGGCCUCUGUACGCCAACCUCAAGAACACACAUACAUACAAGCAAGCUUUACAUGCAUGCACCCUGCCUAUUUAAAAUUCUUGCUCUUUUUAUUAUGCCAAAUUUCAAAUUCCUGUCACGUGCACGAGGCUUAAGCUUGCAGUUGGUGUUGAUCUCAAGCGCGAGGCUUGAAGAUUUUUUGCGUUGCCGGAUUUUGCAGGGAAGCUGUACAAGGACACGGGGAUGCCGGGCGGCCUCUGGUCGCGGUGGCAAUCGCGCACGCGCUGGCGCUGGCCGCCGCGGUGGCGGUGGCGAGCAACGCGUCGGACGGGCACGUCAACCCGGCCGUCACGUUCGGCGUGCUCGUGGGCCGCCGCAUCUCUUUCGGGCGCGCCGUCGUCUACUACUGGGCCGCGAAGCUGCUCGGCGCCGUGGCCGCCGCGUUCCUUCUCAUGCUCGUCUCCGGAGGCACGGUAAUACGUUUCACCGUGUCAGAUUCUUUUACACUUUGAUUAAACUUCCUAUUAAUAGCUCUGAAAACCAACCUCACUGGAAAGCUCAGAACUGUGGGACAGCUCCAGGUUUGUUUGUUGUACCGUGCCAACGUUGUAAGACUAAGUUCAGAAGCAUCAUGCAUUCAGGUUGCAGAACAGAGCCUUUGUUGUUUUUCCCCUUCCCUGCUGAGAGCCUAGUGUUGCCUACUCCUAGAAAAUUAAAAAAAGAUAUAACCUUUAAACAACGUAACAAACAUAAAGCGGUGGGUAUCUUACUAGAACUGCCAUAGUGCCACACCACACCAGAACUGCACGUCAAUAUCCAGGUCACACUUUUUGUUUCUUUCAUGCUACUAGCAACAAACAAAGUCAGAAAUGGUUGCGCCUGCGCGCGUACUAUGUAUUUUGCCUUUGGCGUACGCUACGUUUGCAAAUUAACACGCGUACGCGACAUGCCCGCCACGUCUCACUCCAUUUUCGCAUGCCUUGUCCUGCAGCGCCCCAUGGGCUUCGGGCUCGGCCAGGGCGUCCACGAGCGGCACGCGCUCCUGCUCGAGGCCGUCAUGACGUUCGGCCUCGUGUACGCCGUGUACGCUACCGCGGUGGACCACCGGAGCCGCGUCGGCUUCGUCCUGGGGGCGAACAUCCUCGCCGGCGGCCCGUUCGACGGCGCGGCGAUGAACCCGGCGCUCGUCGGAUGGAGCUGGCGCCACCAUUGGGUCUACUGGGUCGGGCCGCUGAUCGGCGCCGGGCUGGCUGGUGCGCUGUACGAGUUCGUCAUGGUUGAGCAGCCGCCGUCUGAGGCGCCGGCAGCUGCUGCAGGUCCUCGGAUGCUCGUGGCCGCGGCUGAGGAUUAAUGAUUUGUUUCCAGCGUUUGUAUAUUUGUUGUACGUGACUUGCUUGUGUAUCUAUCUACUAGGACCGAGCUGCUUCAGAGGCUCAUCAGAGUACUAAAAGCUAGGGAAGUUAUUAUUUUGAAGUUAUCAGAAGGCAAUAUUAAAACCCCCAACACCAGUCACCAGAUUGAUGGUGAGCGCGUUCGUUCUACGCUGCUAAAAAAAAAUGCUUGAGCAGGAACAUUACGGUGUAGGGUGUUGCUCAUACUGUCAUACACCUGUAUAUACGUGAAUAUAUUUACUGGGAUAAUUUUGCUGUGUGAGGGAAAGAACAGUGGGAAAUUAUUCAGUACGUGACGAGUCGGAGGACCGGACGAGUAGUCACCGGCACUGCGCCGUCGCUGCCUAGCUUUUUUCCUCGCGUCCGCCGUAGCUCACGGCGGAAGAUCAUCAGGGACUCGCCAGUUAUGCGUUACAGCGUUAGCACGUUGCAGGCUGCCAUCAGGCGCCACCCAGUCAGCCGGACGCCGGACGCCGGACGCGGAGCUGCCUGUCGACGAGUCCACUGAAGACCAGCAUGGAUGCAAGCUCUGACUGCUCUGUGUUGUCUGCUCUCCACUGCUUUAACCUCUUGAUGUUCCGAUGGCCAUAGGGACCUGACGUCCCUGGCAUCGACCCCGGCAAACGAACCGUACCGAUCCCAUUCCUCGAUUUGGGACGAUGACUCCGUGAAGCAGAACCAGGAACUAAUCAAAGGAGGGGUGAUGUGAUUCACGUUUUGUAGUAGUGUAAAUCGUCAAAAUUUAUGCAUAUGUCCCAUAUCUGGCAUUAGGUUUUCCACAUGUACUUAUGCAUGAAUUAAGUCAUAACACAACAUAAGAUGGCAUACAGACAUAGCCAUGUAUAGUUCCAAGAAACAUUAAAUAUUUUAUACUGAAUUGUGAAGUUAUUAUGUAUCAUGGAAAAUCCACCUACAUGAACAAUGACUAGCGGCGCUACUGCCUUGCACGGGCGUGCAGCGUUAGUACCUUCUUUCACGUAGCCAUCGUGCACCAUUCCUGCUCAACCUGCUUGCCGCUUGCCUACCUGCGUCAAUAUCAUCAACUCGCUGGACAAUGACCCUAGCUUGGUCACUUUUCCUAUACAUUUGGUGUUUACCACAAUAUAAUGUUAAAUAUGUGCAUGAGCUAUGGCACCUCGAUAGUGAGCUUGUAGUGAACUAUUCCUGCCUAAUUUAGUUUGUAAUUGAAGUCUUAAUUUGAGAACCAUGAGGACACGAUAGCGUACGAUAGACACUUGAGGAACAUCGAUUACAAAUUUUGUGCAUGUUAGGCGCCAUUUUUAGUACAUUUUAAGUGGAUGUGUUUAACCUUUUGCUUCAAUUCAUUGCUGGUGAUACAUUUGGGGGUUUUCUAUUGACUGCCAUCAAGAGGAGGAAUGAUAACUCAUACCAGUCAAAAGAGCAGUUUCACAUGAUUUUAGGGAAUCGAUUUAGAUGUUUUAAGUUGAUCUCUUACCAGAUUUUAGAACAAUGUUAUUACUUGACCAUAAAUAAAAUCAAUUCAAAAAAAUCUAACUUCAACGGAUUUCUAUGUGAUUCUCAAAUAAAAUCGUUAUAGUAUAUAUUUUAGAUGAUUUUUUAAAUAUAUUGUUUAGUUGAUUGUUCGCCAUAUCUUUAGGGUGUUUAUUAGUUGUAUCAUAAAAAUAAUACAAAUUUAGUGUACUGUAUCUAUCUAAAUUCCCAACAAUUAUAUUUUUAUCUAUCUAUCUAUCUAUCUUUCUAUCUAUCUAUCUAUCUAUCUAUCUAUCUAUCUAAUUUUCUAACAAUUAAAUGUUUCAUGUUCCAUAAAAAAAUAUGUCAACUAUACAUAGAAACAAUUAUUGCAUAUUGUAUACCAUAGGAUGCAUCACAUCAUGAAGAUAAUAAUAGAGAUGCUGAGCAAUCUCAUAAGUUAUUCAAGUCUCACUAAUUGGAAAUGAAUGACUGCUAAUCUAGUGGAGAAUCAUUUAGCAACUUUUUAGGUAAUAUCUUUAGAUUAUAUUCUUGUUUUAGUUGUUUGUUGCUAUAAAUUUGGAUGGUCUUUAGUAGUGUGCCAUCAAGAAAAGGAAUGAUUAACCACACUAAACUGAACAUAACUUGCUGAUGCACAUCAUAUACUAAGCAAAAAGUAAAAUGUUGUGAUGUGUGCUAUCUGAACACAUGAAUACAAUUCUAUAACAUCAUGGUUGAAAGAACUACAUAAAGCUACAACUUCACAAGUAAACAAAAUAAAUAAAUAAAAGAAAAUGAAGAUAAUUAGCUACUACUACAACCUUUCAUUGCACGCGAAGAUGCGCUAAAAACAGCACGCAACACACUUGAGUCAUCAAUGACUAAGAACUUAAUUGUUGAAUGGUCAUGUUCAUGUUAUUCAUGUGAAGGAGCAUCUAUAAGAGAAGUGAUUGAAGUCGUUGUGGUGAAUGUUGUGCUUCUUGAGCCAUGACCGUGCUGCAUCGAAUAGAGAAGAAAUAUACUCUUCGUCAUCGGAGUUUGGACUAGCCCAUACUUUGGUGUCUAGCUUGUAUGUUGCGAGGCCGAAUGGAGCAAGUGCCACAUGAUCAGAGGCAUUCACAUUGUCUAAAGAGACAUCUACAAGGAUAAUCACCAUGUUAUGUUUAAUCAAAAGAAAUUAUUAUAAUUCAUUAUGCUGCUAAAAUAGAAAGGAUUAAUUAAUACUUUCAAUUCCACAUAGGCAUUUCAAAACAAGUAUUUUUACUGUUGUAUGAGAUAUUAGUGAAAAAAAUGAAAAUGUAUAGAUAAAUAUAUGAUAUGUGUUGCUUUUUGGGAACAAAAAUAAGGGAAACAAAACAAUUAUUAGAGGAACUUUUAUGCCUUAGUAUGUACAUUGGUAAUAAAGAAGAAAAAUAUGUGUGAUUGACAGGUAGACACACAAACACACCUAAAAAAUACAUAGAAAUGAAAUGAAAUAAAACUUCCUUACUACCACCUAUUCAUUGUUGCAUACCUUCAGAUGUUGAAAGGCUAUGGUAAGUCAAAAAACAAGUAUUCAUAUCUUUCCGAUUUUUUGCAGGGACAUGACCUGAUGGAUACCUAUAGGAUAAGAGGAGGAAAUAAAAUUAUUAUCAUUGUUUACCUUAGGUGAACAUAUAUGUACCGGUAUAUUUGCAUUUCAAGAUAAAAGUAAGUGAUUAUAAAAAGUUACCAAAAAACCGACAACCAACUUGACGGUGAGAGCUCUGCACUGCUUAGAGAUAUUAGGCCAGGACAGUUAUGGUACAACUCGUACACCUAAACAUAAAAAAGAAAGAAAAUAAGGAAGAUCAUAUAAUUGUAGUGGACCCUAGACAAAUUUAUACUUAAGUCUAACUCACUAAUUAUUAAUUUAGAGGUCCUUUAUUUUUAGGAUUUUACAAAAAAAAUAUAACAAAUAUGUGACCUUUUUCUUUUAAAAAAUAGGUGUAUUUAGUACCCGUAGGAUUAAGAUCCAACGGACUCUUCCUUUGAUCAUUCUCUAUAAAUAGUCUCCUCUCCCACCAUCCCUACCACUAACCCUAUAUCCACUCUAUCGCCGCCUCCACCCCACCUACAUGUUGUGUUCCCAAACUCGCCUCGGCACAAACAAGAUCGAUUGAUGGCUGUCGUUGGUAUGAUGGUGUCAACAUCCCCCCACCCCUCUCCCCCUUGCCGCCGCAUCCCACGAUGAUUAUCGCCUUCUUCACUUGCUCCGGUGAGUCUUCUGUAUCAAUAACCACUGUCCUUAUCAAAUUCACAUAAUCGCAUAGAUGCCCACCUAGGCUCAACCUCUUGUUUCCCCUCACUUAUUAAUUUCUCUUUGUAUCAUCAAAUACAAGCUAUCAACAUAUCUUUUGAUGACGUCCACCUUGAUUCAAACUCUUAUUUACGCCACCAUCCUUUGUUUCCUUUGCACUCACUUGGAUGCAGGUUAGUAACAUCGUGAUCAAUGAUGCUCAACCUUGAUUUAAGUCCCAAUUUCCCCCACAACUCUCUAUUGACUCUACUUUAAUGUAGAUCUAAAGAUACUAACAUCACUGCUAAAGAUGCGCCACCUUGAUUCACUCUCCCGUUUACGCAAUCACCCUACCCUUUUUUUUUCUUUGCACUCCCCCAAGACCCAAUCUACCAACAUCUUUGUUGGUGAUGCCCGACCUUGAUCCAAUCUCUUGCUUCGCUGUCACCCUUUUCUAUCCAUGUACUUCCCAAAAUCCAAGCUAGAAACAACAUUAUUGGACCUUAUCUAAGCACAAAUCAACAUCCUUAUGGGAGAUCUGAUCCCAAAGGCUAAUCCAUUGGCGAGAUAUUUAGACCUAUUCUGGUUUUUUAAAAUAGAUCUUGCAGUAAUAAAUAGAAACAUCUUAGUUUAGCAUUUGUACAUUGAUUCAUCAAAUUAAGUAUGCUAAUGAAUUUAUUUCUUUCCAUCUGAUGAUAUAUGCAGGGAGUGCAAAAGUUUGAAACACAUGGAUGACAGAGAGGCAGCUAGAUCUGACACUACACAAUGUUGGAACUACAUGAUCUGCAAGGGGUUUAUCCUUCGAGUAUUUAGAACCUGACUCAACUUAUGAAUAGGCACCGGACAAGGUAACUUAGGCGAGGUGCACAUAUGUUAAGGUGAAAAAUGGAAAAAAAAUUGCGAAUAGUAGAGAGAAAGUUAGAUUUGAAGCUAUUGGGACUACAUACCUUGUCUACGAAAGGUACCCUUUCAUAAGGGGAGUCAGGUUCAAAGUACUUGAAGAAUAACUCCUCCUUGCUUUCAACUUCAACCUUGGACACGGGUGAUGGUGUUUGACAUCCGUGAGUCCAAUCUAUCGUACCGUGUUGGCUGUACUCAAUGAACCUUUUAUCAUAUACCAUGCUGCAGUUAGUAUGCCAACUGGAACUUUUAGAAAUGAUCAUUGUAACCAACAUUGGUACUAUUUUCUUUCCUUUAAUUUAAUUUCAAUCAUAUACAAAACACAUCUAUAUACACAUACUAUGUGCUUACCUUUGUGAAGUAAGAACAUUUGUCUUGUAGGUGUACAGUUCAAUGGCUGAAAGAUAUGGCACGAAGAAUUGCUCUAAUGUCUCACCCGGAGCGAUGCACACUGAAGUACCAACACCACAUGCGCUCCACUGAUAGAACAAAUUCCAAAGAUCUCCAAGGUAGAAACACUUGACUCCAUUGUCUGCAAUCUUUCCACAAUAGUUGUUUGACUGCAUUCAUCGAUAAAAGAGUUAAAGUUGUUUAGCUAUCUUGCCUUUAGAUAUAAAAUAGUGCAUACAAGUAAUAAAACGUGCAUAAAUAUACCCCGACCUAGCUGGUUUUGAAUACAUUAUCUCCCUAAAAAAUAAUCAUGGGAUUCUCAUAGCUCUAGUGCAUCAAUAUAGAUGAGACCAUGUGAACACAAGUAUGCAAUGGAGUAUUUGUUACUUUGUCCACGACCAGUAUAGAUUUUUAUUUUGGGUGAAUCUAUUUUGGAUGAUCUCUUUUGGAAGGUUCCUAUUAAUUAAGCAAGAAAAGGAAUGCAAUGCAUGUAUAGUCAAAUCUAGAAGAGAUCCUGAUGCAAUGAUGAUUACUUGUUGUCACUUGGGUUCAUAUUGAAUAAAUGCAUAUCUUGUGAAUCAAUUAGCACAUACCUUGUAUCAAGGGAUAUGAUGCAUGAUAACGUGAACAUGUAACUUAAGAAUGAAAGGGACAAUGAUGUGUCAAGUGGGGUCCUUCUAUUUGGAUCUAUCUAUUGUACAGUCUAACCAAGUGUUACUAAUGGUAUGGAAAAAAGGUUAAUUCUAGAUGGAAAAAAAAUCAAAAGCAUUAAAUGCAAAAAGGAAUUGUCGUGGAUUAACCUCGGGGUAAAAAAUCUCAUCAUAACCUCCUAAUUCAAAUGAUUGAGCAAUGAAUGCUCAAACAAUACCUCCACGACACGACAUUCUCAUAAAGGCGUAACGGAUACUAUCUACGGCUAUGUUUCGCGCCUAAAACAUUUUGAAUCUGAACUUUACAUACAGAUCAGAGGAAACAUCAACAAACCCACAAGUAUAUAUAAAAGCAACAUGGAGCAUGAGUAGAGCAUGAUCUUAAAGUGGGAAACAUGGACACUUGCAAUCGAUAAGCUCACAUAUCUAGUUUUAUCCACAUAUCCUUGUAAAUCAUAUGCGAGACCAAAUAAAAGAGGCAAUAUAUCCAGAUCAAAGAUAGUAGGGAGAAUGGGAGUAAGAAAUUCGACAAAAGCAUGAGUUCACAACAUAAGGAGGAGGGGAAUUGUGCAACCAAAAAUUAAUAGAAGUUCGUUCAAGAAAUGCUUACUAGUGGAAGAUAGGGUGCCUUAUGAACCCUAUAUGCCUUAACAACUGGCGUCACACUGUCAAGAAAACACCUCAGAUUGGAAUGGCUCCCGACCGCCCCAUCAAAAACAGCAUUAGCUUCCUCUUGAACGAUAGCACUAGCACCCUCCAUGUCUCUACUCGCCCCUCAAAAUCCUCUAAGCUGAGAGAGCAAUGGCAAACCAAAGCCUAUGCUUAGAGCGCUCUGUUACACCGAAUGGAGGUGUGUGCUCAGGUUUUUGCAGGGGAGGAGGAGGAGCCUCGGACUGGGAAUAUUUGCAUAUCUGCCAUCAAUGCUUUCUAAAAAAAAAAAUCUAUCUCCAGCCUCCACCCCCUCUAAGGAUAUGCUAGCUCUUAAUAACCUGCCAACUUGAUAUAUAGCAUUCCCAAUUGAUUAUCCUUGGCUUGGCCAUGUUAGUCUAGGAUAUUGCUGGAGUGGCUUUUUUGGCCUUUCUUCCAAAUUUAGUUUUUGUUUUUCGUCAUUUUCUGCUGCGAGGAGGCAUGAUGGCCAUUGUGCCUUGCAGACAUGCAUGCCUGAAAUGCGCAGUAACUCCAAAAACGUUUGUUCCACUGGAGUUAAGGCGAUAAGCCUCCAUUUUGGAAGAAAAAAAGGUAUCCAUUUUCGAAGGAGAAAAGAAGGUCGCCAUGGGUAAGGACUUUUUUUCUCUUUGAGGUAGCCAUGGGUAAGGACUAUGACACCGGAUCAGUACGUGUACGGCUUGGUUUUGUUCGCGUGACUUGUGUGUUUCAUGUUUGUGAUAUGCCUGGGCUUGUAUAGGACAGAAAGUAAAAUGCAUGUGCGUAUACGCAUCCAAGGCAGGAUGGAGCCGUCUAAUCGCCGCUUAUGGCCUUGCUUUUUCUGUUUUUAAGGGCAAUCACUUGCUUUUCCUGCUAUUCUGAAACUUUUUGUGCACCAACCCGUUGCUUUUCCAAGGUCUCCAGGUGGUUUGUUCCUCGUUAACUUCAGAUCAAUAAAAAUGGUGCUCUGAACCAUAGUAGAAAUGAAAACUUGCACUCUUCUACGUGUAAAGAAAUACGUGGUGGAAUUAUUAUGCCAUGGGCCAUGGAGUAUGUUGGUGGCAAAGUCAACUUUACACAUCAUCUUGCAGUUGCAGCCCUGAAGCCCCUGAGGAUUGAAAAUUGCGUCAUGCUCAUGCACGAUGCGUGAGCAAGUGGACCCGUAGAACCCGCUGAAGCAAAGGAAUUCCAAUCUCUUUUUUCCUUCAAGAAUGGAAACUGUUGUCUCCGGACGUUCCUCCCGCAUCCGCAGGCGGCUGAUGCGCAAGAAACAGAAACAGGCAGCGUUCAGAAGGUCAGAGCCGGUCGGUCACCCGAUGCAUUAUUUUUAAUUUUUUAAUAAAUAAUAAAAAAUCGAUGCUAUAUCUAUAAAUCAAACCGAUGCUUUAUUUGUUUAAAAAAACUAUGCUUUAUUUUUUUUAAAAGAACUAUGCUUCCUUCCUUCUCAAAUAUCAACAAACAGCCCACAAACCGGCCAUGCCCGGCCCAUUCGUACGGUCCAGCUAGCGGAACACCCCGCCGGGCCCCUCAACAGCUCGGUCUCGCUCGGGCCGAACCUUCGCAAACCACGGCCCGCGCCGGUCCAUUCACCGUCCUCAAUUCCGCGGCUGCAAGAAAAAUAUCCUUCGUCGCCUCCGGCUCCGGGUGAGGAAGACUCCCGAACGGUCGAACACUGGUGGAAGCGUUUGCUUGCCAUCCAUGGCGACUUCUACUGCUGCUGCUGCUCUGCUCCGCCCCUGCCCGGGAGUUCCCGCAGCGGUAAAGCCCUACGCUGGGAAAUGGAAUCCUCGCGUCCUUUCGCACGAGUUUAACUGAGUACAGCUUCGUCUUUGUCGCUUGCAGUUGCAGUUGUCGGAGAGGUGGUCUCCCCGUGCGGUUGCUGGGCGGACGACGAGGAGGAGAAGGGGAGCGGCGGGGGUCGUGCGAGCUUGCUUCAACCCUCUCGGGGACGAGCGCAUCCUCCGAGAAGCCAUCAAGGUAAAUUUCUUGGGUCCUUUUCAGUUUUUUCUUCUUAUAAUCUAUGAUUGGGGAUAGUUCUAGUUUGGUUGAUUGUAUUGUGGUUGAUUUGAGGCUUUAGGUAGCUUCUAGUGGUGGGAAAUGUGAAAUAGACCGUUCAAUCCGACUCUUACACCUAUAUAGCUGGUAGCUGUAGUCUCAGCUUCAUCAAUGCUUGUGGUCUUUUGUACGCUUGUAAAGUUUUUUCCUGGAAGAUGGGACAGUUUAUGCCGCAGUCAUAAUUCAGAUUUGUUUCGAUGUUCAUGAUGUUGGAGAAACUUCAUAUUGAUCUAUGGAGCUAACUCUUCAUUAAACUUUUCAGUGCGUUCUGAACUGUUAUGGUUCCCAUGCUAUCAUCGAUAUAGGCAAAACUAGCAAAAUUGACCCUCAACUUGAUAUGUAGGCGUAUUGUUUCAUACUUCCCUGUUAUUUUAGGUUCCAAUGUCAUCAAUUUUGGUAAUCAAAAUGCAUUCUGGAAAUGGAAAGUUGCAGAUAAUUCAGGAAGAGUAGCUAUACUGUUAGUGACAUUCAUCAAACAAUAAUAAUUAUACGCUCUUUAGUCUGGAACUGACUUCUUUUUCCUGUUGAAGCAAGACCAGAUGAUGAUAUUUUAUCUAUCCUGUCUGUAGGAGCCAGUAGCAUUCAUGGGUGGUGUGUUUGCUGGCCUCUUGAGGCUUGACCUGAAUGAGGAUCCUCUCAAGGAAUGGAUCACUCGGACAGUGGAGGCUUCUGGAAUAGCUGAGGAAAACAGCUCUGAAGAAUCAAGUGAGGCAGAUCAAAAUGAUGCACCUCAACAAAUUGAAAUUGAGUGAGGUGCACUGGCUACCUUUUGCCUGCUUAACAUAUUUUCCCUGUAACUUAUCCUGAAUAUCUGUAAUACCUGAGUCAUGACAUUCUUGCAAAAACUUUUAUGUGCUUAUAUUGUUUUUAAGUCAAACAUUGGAUCAACAUUGAUAAUAUAAAACACUGGGCCCUGGUUUUGUUCUCCCACUCCUAUUUCAUAAAUCAUAAUAUGAGAAAUUUUAGAGUGCUUAAAAAAAUGAGAGCCGUCCAUCUGGUGAAAUCAAACGGUGGAAACAAAGAAAGUACCAUGAAGUACUAAAAGAGAAGUACCAAGAGGUACCAAUUUGGUGGGACCAAGUACCAAAAAUAGUGAGAAAUUACUAUGAUGCCCUUUUAAUUAUGUGUAAAUCUAUUUAAUUCUUUUUUGGUAAGAAGGAUAAGAAAGGAAAGUACCUGCAAGUACCACUGGUACUUUAAAAGCAUUGUAACAAAGCUCAAUAUGAUGUGUCAGUCCUUAAGAUGUGUUCCUUCAAAACUGAACUUUGGCCAUUAGUACAGCUACGGAAUGUAUUACAAGUACAUGAAAGGUUAUAAAAGUGAACCAAAUGCAAAUAUGAUGGUUGUAUUUUUUUUUUGGCGACUAACUCUAAAGAUGAUUGCACCAAUUCAUUUCUCAAAUGUUGCAAACUUUGACUCUCAUGAUGUUUUGGGGCCUAUAUUGUUAAAUGGAGGCAGUUGAUGACCAACAAUAAAAUGAAUUUUACUGAUACAUGUAUUAGGGAGUAUUUGGAUAAUCAAACAUCAUGUCUCCUUUUUAUACUUACUGGUAAGCACCUUCAGUUUCAUUGGAAAAAUAGGAUACUUUUGUCCCUUUUGUUCUAUUCCUGAUAUCAGAACAGUAUAGUGUCAGCAUCAUGUAUUCAUUGGCUUCAAGUGAAGUUUUAUGUGGACAUCAGUUGAAUAUUUGAAUGCAUAAGAGACUACGACCAGGUUACUAACCAUCAGUUCACAUGGAGAAAGGAUCUUGCAGAGGUUUUUUGGUGAAUAGGAUUUGCACAUCUGAAUUGGAGUUUGAAUAUGUAUGUCUUACUGAAAAUGCAGUCUUUUGAUCCAUGAACUCAUAAGUCUUGGACAACGAUUUAUAGAGGACUUAGUUGUGUAUUCAAAUGGACCAGUCUGCUAUACUAACUACCCUUGAAAAAACAUCAUGUUCUUUUUUUCUUGUUUUGCUCCAUAUAAAUUACUUCUAUGGAGCACUGCUGCUUAUUUUUGUAAGAAACAAGGUCUUCCAGCUUUAUUUCAACAAAAAGGCACAAAUAAAACAAAGGGUCACGCAUUAAGCGUAUUCGAGGCGUGCCCGCCAAACACACUCUCAAUGACAGCCGGCACGUUACUGAACUCCACAUGCACUGCUGCUUAUACAUAGUUUUAGUUUGCAUACUACAAGGAAAUAAGAUAUAAAUAAUUUGCUUUGCAAAUAUCGAAUAUAAAUAAAAUUUAAAGAUCCUGGCAUCUCCAUUACAUGGUUUAGAUGGAUUUUGUGAACAAUAUAGCCAAAAAAAUUUCAAGUAAACAACGUGUCCUAGACAGAUUGCUGUGGGUUGAAAAGGGCACGUGUUCUUGUUGACAAAAAGAACCAGAUUUCUUUGGAAUAUAAUAAAGGGUCCAAGAAAAAUAUCAUUUCGUCUCUCUGAUGUAUUGCAUAUUCAUGAGGUAUACUUGGUGAUAAUUUUCCUUUUGAAUGCUAGUAACUGUUUAAUUUGUCUAGAAUGAUGCUACAUAUUGGAGCUACUUCUGUGCUUCAACAGGAACAAUGUUCGUGUCAUGUCUGAUGGCUCCCUGACAUAGUUAAUGCUGAGAAACCUAAGAGUGAGACAGUCAGUAUCUGAUUCAAAAUAUUAUCACUUAAGGAAGGUGUCAUUCUCAUUGUCCAAUUGAAUGAAAGAUCACUAUUUUAGAACAUUUUAGGUUCCGGGAGGAUAAGAUUAUUGAGAAAACUGAAUAUAUUUGUUAAUCAGUCCUCUUUUCUCUUGUUUUCUUGAGCAAGAAAGGUACCAUUCCUUGUGAGCUUGGUGGAUCUUCUCUUGCCUCCCGCUUUCCUGUUUGUGGGACACUCUUUUCAUCCGGUUUUCGCACUGUGAUAAGUAUCCCCGUAUUCUUCUCUUCCUCAUAUUCCUGUGUGUACAUCAGGACAAGAAGUUAGGUGAUGAUAUUUCCCAGUUGUUUGGCUUCUCUCAUUACUGAUUCAUUUAGAAAUACAUCAAUGGUUUUGCACAUUUAUAUAGUUAUAUUUGGUAUUGUAAGUUACUACGUACAGUUACGUGUAUGGUUCCCAAAACAUGCCUUUGGCAUUUUGGCAAGACUUUGGUUAUGGUAUAAAAUUGAAGGUACUUUUCAAGAUAAAUCUGCAUACAUCAUUUUUAUGUGUUCAGUCUACUAAAUGGUUGGUAAUACAUUGAUAAUCAUAUUUAUAAAUUUUGAUCCGUUAUAUUACCACUCUUGUGUGUUCGGAGAGGGUAGGUGUAAACACCAUAUGCACUGGCAAGACUAGUGAGGUAUGCUACAGUGGAGUUUGUUCUGUGUUUGUUGGGAGAUUGGUCAUUUGUGGUUCCAAAUUAAAAUGGAUGGACUCUGUUCUGUUCUAUCGUUUGUAUGUUGGGAGAUUAUUGUGCCAUGCCUAGCGACAGGUGAUAUAUGAAGGUUAGGCAGAUUUCUUUUAAUGCACUGUACCCCACAUGAGACUGACUGAUAAAAAACUAAUUUAUCUUGUCAGUGGAUUUUCGUUCUUUUCCAUUUUAGAAGGUCUCUAUAUAAGUCCACACUUGAGUUUGAACUUUGACUAAUUCUGAUCCGGGUAUUUUUCUUCUACCUGCAUAAUUUAUUACUCAUUGCAAUUUGGUCUCUUCUUUCCUUCCUCUCAACCGUGCAGGGCAAAUCAGACUGUUGGGCGGUGCUUUCCAACUAAUCCAAUGAUGGGCGUGGAUCAAACAGGAAUGGCUAUCAGAAUAUCCUUCGCCUGUAAGUCUCCAGCUCCAACUUGCGAGGCGAGCUGUUAUGGCAUAAUAUGGUUGGCACUCUAGAACCAGAAGUCGUUAUUGUUGAUUUGAUCUCAAGCCACUGACGUGAACUCAGUGAUAUACCAAUGCAACCACUAACUACGUGAUGAUGACUGGAACAUAUUUCUGCUAGAAUGUUUUUGGUUCUCACUUGAUGAUGACUGGAACAUAUUUCCGCUAGACCUUUUAUGCUUCUCAGUGGAAAGGGAUUGCCCUUUAAUGCUGAUGAAGAAACGCCAUGAACUCAAGUUCAGAACAUUUCCCGUAACAUGGGAAAAGUUUCGUAAAUUUUGUCACUUAAUAAUUUGGAAUAUGAUAUUAGUAGAUACUGAAGUGAUGAAAAUAAGUGAAACUAGCAUUAGGAUAGUGUGCUCAACACAGAUUUUUAUUUGCUACUAUUUGAAAAUGGGGGAGAGAAGCAUGGAUAGAGCAUCCAUGAAGCAAGGCAACUUAAAUUCAUUGCACAUCACAUUACUAUUUGUGAAGACAAAGGGUACCAGGAGCAUGUACAGAUAAGAUAACAAUCUUUCGCGCUAGCAUACUGACAUUUCAAUUAUACAUCCUGUCAUGUCGUUGUAAGAAUGGUAUGAUUGGAAGCGCUGCGACACAUGAUACAUCACUGUUGUGUGCUGAUUUACAUUGUUCAGCAGGUCAUAGAACAGACACCUGGCUAAUAAUCAUGAACGAAAUAAUUUGUUCUUUUUGCUAGUAUAAAAUAUGGCGAUUGGUGCCCUGUCACCUGACAUGUCACUUUCUUUCCUUUUCUUUUCUGUUUACAAGUCCAUUUCGAUACACAUAUAUUCCUGGCACGUGGACAGGAAUUGUACAGUCAUGCAUGCAAGUGACUAGACAAAGGGCCUGCAAUCAGCUCAAAUGACCUCAUCGAGUUUGCCAGGAAUUUUACGAGGGAAAAGCAGCAGGGGAGAUUUCCAUUCCAUGCCAUCUUGCGUUUUACCGGCCGGUUUAUCUACUUCGAUCCAACAUCCAACCCGGGCGGCUCACGCUUCACGCCCCGCCUGCUCGUCACCACGCAUUUGACGUUCGCUCGAAUUAGGUAGCUCAUGCAGAUGUUUCCAUGCCAUCCUGAGGACUUUCUCCUAUAUAAGAGUAGAGUUUUAACAGUAUUGAUUAGCGUGAGUUGAUCUGCUGGACAGAUCACGGUCAAGGUGGCCGACACGCCAGCAAGCAUGAAGAGCUCCGGCGUCGUGCUAGUGCUCCUGCUGGCCAUCGCCAUGGCGAGCUGCAGGCUCUCGCUCGCUGCCACCGCCGCCGCCACUCACGAGAGCGGCGCCAGCAUUCCCGCCAUCCUGGGCCGCGAGCUGCGGGAGUUCAUCGCCAGGGCCGGCAACAUGUUCCGGUCGUCGGGGGCUGACGGCUGGCGCGCCGCGGCCACGAACGCCACCGCCGACGCCGACGCCGACGCCGAGGCGAAGAACCUGCGUGCCGUGGCGGCGUCCCGGAGGCGGCGGCCCGCCAGGAAGUCCGCGGGCUGCGUCAGCGCCGCGGCGUGCCGGAAGAGGCGCGUGAUCUGCGCCAAGAGGUGCUACCGCGCCUUGCGCGCCGCCAGCCUGACCCACGUCCCCUCCCGAUGCGUCGUCAAGUGCAGGAAGUGCGUGCCCACCUGCUAGAUCGCGCAUCGCGCCGCGUCGCGUACUCGCGUCGCCGGAGUUGCUACUUCUUGUCGUCGUAGGCUCGGUGGAAUAAAGAUGCAGAACCCUGUUCCGUGCGGUAGUAGGUCGUAGUGAAUAUUGUGAUUUCUAUACUGUACCCCGUCAGCACGUUUUGGAAUUUGGAUUCGGAUUUUUCCACUUGAAUAUCAGUUGUUACGCUCACUUCCAUGGUAGUAGUACAGUACUGUAUGGUACACUGGCAACUUCUGUAGCGGCCAUUUGUUUUGUUUUUUUUUUGGGAGGAAAGUGUAGAAGCCAGCAGUUGUGGGGGUAUGGGAGGUGCGUGUGGGCUUUCAGGGUUGAGCUUCCUGACGACUGACGGGAAAGCUGAACGAACUGCUAACCGUCUGCACUUUUAAUCAAGGAGACGCGUGCCAAGGACGGUGUCAGAUGGGCACGAUCGAUCAUUGCCCGGGGAAUACUAGGGCUUGUUUAGUUGUUCAACUUUGGACAACCAAAAUUACUGUAGCGUAACUGUAGCGUUUCGUUUGUAUUUGUAAAUUAUUGUCCAAAUAUUGACUAAUUAGGCUCAAAAGAUUCGUCUCGCAAAGUACAACAAAAUUGUGCAAUUAGUUUUUGAUUUCGUCUAUAUUCAGUACUCCAUGCAUGUACCGCAAGUUUGAUGUGAAGAGAAAUCUUUUUUUUACAUAGUAUCAAAGUUGAAAUUUGGAGUGCCUAGCUCGCGCGAGCUCAUUCGCCGAAUCCCCCGCCAUCUCACCUAACACGAUUGACCAAGAAACGAAAGAGACCUCGCUAUUACUCUGUGUGGUUUGCGGUUGAGAGUCCUGGCUGUUGGUUGCUGCCUCUGCCUGCCUAAUAACACCCCGGUUUCUCGAGUGCUACGAAGAUUUCGGACAGCCAAAAACCUGCGCGAGCCGUACAGUACAGGGAAAACCCCUGUCUGUUUCAGGCCGCGGCAUGACUCAUGCGUCAUGACCGAUUCGAACCUACCGUGCGCGGACACGCCAUCUUGUAGCCUACUUGCAUGCUCGGCCUUGGCCGGGAGAAAGCUCAUCUUGCCAUCACGAAUUGGUUCAACGGUGGAUCGUCCCAUGCUGCGGUGUUGUCACGUCGAUCGGUAACCGCUGGUCAUGCCAAUUUUUCUACUUACGGAAGUGAAAGCGGCGCACGUCGCGGUGACCGUAUGAUGCUGGGAGAACGCGAAUUUUGGACAGCACUGUAGAUGGAUUUAGACGAGUCCUAGUAGUACUAGUACAACACGUUAUGUCCCGAUUAAUCCAAAAUAAAUCAAUUUGUCCUGACAUAAAUCGAUUUGUAGGCUUAUCCAUCACUAUCACUCCAUCCGUUUUCAAUUUUCAUGUACCACGCUGGCUCCGGCCACCGAAACAUCGAAGACACCUUUUGGAGAGGACAAAAACCGAGGGGGAAGUGGUCUUUCAUUACUGCCUCCUCCGUCUAAAUCUUUAUAUUUAAAAAAUAAUAAUUUUGAAUGGAGGACAUGAUUUGAGACUGAAAACAUGUAGCAUGUGCCCAUGCGGCGAGAGGGUCCAGGGCCCAGCUAGCAGGGAUCCAAGCGGCCGGGGAACAGGUGACGCCGCGCAAGCCGCCAGGAACCGAACAGCGCGAUGCCCACUGCUACGCUAGAACCGCGCGCAGCUGAGUCAGGCCGAGCGCGCUCGUUUCGCACGCGUGGCACCCUCGCUGCCGCGGCUUCCGAUCCGCGACGCGCAUCGCCAUCGCGCGGUUGCGCAUCGCCGUUCCGUCGUAAACCCGGCGGGGCGGGGAAGGAGCGAAGGGAUGGAUAGAUAGAUGCGUGCAGCCGUCGCGGAUCGGUGGACGUGACGUGCGCGAGCGGUUGGAGUUGGAGCGCGCAGCCCCCGGAGGCCGGACGGAGGGCUAGCUAGGCCAGGGCUCUCAUUACUUGCCCGGCGCCGCGAGAUGGACGUGCAACUACACGGCACGGCACGGCACCCCCAAUGCAACGGACAACGCCACCUGCGUGAGUGCGACCACGCGGUGCCCGCCCGGCUGCCCCCGUCCAGCGGUCGCGGCCGCGGCGAGGUUUCCUCCCUCCAGGACGGCAGGGCGGCAGGCAGGACCCGUUCCCAUCGGUCUUUGCCCGCGGCACGGGGUUUUCGUUCUCUGAUUCUCUCGCCCGCGCGCGCCUCGGCUAACGAUGUCAUUAAUGGAUUCCCCGGCCCGGUAGCCAGUAGCACCGGUGCUCUGUAUGUGCAGCUAGCUAGCAGGAUCAGGACUAGCAGUCAGUAGCGUGGUCAAACCCCUGGCGCGGUCUCGUCUACCACUCGUCUUGUUGGGAGGAUGGCAGUUGAGGAGAUCUCAGCUAGUAGCUCUGCCUGGAGUCCGAGUUCUGAACUCGGUCUCCUCCGCUGGUCAGCAUGGAGGCUUCAGUCAUAGGCCGGCGGCCGGCCGGCCGCAGCAACAGCCAACCGUACGUGUCGGUCCGGCCGCCGCGUGAGAGUUUUGAACGGAGUUUUGGAGGCAGCAUGCCGGCAUUCCAUCAGCCGGCGGGUUUGCCAGCCAGCCGUGUCACGCAUGGCUUGCCUGUGUGCCGACGCGAAACUUUCUUGUUUGUGCCAACCGCCCAGGGGUGAGGUGAGAGGUGAGUCGUACGGUACGUUGGCUGCGACUGCGAGGACGGGAACCGAUCGAGCAGCCCGCAGCAAGCGGCCAAGGACGCGUGGGGUCUCGGAAGUUGGAGGCGAUUUGCUGUUGUCAACUUUUUUUUUUGGUCACCAGCCAGCAGCUGCUGGUGCCGGAUCUGAGCUUAAUGAUUCUGGGAGCGGCUCUCUCGGACCGGAGCUUAAUGAUCAACGGAGGUUGACACAUCGCACCAUUUUCUGUGUCCUCUCGCGGUCCAUCAAUUCGAACGUCGAGUACCACCACUAUGUACUCGUACUGGCACCAAUAAUUUUCUUCUGACAAUAUCAGGUUUAGUCCAUCAGCUAUACUACAUCAAAACAUGAACUUAGUUUCUUCCAUCGUUCACCAAGAACUGGGUAACCAUCAUGCGAUGUGAGGUUUGCUACCUUAAUUACAGGUAGAAACCUAACACUCUGGUAUUGUAUUCACGCUCUCCGAAUGAUUGUCUUGCACUGAAACGAUAUACUCAAUCACAGGUUUAUCCCAGGAUUGUCACGCCAUAUUGGCACAACCCAUACGCCCUUUUCAUGACCUACUCAUGGUUAUUAGUAUCUGUCAUGCCAUAUGCUAUCUCGAUCAGUCGAACUGCACGCCAUCGCUCGCUGUCGUCUGCAUCCGUUCCGGGUGCUGGCGAUCUGAAUCCGCUGCGAAACGACUCUCAAUGAGAGAAAAGAAAAGGGAGACGGGCCGGCGGGGCGCGAUUGAAUGCUCGCACAAGAACCGAGAAUUAUGGGGAUAAAAAGGGGGCGGCGAUGAGCCAUCGAGCCGGAAGGUAUGGCGAUGAAGGAAAGUACAACGCCAACGUCCACCAGUACCCGCUAUAAAUGCGGCCUGCAGCUGGCUGGAUCCAUCGAUCUGAUCUCUCACCCGUCUCCUCUCCUCUCGCCUUCAUCAUGUGGCGUGUGCGGCCAUGUGUGCAGUGCCUGUGGACGGCGUCGGGGCCGUAACGUGUUGCCGUCGUGGCCUGCUCGCUCUGGCCCGGCCCCAGCCCUCUUGACUUCCGUGUUCCCUCGCCGGACUCCGACGAUCCGCUCCAGUUCGAUCGUCAACGUCGUUUUUAUACUAGUCGUGUUUUGCUGUAACCUUGCGGCGAUACUGCUGUUGCACGGGUUUGUGCAGUUGACGACGUUAAGUACGAUACAGUUCGUGAAUUGGCAGUGUGCCUCCAAGGCCAUCACAAGGGUUGGAAGCCUAGCCUUCUUUAUAUAAAAAAAAAUCUUGGAAGUCUUAAAAAACAUCAAUUUUCCGUCCAUCGCACGCUUGGUGUGAAUGUGAUGUGAUAAACCUUAUUUGGUUUCAUUGUAUUUUGAGACUGUUAUAGAAAACCACAACUACACAAUCAAAAUAGUGGCAGUACAGUACUCCUACUUAAUAAGAACUGUAGAGAGGAUGCAUGAUGAGGUGAUGAGGCGAUGGAAGGAACCCAAAUGACGGAGACAAUUUGGUUGGCAGUUUAUUAAGUGGUGGCCUCAGUGCAGUGACUCGCUCUCUCACAGCUCCAUUGCUCGCCUCGCUGCUCUCUGAUUGCUCCGUCCAUCCAUUAACUCCUCCCCCCUCUUUAUUGUGCAUGCAUGCUUUCCUCCUUUAUAACUCCUGCCCGCGCUAGCUGCCCUCUCCACUGCAUCGAAACCGGCCGCUCUCUCCAGACGCGCCUCUGGCUCCCGGUCGCCCCACCACUAGCCCUCUUCCUUCCUGACUUCCCAGCCCUCGAAUCCUCGCGCUCGAUCCAGCCAUGAGACCGGGCGGCGGAGACCAGCAGGGCGGCGGCGACGGCACGACGCCGCGGUCCGCGGCGGCCGGGCGGGCCAUGGUGGAGCUGCAGGCCAACGCGUCGGCGGCGGCGGCGGGCGGCGCCAUGGUGGUGGGGCUCAGCCCGCUCAGCGAGACGCUGUGGCGGGACAGCAAGGCGCUGCCCCCCGGCGCCGGCCCCGCCGCGCUCAUCGGCGACGUGUCAGCCAGGCUCACCUGGAAGGACCUCUGCGUCACCGUGGCGCUGGGCCCCGGCAAGACGCAGACGGUGCUGGACGAGCUCACCGGGUACGCCGAGCCCGGCUCGCUCACCGCGCUCAUGGGGCCCUCGGGCUCCGGCAAAUCCACGCUCCUCGACGCCCUCGCCGGCCGCCUCGCCGCCAACGCCUUCCUCUCCGGCAACGUGCUCCUCAACGGCCGCAAGGCCAAGCUCUCCUUCGGCGCCGCGGUACGUACGUGUUGUAUGACUUGUGUCCAACCAUUUUUGCAUGCACCUGCUUCUCGCUUCAUCGCAUGAGCUAUAAGCUUUGAUUCACUACUCUCAUCUGAAAAGAAAUAAAAAAAAUCCACCGUUCUAUUUCUGAGCAUCAAGCGUUCCGUACUACCACUUCAGUUCAGAUCAUACAAAUAUAGCAAGGUAGCAGUUCCAUUAGGGGUUUCUUGAUAGGAUCUGUCCAAGUUCGAAUCUACCGCCCAUAACUGGCACCUGGCAGCAUGCAAAUCGUAUUUGAAAGGGCCAGGAUCUGGUAAUCUGCAUGCAUGGUGUGCUUAAACACAGUGCAGUGGGCAACUUUUAAAAAAAAUCAUCUUGCUAUAUUUGCUAUAAUCGUAUUUGUGCAGUGUGGUCAUAUAUAGGUUUCCCCAAAAAUGAAUAUGUGUAGUUAUACAUACAGUCACUUCACUAGGACUGCUACUUUCCUUUUAGACCUAGAUGCACAGCUACACUUGACUACAUACCAGUGCUACGAGAGAUACAGAACAAACGGUUUAUUUCAUGUCGUGCAAGAGAGAAGCGAGAGAUCGGCUAGCCGGCUCGGUAGUAAUUAGCGACGGAUACACUUCCAAUCCAAUCGAUUCUGGCCGUUUAUUCUCGCAUCCGUCCCAGAUGGCGAGAGCACGGCUACGCGUCGAGCUCUGGUCCGGUCCGGCGUGUAAUGCAGGUAGGUGCGUGGAUUUAAUUCGCCCCGGUGGCUCGAUGGCGCCACACCACUCUCGAUGCCAAAAAUUUCGUACUGCCAUCUCGUGUUAAUUUCGUGAGGUGAAAAGGAGGGAGAGGUCGGCUGUCAAUAUGGCUGCUGUGAGAGCGAGCCUGAACGGCUGAAGCCACCUACACAGCAUAAAUUCUGACAGCUGGGCUUGCUCUCUGAUCCUGCUCUGAAUUUAUGGCGUUACACGGAGAACGCGUCUCUGCAGACGCAAAAGCAGUUGGCUUGCUCGGUUAAUUAGCGCCGAGUUUUUUAGUUAGAGAAACUGGAUGGAUUAAUUUUUGUGUUUAUGCAGGCGUACGUGACGCAGGACGACAACCUGAUCGGGACGCUGACGGUGCGGGAGACGAUCGGCUACUCGGCGCUGCUGCGGCUGCCGGACAAGAUGCCGCGGGAGGACAAGCGCGCGCUCGUGGAGGGCACCAUCAUCGAGAUGGGCCUCCAGGACUGCGCCGACACCGUCAUCGGCAACUGGCACCUCCGCGGGGUCAGCGGCGGCGAGAAGCGCCGCGUCAGCAUCGCGCUCGAGCUCCUCAUGCGCCCGCGCCUCCUCUUCCUCGACGAGCCCACCAGCGGCCUCGACAGGUACCUUAGGUCGUCGGAUAAGAGGACAGGCUGCUAGUAAAUGUUACCGAGUAAACUAACCGUGCGACGGUUGUGUAUUUGUGCAGCUCGUCUGCGUUCUUUGUCACGCAGACGCUGAGGGGCCUGGCCAGGGAUGGCAGGACAGUGAUUGCCUCCAUCCACCAGCCCAGCAGUGAGGUGUUCGAGUUGUUCGACAUGCUCUUCCUGCUGUCCAGUGGCAAAACCGUCUACUUCGGCCAAGCAUCCCAAGCAUGUGAGGUAGUUAUUACUUCCUUGCCCCAUCUCCCUCACUGUUAGCAGUUGGCAGCCGGAACGCAUGCCUCCACAUCACCGUAACUGUAAUUACACACAGCAUAGCAUGAUCAGUCGACUGACUCCUUGCUCACCUGCAGUUCUUUGCUUCAGCCGGUUUCCCUUGCCCGCCUCUGAGGAAUCCGUCUGACCAUUUCCUGAGGUGCGUCAACUCUGACUUCGACAAGGUGAAGGCCACCCUCAAAGGAUCAAUGAAAGCAAGGGUAAGCAGCUAACUGGUCAAUAGACAAAUACAAUAAAAUUUGCAAAUUUUGAUGCUUGUUCUCUGCUGUAAAUAAAUGAUCUAACAUUUCGUGUUCAUGAAAAGAUUGAGAGGUCUGACGACCCCCUGGAUAGGAUGACCACAUCAGAAGCCAUCAGGAAGUUGAUUGCAUCAUACAGCAGGUCCCAGUAUUACUACGCCGCAAGGGAGAAAGUCAAUGAUAUCUCGCGAAUAGUACGUGCUCUGAGUCAUCAAAAGCAACAUUGAUAUGUUGUACCUGUUUUUGGUGUCCAUAAUUAAUAUCAUAUCUGGGGGCAGGAAAUAACCAUCUUGUUCGUUGCAGAAAGGAACGGUGCUGGAUUCAGGCGGCAGCCAGGCCAGCUUCCUGAUGCAGGCUUGCACCCUGACCAAGCGUUCAUUCAUCAACAUGUCACGGGACUUUGGGUAUUACUGGCUCAGGCUCCUGAUCUAUCUCCUUGUGACCGUUUGCAUCGGCACAAUAUACCUGGACGUCGGCACCAAAUACACAUCCAUCCUGGUAAGCAUGAAGAAAAGAAAUAUGAACUUCUGGGCCGGACUGAUAUGAAUGCACAAUAAUGCAGUCACAUGAGCAAUGUCAUGAAACAUAUGAAUGAUUAAUGCAUUCACUACCUUGUCUCUGCAGGCCAGGGCUGCCUGUUCUGCGUUCGUCUUUGGGUUCGUCACAUUCAUGUCCAUUGGAGGGUUCCCUUCAUUUGUCGAAGAAAUGAAGGUGGACUUCAGGCUGUGAUAUUUCACCUGCAAGAUAGAAAUGCUAUGAACUGUCCUCACCUUUUGUUUGCUUCAUUUAUAUAGGUUUUCCAGCGGGAACGGCUCAAUGGGCACUAUGGUGUUGCAUCGUUUGUCAUCAGCAACACUAUCUCAGCAACGCCGUUCCUGAUUCUAAUAUGCUUCUUGUCGGGAACCAUAUGUUACUUUAUGGUGCGCCUUCAUCCUGGUUUUGAACACUACAUCUUUUUCGUGUUGAACCUCUACGCCAGUGUCACCGUGGUGGAAAGCUUAAUGAUGGCAAUUGCCAGUGUCAUUCCCAAUUUUCUCAUGGGUAUCAUCAUAGGAGCUGGAAUUCAGGUAUGGCAUUUUCACCCCCUUUCUCAUGUCAUUUUCCAUGCCCCUACAAUAUGGCACAAGUUGACAUAAACGACCAUGUGACAUUUAAGAUGAAAUCAUGAAUUAUAGAGCCCCUAAACUUGGUAAGGUUUUCUGGGACCACAAUACGAAGGACUUUACCUUGUGCUGAUCCAGUAAGGGUUGUAAGCUUGUAAGGCAUCCAGCUUGUCAUAUAACCACUCCUCACCAGUAUUAUUUGGAGCUUUACUACAUAUUCCAGUACAAGUUCAGCAAUUUACCAUUGAACUUGUAUUUACUAUCUGUGGCAAAAAUAUUUGGCUUGCUUUAGCUAUUACUGCAAAAGAUAUUUAACAGUAGUCCAAUGUUUCAGUUAUGUUGAACAGUUUCAUGCCACCACAAAACAAACAUCAAUUUACUUUCCAUAGAAAGCUCCAGCUCUGGGGCUUAGCAAGAAGAAAUUCUCACAAUUUUCCUUGGACAGGGAAUAUUUAUGCUGGUCUCGGGAUACUUCAGACUUCCGUAUGACAUCCCAAAGCCAUUUUGGAGAUACCCCAUGCAGUACAUCAGCUUCCAUUACUGGGCACUGCAGGUAAAUUCGGUUCCACACAGUAGCAGAUAAAUACAAUGCACACUACACUCCAACCUGAAACUUGACAUCAAACUCUAUACAUCUUACAGGGCCAAUGCCAGAAUGACAUGAAAGGCCUCGUAUUUGACAACCAGUACCCGGAUCAACCCAAAAUCCCUGGUGACUUCAUCCUGAAGUACAUCUUCCAGAUCAAUGUGGAUCGGUCCAAGUGGAUUGAUCUGUCGGUUAUCUUCAGCAUGAUCUUCAUCUACCGCAUCCUGUUCUUCCUCAUGAUCAAGAUCAACGAGGACGUGCUGCCAUGGAUCCGUGGCCACGUCGCCAGGAAAAGGAUGCAGAACAAAGGCCCAAGCGCCACCUUCGGCAAGACACCCUCCCUACGAGGCUAUGUUGUUGAUCCAGAGCUUGGCUCCAACGAGGGCUAGAGGAUAAAGCUGUUGUUUUGGGUGGUAGCAGGAAUAGGGCAUUUCUCCCCCAGCUCUUGGUGUUAUAUUGUACGUAUUUAAGAUGAGGAACUGGUAUCAUACGUUUUGGAACUGAAGCUAAUUUGGGUACAGGUAUACAUACAUGUAAUGUGAGCAAAGUGGCAUCGGAAAAAUGCAGAGUGACACAUAACUGAUUGUUCAGGAUUUAUUGGCUCCUUUUGAAAACAGAUGAAGAAAUGGUUGGCGCCAACAACGCCAGUCUCAGUGGUAGUUUCAUGAAAAUAAAUAAGAUGCUACGUAGAUGAUUAUGAUGACAUGGAACCAUACGAAGAAAGAGAAAACAAUCGUUUCACGGUGAUGAAACGAGCAAGCCCCAGUUACCCAGAUGUUGGAAACCGGACGACACUGCAUUGAGGGGCUUCGUUUCAUCUAGACGCGGCGGCGGGGAUCCCGUGCGAAGCGCGGAGCUCCUCCUGUGAUUAUGUCGAUCUCCCGCGUGGCGCAAGCUUUCCCGCCGGGCUUCCCGCCAAUCUCCAAUCCAUAUCUCGCCUCACUUCUCCCUUCCAAUCUCAUCGAGUGGCCGAUGGCUAUGGUAGGUCUCUGCGACGUUGCCGACGUAGGCCGCGCAGCAGUGCCAUUCGAUGGCGGGCCUAGAGAAGAAUGGCGGCCCCUGCAAACGGACGGCUUCUUCACCGAGAGGUCUAACUUACGCGUCACCACAUCAGGGAUUCGUGAACCUGGAAUCUUCACCAUGACAGCCUCCGCCAAGUGCAGCAUGUUGGCAGCCACGGAGGUCAAUCCUCUUCCACAAAUCCUAGGUAAUUUCCCUCUCGUUCAGUUUGUGCAUCAGUAGAAAACAAAUCCCAAUCAAGGUGUUGUUCGGGUUGCUUUUUUUGACAAAAAAAAUUGUUUGGGUUGCUUGAUUGCUUAAUUGGAUAGCUGAGGAUGCCCUGCUCGUCAGAUUUAUGGGCUGGCCGGGUAUAGGGUCAAGUAGAUCCGGUUCACAAAUGUAAGGUUAGUCAGAUUGAUUAAACUGAAAAACCUAUGUUUCUUUUUAUUCAUGAAGCAGUGCAGAUAAAUUUGGCACUAGCUAUCAUCUGGUGUAGAUGCUAGCCUGUUGUAGAUGCUAGCCCGUCAAUAAUUAUCAGUAGGUAUCAUCUUCCUAUUUCACCAUUCCGAUGUUUUAUUCAGUAAAUAUUAUUUUGCCAUUUUCACUCCCUGUUUUUGUCCAAUUGGUAAUUAUAUGCAUUGGUUCUGAAGUGUGAGACAUAUCUGCUUGUGCUGCUAUAUAUAUGCCAGUUAAAUCUGGCUCUUGAAAAUUUUACUUGUGAACAUAUUAUUAAAUAUUGCCGUCCAUUUUCAGGAGACAAGGUGCCAGUAAAUAGGAUGAUGGAAGGCUUCAGAAGAUGGGAGGCACUAUGUAGGAAAUAAGAAGAUGAAAAUUUGAGUGGCAGUGGGGUUUUUAAGUUUGCCAGAUUCCAUAUUUUGGUCAUUUAUCGCUUUAAUUUGGGUGGCAGCGAGCACUCUAGUCUGAAGGUAAAACUAAUCCAUAUCUGAAUGUUAAACUGCUGCAUAUCUGAAUGUGGAACUUCUUCGUAUCUGAAUGUGGAACUGCUACACCGAGUAACUCUAUAUAUGUCAGCAUAGUACUAUGCUAAUACUUAAUUUAGAUACAAUUGUAGAGGCUACAAAGUUCUCAUGGCACAUUUGAUAUAACUGUAGAGGCUACAAAGUUCUCAUGGCACAUUUGAUCACAACAUCUUAUAAGAAUUAAAUGCUGCAGUCUUUCUAUGAAAUUGUGCAACGAAACUCUGCAUUGAGAGAGAGAGUUUUAUUUCAUUGAAAAGCUGAUGUGGCAGUCUUGGUAACAUUGCGAUCAAACUGUGCACUGAGAUUGGUCUAAGGGCAACCACAAUGUAUGAAAAAAGUAGCCUUAAGCCACUCAUUACUCUGAAAAAGAUAGCAUUAAAACAUUAUGGGGAUGCACCUCAAGGAAAAAAGCUUAAAGGAGCACCUCAAGCUUACGGUUCACCAUAAGGAAAGAAGAAUUAAUUUCUUCUCUCUCCUCUCCCUCCUUUCUCUUUCAUGGCAUGUUUAAACAUGGGGCGGAGAGAUUGACGGAUGGGGAGUUGGAAUGCAGGAUUUUUUUAUCUUGUGUGGACCUCCGGGGUGUUCGCUUCAGCUUAUUCAGCCGGCUUAUCAGCCAUCAAACAGUAUUUUCCUCUCACAACAAAUCAGUCGUUUCAGCUUUUCAGCCAGCUUAUAAGCUGAAGCGAACAGCCCCCUCAUCUUGCGGUCCAAUUUAGACAAUAGCAUUGUGAGUAUGGCUGAAACAAAGAUCAACCGUUUAUGGGCCCACUCUUAAGGUUAUGGUGGACCAGAUACAUUGAGCAUGCCCUAAAGGCUCAAGAGUACGGCUCACAUGGCUACACUGUAUAGUCACAUUGAUUUUGCUGGCUUGAGCGUUACACAAAGUGGUAGUACUACAUAUUAAAGGAAUUGUAAAUGCCCCAUUUGAAUCUAACAAGAUCAAUGUGGUACUAUUUGUGAUUAAAAGUAGGUUGACAAGUUUCAAACAUUUCACAUGGAUUCAUUCAAGUUGUGUUUGUAAUGGUAAUGACCGACACAAUUUCUACAUGACCAUGUUAUAGUUACUGAUCGACCUUAAUUGGUGCAGCCGCCAGUAGCAACAGGAGCUAAGUAUAUGUUUCAAGCCAGAUCAAGAACCCUAGUACAGUUAUUAUGUAAAAAAAAAGACGAUAGUACAGAAUGAUUCAGUUUGGUCCCCUUGUGCCAGGCACAGGACAUGGGUUCAACACUUCAACUUCAAAGCCUAUAUCCCAUUUUCCAUGUUCCAAGCACUAACAAUUCUCCCUAAUUUUUCCUGUGUUCUACAAUGCAACCAACACUAGUAUUUUGGAAUGUUGCUAAUAGGAGAAGAAAAUAAUCAGGGCUGAAUCUAACAUGUUUGUAUUUCUUGGUGCCGUAAAAAUAGAGUAAGAUUUACUAAAAACACGAGUAGAGUCGUAGAGAAAACCUGGGAUCUGAAUGGAGGUGUCGGUCAGAUUGAUAUGUGCUUUGGCCUUCUUAAAUGCCAUGGUAGAUGCAGAAGGUAACUAGGGCAUGUUUUCUUCCACUUGCUAAACUUUAGCACCCGUCACAUCGAAUGUUUAGAUACUAAUUAGAAGUAUUAAACGUAGACUAUUUACAAAACCCAUUACAUAAGACGAAUCUAAACGGCGAGAUGAAUCUAUUAAGCCUAAUUAGUCCAUGAUUUGACAAUGUGUUGCUACAGUAAAUAUUUGCUAAUGAUGGAUUAAUUAGGCUUAAUAGAUUCGUCUCGCCGUUUAGAUUCCACUUAUGUAAUUGGUUUUGUAAAUAGUCUACGUUUACUACUCCUAAUUAGUAUCUAAACAUUCGAUGUGACACGUGCUAAAAAUAAGACACGGGAAGAAAAUAGCACCAGAUAGAGAGGCGCCGUACAGAUAGUCAGAUAUCAUGUGGUAUGCAGGCAGACUCUUGUUCAGAUAAAAACGCAGUAGGAUGGGGGGACACUGUCGAGCGCAUGGGCUCUACAGAAAUCUUCAAGAAAGAUUCGGAGCAUCAACCCUCGGAUCCAUUUUUGGGAAAGCGUUUUCUCUUUUGGAUUUUGCUCAGUUUCUUUUUUUUUCACAACGUUCUAGGCUCAAAGCUAAAUUGAGCAUCAGAAAUAAUCGUAAGUUUUCGUAAACUCUGAAUAGAUCUCACCUCCCUGCAAUUCCCUGUGGCAGUUUGUUGAUAGCAGAUCAUAAACAAUCUAUGAAAACCGGUGUUUGGAUCCCCGAACUAAGUUGAUAGCAGAUCAUAAACAAUCUAUGAAAACCGGUGUUUGGAUUCCCGAACUAAAUUUUAGCUCCUGUCACAUCGAAUGUUUGGACACUAAUUAGGAGUAUUAAAUAUAGACUAAUUACAAAACCAAUUUCACAACCCCUAGGCUAAAUCGCGAGACGAAUCUAUUAAGCCUAAUUAGUUCAUGAUUUGACAAUAUGGUGCUACAGUAAACAUUCGCUAAUGAUGGAUUGAUUAGGCUUAAUAGGUUCGUCUCGUCGAUUUAGCCUAGGGGUUCUACAAUUAGUUUUGUAAUUAACUUAUGUUUAGUCCUCCUAAUUAGCAUCCGAAUAUCCGAUGUGACACGGACUAAAUUUUAACUCCAGGAUCCAAACACGUCAUAAAGAUCCGGACACCCUCUUGUACUCUUCAAAAUGCUGGAGGAUGGAUGACAUAUGCAGCCCGGAUGCGGAUCAGACGCAGUCUGACUUGGCCGAGCCACAUGCUUCGAGGACGCCGGAGUCCCGCCGCUGCUUAGCGCCGGAGGUCAAGCUCAGGAGCUGCUCGCUCCGGCAGUGCAUCCGUGGUGCUAUGCGGGAAACGAAAUGGCCGGGCCGAGCAACGCCUUCUGCGUGCCGCCGCCUUGGGCCGAGCCUUGCCGACGAACGCGUUCCCAGGACUUUGGACCGCCAUGUCUGCGGCGAGCCAUGCUAGCGCAUCGUCGACAGCGAUUGUUGUGGCUCGAUCGAUGCCUGUGCGGAGGACAAGGACGAAGAGAGUCAACGUAUUGCCGCGAAGGCCACCAUGGCGCACGCACUGCAAGUGAAUGUUCCAAGUUUGUAUGCAUUUCUUCGUAUUCCCUGUUGGCUCUUUACACUGCAGCCAGAAUCUUAGGAGUAACUUUUCUGCCUGUCUCAAGGUGCUACUUGAUUUGCUCCAUUCAUGAACCAAACAGAGCAUCCAGGGUUUGACACAUUUUGAACUGGACUAGGCAUUUUUUGCACGGUUUACCUGCACAAGGAAUUGAACCUGGUUAAUUAUGCACACAUCCGGAGCAAUAGAAGCAGGAUGAGUUCUUCGGACCACUGAAGCAGGCGCACUGACGAACCAUGUCACAUCCUGCAGGUGUAGACAAUCAGUCGAUCAGUAGCAACCACGCUCGCGUUCGUACCCGAGGCGCAGUAGUCCGAGGUGCGCAUGCCCAGCCGGCGCGGGCACAACCGCGGCGUGGCCCGGACACGGCGAGCGGUGCCCGCCUCCGGCGUCCGGUCGUAGCUGCGGGAGCAGAGAUACUGCUGGCGCUAGCUGUUGAGCCAGGGAUUGGCCUCACGAUCUCCGCCGGGACCAAGGGCGGAAAUGACGGCAGCGGCCAGCGGUGGCGGACAGCGCCGGACGGAAGCCGAGCCGAAUCAGGGGUGCAUGUGGGCCCACACCAUGGUUUUCUGACAGCUAGGAGCAAGCGGCCUGUUCGCUUCAGAUUAUUCAGCCGGUUUAUCAGCCACCAAACAGUGUUUUCCUCUUACAACAAAUCAGCCAUUUCAACUUUUCAGCUGGCUUAUCAGCUGAAGCAAACAUGAUACGAAGGCGGGUAGCUGCUGGAACGCGGCCGCGCUCUGGCGAGCCGGAGCACCAAGCAGAUGAAGCGCUUGUACCCACGUCGGGUGCUCGGGGGUGGACGGUAUUUCAUUUACCGUCCACCCCUCGAGUCACUGCGGGCCGUUCGAUCGCACACGCGCGGCCCGGAUGCGGCGCGGUCGCGGUCGGAGCCUGACUCGGUCGUUUCCGAUCUCGGGAACCACAUGGCGGAGGCCGGAGGUCGGGUGGCGCUGGCGCCCCUACGACCGCUGCUCGACGUCGCCGGCAGCCUGCGUGCCGCAGUGUCGUCGCCGUCUUGCGCCGAGCCUUGUCGAUCUGCGGCGAGGACGGUCUGGGGCGUUGUGAGCGCGCCGCCGCAGGGCAUCGCCGACAGCCGAUCCAACCUUCAAGGUCUUGGCUCGAUUGAUACAUGCACUGGCUUGAUGCUGAGGACAAGACGAUCAAUGUAUUGAACGAAGCUGUGCGUGGAUCAUCCAUCGGUUGCCGCGCGCGGCCACCAAGACGCGCGAGCUUGCAUUGCCUGGUUUUCCGACCGAGAUUCAAGUGAAAUCGAGCUGCCCGGCCUUGUCCGGGAACGUGUUGCUCACUACGGUCUCAACAGCUUCGACGUCGGCGGCAACAGAUUCCCGUGGAGCAAUGGCAUACCCGAGGAAUUUCCGGGGUUGCUCGAAUGUGGCAAUGCGAAUUCUUUGCUCGUCAUUAAUUUUAAAAAAAAACUUUGCUGCGAACAGGAACUCUGAAUACCCACCCAAACGAGAAGAAACAGGUGCACUACUCAAACCGGAUGUUUAAAGAGAGAUCCAACAACAACAAGAAGAAGAAAGAAACUAGACGUAAGGGUAAGGCUGCCUCUCUCUUCUACGGCGAGCUGGAGCUAGGGGAUGCCCCGGCGAUGAUGAUUGGCCAGCUAGACGCCAGAGGGACCUUCACUUCAGGCCACCUUCUUCAACGAGAUGGGCUUCGGCCUGCUAGAGCUUUGUGGAUACAUGAGCCUUCUCGGGCCAUCUAUAGUAAGUUUUAGGAGCAUUUGUGUUUGUACCCUCCUUUGAAGUAUAACUGUGAUUUUACCCUCAUUUUAUUAACUUUGUGAUUUUACCCUCAACUUUUCACAAGUCAAUACGAUUUUACCCCUAAUCAAUAGUCAAAACAGGGGCAAGUACACAAAAACCAAGGGCAAAAUCGCAUUGACUUGUGAAUAGAUGAGGGCAAAAUCAUAAAGUUCAAAAAAUAAGAGUAAAAAUACAAUUGCACUUCAAAGUAGGAGCAAGAUAAAAAAAAACCUAAGUUUUUACCAGUAGGAACAAAUUAGAAAAGUCAACAGUAGCAAGAAAGGGGGCUUUGAAGCAGGAAGAAAUUGUCAGAAUGAAUCCCAUAGCAUUGAACGAUUCAAACUUGUGAGCCUUGCAUAUAAGAUGUCCAAAAAAUGGCAGUCACGAGUCUAAAGAGGUGUUUGGAUACACCCCACUAAAAUUUAGCACAUGUCACAUCAGAUGUUUAGAUGCUAAUUAGGGGUAUUAAACAUAGGCUAAUUACAAAACUAAUUGCAUAGAUGGAGUCUAAUUCGUGAGACGAAUCUAUUAAGCCUAAUUAGUCCAUGAUUUGACAAUGUGGUGCUACAGUAACCAUUUGCUAAUGACGAAUUAAUUAGUCUUAAUAGAUUCAUCUCGCGAAUUGGCACAUGGUUCUGCAAUUAGUUUUAUAAUUAGCUCAUGUUUAGUCCUCCUAAUUAGCAUCCAAACAUCCGAUGUGAUACUGCUAAAGUUUAGCAUCUAGUAUCCAAACACCCGCAGCCAUGGCUCUACUACGCUGAUGUAAUGCUAUCGUUAAGAUCCAAUGCCAUUAGAAGUUGCCGAUAGGAGUAGAAAUGCUGUUUCUGUAAUUGCAAAGAAAUAGUCUGACACUUGUUUUUUAUUGCCAACAUACUAAAACUAUUGGAGAGUUGUACAUAUAGCUGCUAGGUUAACACAUCCAAGAUCUAUUAACUACAUGCUUGAUAAUUGGUUAAUGGGCAUUGAAAUGAAAGAAAGAGGAUGGCUUUUUGCAGGGGCAACAACCUUUUUAUAGGCAACUUGGUACACUCGCAAUGAUCCAAUAUUUGAGGGGGGAAAAAACGGUUUGCCUGCUUUACACAGGCUACCUUCAUAGGUAUAUCAUCAACAAAGCACACAGCACAGCAAAUCAAAUUAUAAAGAAUCAAUUCAGAGACUCAAAUAGGUAAGUGAAACUUAACAAAUCCAAGCAUAUGUUUACAUGUCAAUUAAAGUGCCAGCAGAUUGCCAAAAUGGCAAUAUGGCCAUUACAACGCACUUUCAAUAUUUUUCACAUAAAGCAGCAGAUCGCUAGCUGUGAAGUCAAUAUAUUGCAGCUACAAACAAGUCAUGAGGUAGGCAAGAAGAAAUAUGCAACAGCUAAGGCACUAAGCUAAUAGUCUCACCUAAAAUUCUUUGCUGAUAUAUAAAGCUAGUUAUGUACAGUAAAUUAUUUAACUGGAUCAAGGGUCGAGGACUGGAAGCCUGCAGUAGAAGCUAAUGGACUUGUCUGCCAAUCUAGUUCCCGGGAUGAAGUACUGGAAUACCACUGUUAAGCAAGCACCACCAGGAGCAAUGCCUAUACAAAUAGUGAGAAAAAUGUAAGGAAAAGAGUCUCUGUUGAACACAACAUGUCACUGAGAUUAGAGCUGAAAACAGACCAUAGAAGGUAUAGUCUGGCUUGGCGAAGUGACAGUGUAGACUCUUAACAAGGUGCUUCAUAUUCACUUGCUGCAAGAACAUAGAAAGAAAAGAAAUCAAUGAAAUAGAUGGCACGAAGAGAAGAGUGGGAGAGUAAAAUAAGUGGAGCUCAGGAACAAUACCACUGAAAGUGCUUCCCCUCUCUCAACCGCCAUAUCCAUACGAGUCGAAGCUGUCAGAUUUUGAUCACCAACAGGUGCAUUUGCUGAAAUGCAGAGCAGUAUGGUGCCAACGGAGUUAAAAAAAGAGGCCGGAACAUGAACAAAUCAAUGCUGAUUGAAACUACCCAGUGCCAUAUCUUACCACGAUCGCCAAUAACCCGAAGCUUCCUGAAUUCAGAGCCAACCGUAACAAGAGAAGUGGAAACUUGAAGAUGGAGAUCGCCAUAUUGCGUAACAGCUACUGUUAGUAGAUCACCAACAUUUUUUAGACGAUCCACUAAGCUUUGCAAUUGUGGCAGAUCAGGAACCUGGACUAGAGUCUGCACAAAGGAUACCCGCCAUGUAUCAUCACCCAUUAGGGCUUCUGUCAGCUAAGCAAAAAGGUCACACUAGUGCUACAAGCCUUUGGACUUAUAAUAACAUAAAAAUGAAUAAAUACAGACCCCUCCAAAUUGCAAGAACACUUCCCCCAGGAAAGUGUAGUUGGAUUGUUUAAAGCUUAAAACUGGUUUGCCGAACAUGUAUUAGAGAGUGUAACUCAAUUUCAGCACAAAGAGAGCAUUUAAUUCUGCUGCAAUUUAUUGACAAUUGCUAUUAUAGGUUGCUCUUGUCCAGUACUGCAGGCAAGUGCAUUUUCACAUAUUUUUUAAGAAUAAAUUCCUGGAUCAAACCCCAUUCUAAGAACCAAAAUAUCUUUCAAUGUUUCAACAGGAGAAAUGAGUUCAGAGUUGAAUCCAUUCACUUCAUGAACCAGUCUUUCAACUAGGAACAUGUAUACCAACAAAAGCACGGUAUUAGUUCAUCCAUCCAACAAGAAUAUAAUCCCACUAAAAAUUGCAUAGUCAGAAUCAUUUCCAUUAGGCUCAAUUGUAACUUUGAAUAGUUAAAUUUGGAUCUUAAUUAAUCGGGUGAACCUGAACCAUAGGACCACCUUUUGGUUUCAAUACAUGAUUAUUGAUUAGGAACCAUAAGAUGCUACAUGAACUGAUGAACGCCACACACCUGAGGGAGAUCCUUGGCGGCGUCAAGGGCGGCCUGCAACCGCUCGACGUCGGAGCGUGAGAGAGGCCGCGAGAUGGGCACAUCCUGCACGACGGCCGCGCGGGAGCCCUUGGUCUCGAAGGUGAGGAACGGCGUGGCGGAUCGUGACCCUGCGGGCAGCUUGUUGACGAGCCUCACCUGUAUCGCGGCGGCGCCGGCAGCGUCCCCGGCGGCCGGCGGCUGCGCGUGGACUGCGAGCACGCUGCGGAGCGCGCGGUGAAGCAGCGCGACCUCGACGGAGAAGGCGAUUUGGUUCCCGUUCCGCGAGGACAGGUUGUACUCCCGGAAGAGGAGAUCCUUGGCGAACUGCGCGACGCACUGCGGGCCGCCGCCGUCGGGCCCCGCGGCCGUGGCGCCGAGGAGGUUGUGGAGGAGCAUGGCGUGCGUGGGCGUGAGGAAGACGUGGCAGACGCGCCCCACCUUGUCCAUGGCAGGUAGGAACCCUGCGCGGCAAAAAUCGCGGGGGACGCAUGAGACGUGCUCGACGAAUUGCGGGAGAGAGGGAGGGGGAGAGGGGAGGCUGUGCUUGUGUAAUAUGGCGCUUACGCUUGUCGAGGAGGGAGAUGCCAUCAUCGGUGAAGAAGGCCUUGAACUUCAUGGCUUGCGCUCCGCGACGGCGGUGGCGGCCUCUGCCUUCGUCUUCUCGUUGUGCGGCGAGGGAGUCGCUGUGCUGGGGGCUUGCCGCUGGGGAAUUUGGCGCGGGUUUGGAAAGGCUUCGCGCCCGUAGAAGAGCCGGCGGCGUCGGGCGUGACUGGUGGUCAGUGGGGUUCCUUCUUCGGCACACUUGGGCCCUUUGUUGCUUUUGCGCCGUGGGCUUAACAAUCAUUUCAUACGGGUCUAUUGUGAUUAUGGGCUGGAAUUGUGUGUGCUGAAUCAAGAAUGAAUUUUCCAAUUCGAAGCUAGAAAUCAGCGAAAACACAUUUACUUGAAUAAAAUGAUUUUUUUAGGACUGAGUAAAAUGAUGUUCUGCGUGUUGGUAAAACACAUUUGUUGGUCUUUCUUGCAGGGCGGGAGAGAUUGGCUUGCGAAAUGUGUAGGUUCGUAUUGGUGCAUGCUGCAUAUAUAUUGAACACGAAACGUAGCACAGUCACGGAGCAUUCGUCAAAGUUCAAACUGAGUUAGGUUAUUAAAAACGCAAAAAUUCAGGAAGGAGUUGCUUUUCGUNNNNNNNNNNNNNNNNNNNNNNNNNNNNNNNNNNNNNNNNNNNNNNNNNNNNNNNNNNNNNNNNNNNNNNNNNNNNNNNNNNNNNNNNNNNNNNNNNNNNNNGGCAGGACCUUUUAAAAUCUUUUUUAUUCUUUCGAAUGUUUUUCUUUCAUUUAAAGUGUAGUUGUAUUGUCCGCAUAAAGACCUGGCCACAGAAUUCGUGCAAUUGGUCGGGAAACAAUUAGAUAGAGUGCCCCCACAGAACCAAAUUCAUUUGACGAGAUGGGAACUUUUUUAUUUUUAAAUUUUUUAAAGUUCUUAAUUUUAUUUGUAGGCCAAGAUCCUUUUGCCGGGCCCGGGCCCCAGGGCGCGGUAGUCAAUUUUUCCCGCCCCAGCCCGGCGCUGAUGGGGGGGGGUUGUCGCCCCAAACCAUGGGGGCGCGCAACCCCCCGGGCCGGCAGGGGGUUUAAUUUCUUGGGGGGGUGGGUUUUUCUUUUUCCCCCCAAAAACCCCCUCCCCCCUUCCCCCCCCCCCCCCCCCCGGGAAAGUGGGGGGCAUCGACCCCGCGUUGUUUGGAAGGUAUCCCUACUUUUUUCCGUCUUUUACCGUUCCAUUUAGUAGAUCGGAGGGUGUUUAGGUGAAAUAGGUUUAGGAUUUCAUUUUAAAAUUUUCAUGAUUUGCAAGUUUGUUAUGUAGUAAUGAAUGCUUAGUUUAUACGCAGUCGACUCUCUGCCCACGAGUUUAACAUGUAGAAGUAGUUGCAUGCAUCGAUUUAUAUAGUUGUUGAUGUAUUUGCGUAGUGUGCACGGUAUGUGUAGGUUUAUUUGUCUAAUAUGUUGAAAAUUAAUGUAGUUUAUUAUUGUUGUUUGUAGUAAAUGAGCUAUAUUUGGUAUGUUAGAGUCUUUGUAUUUUUAGAUGGAUCGUUUAGUUCGUAUGUUUCAUGGUGGGAUUGUAAAAGAAAAUAGGGAGUUUGAGAAUACGAUUGAGGUGGUAGAAUUGUUCGAUGCUCGUCCAAGUUUUAAAGAUUUAGUUGACCGUGCAAUGACAAAAUAUGGAUGUGGAGUGGAUGAGAUGACAUUAAGAUGCCAUUUUGAUUGUGGGAAAGCUAGACUUUAUUAUAUUCUCAUGAAUUUGGCAUCCGAGUCUAAUUGGAAGCGGAGGUAGUUGAGCAUGCAACUGUUGUAUAUUUGGAGGUGCUAGUUGAUAUUUGUCGUAGGCCUAGCGCAAAAGUUGCAAGUCCGGUUAGUGGUUGAGAAUGGUACCCAAGAGUCAACAAUCUUACAGCAUGGUUCAGGUGAAACCCAAUCUGAUUUUGGUUUGGCCAUUGCAAAUGAUGGUUUUCCUAAUGAUACUUUUGAGCGGGAAGAAGCAAACAUAGAUGAUGUUGACAUAUAUCUCUAGGUUCGGAACUUUGAGGAGGAGCAUGGGGUAGAAGAUGUUCAGGCCAACGCACAUGAAGAUGUACUAGUCGGAGAUGGACCCGAAUGUGAGGAGGAGUCACAAUCUGAGAAGGAAGGGCCUGAAUCUGAGGAGGAUGGGCCGCAGGUCAACUCUACAAAUGUACAUGAUGUAGAGGACAUUGAUCUUGUGAACGAAUGUUAUUUUUACACUCCUAAUGAGUUGCAGUUGUUGAAGGAAUGUCACGUUGAACUCCCAACCGUUUCCAAUACUAAGGACAUAAGCAUGGUGUUGCCAAUGAAUAGAUCUAACCACAAUAACAACAACUCUUUGAUUCAUCUAUAUUAUUUAUCUACAUUGCAUGCCUCCAACUAAAUCAUUAUCAAGAUCUCAAAUCAAGCAUAUGUUACAUUUUUUAAACGUCAAAUCCAGAGGCAGAACGAUACCUACAAGUGUACCGCGAGUCUGAUCUAUCAACACGAACUUGCAUUAAUUCAACAUCUUACCCUAACCCUAGCCUAACCUAGUUGUUCAAAUAUCUACUAAAUGCAAUGGUAAAAUAAGGAAAAAAGUGGGCAAGAACGCGGGAUCGAUUCCCCACUUUUCCCACCCCAAAACGUAGGAUUCGGGGGGAAUCAGGGGGUGUGGCGGUCGGCGGUGAGGAGAAGGAGCGGCUCGGGCAGGGACAGCAGCCGAAAGAAAGGAGGGAGAGGAAAGGAGAAGGGCACGUGCUGGCCUGGAUGUAGGCGCUGUCGUGCCAAUUCAUGUGACGCGGUAACGCCUCACCCCGUCAGCGCCGCGCUGUCCCACCACUGCAUGUGGCACGGCAGCGGCUAACUACUGCGCCAUGGAGCAGGCGCAACCAAAAGGAUCAAGCGUGCAAAUAAAGUUGGGGAGGAGUUAUUUUUAAAAAUAUCUUUAAAAAGAGUUAAAAAAAAUAUUCAAGAAAUUGACGCCCCACAAUAAUGCGGCCAAAUACUGGAGCGGCUUGCUUCCAAUCAAUAGUCGAACAAUAAGCAACGAGUGAAAGAAAGAGAUAUACAUUGCCAAUGUCACCGCCUGAUUACAUCUGAACAAUGUAUCACCAAACUAGCAAAGAAUCCAAAACGCUGGAAGACUACUCUGAAACAGCAACCUAUCUUGCCAGAACUUCAAACCAGAAACUACCAUUAACACCUAGAGCAUUACUCCUAAACUGCCCAGUAGCAUCGUUAAACAACCGAAGAGCUCGCCGAAACACCGCGACCAUCGGACCGGCCACUGACGGCACUGCCACGCACGCGUUGAACGUGAACAUUGCUAGUUGAACCACGGCGGCUGGGCUCCUGCGACGCCGCCGCCUUCUGCUUGCUCUGCCAUGACUGCUCCGUGACCUGCUCCACCUCGUCACCAUUGUACUGCCAUGACUGCGAGGCCGUCCUGGUCCGGUCCGUGGAGUCGACGGAAUUGGGCUCCCAGGAGCACGUCCAGGCGUUGCCGGCGAAGCUGUUGCUCCCCGCGGACUCCUGCGGCUCGGUCUCCCCGACCCCGCGGAUGUCACGCACCGAGACGUAUUUGUGCAUGCUCGGCUCCAUGAGGUCGUCCUUCACGCCGACCUCCGACUCGACCACGAGGCUGGGGCCUGGACCCUUGCCACCGUACCUCCCGUUGACCGACUCCUUGUCGUUGACCGACCUCUCCAGCUCGAAGCUCUUGUUCUCGGACGAAGAGGAGUUGAGGUCAGCGACGGCUUCAAGGAUCGAGCAGGCCUUCGACACGCACGCCGGGAGAGCGAAGGUCGGCGCGGCAGUGGCAGUGGCGGCGCUGGUGCUCUGCUGGUGGUAGUUUUGGAUGUCCUCGAGGAGCAGGGACGCGUACGAGUUGCCAUUGUGGUCGAAGUCGCGCGAGGACCGCCUCGACGACCGGCUCCCCGGCUUCAGAUUGGUGACGUUCUCGGCCACGAUGCUCACCGAGUGGGUCGCGUUCAUCCUUGCAGACGAAGCCUUUGUGUCCGACGCCACGGCCUCGUCCACAAUCUCCUUCUCCUUCACAGCUCGGCUGCUGGGGAUCUGAUCCUUUGCCCGCUCCACUGUCUUCUGCGGCAAUGCGACGGCAGCAUCGGCGGAUUUCUGCAAAUCAUAUCGAGAAUUUAGCCAUUUAUUAGGUGGGGAACACUGACGGCUAAAAUGAAGAAAAGUUUGAAGCAUUCGUUCAUCCGUACCUUUUGGAGCUUGCCGUUGUUGCCAUUGUUGUGGUGGUGGUUGUUGUCGAGAGCGUUCUCGUCGAGCUCCGCCAUGGGGUUGCGCCGGAAGGGCGACUGCUCGGCCUUCCUCGAGGAGCUCCGGCUCAGGGACGGCCCGUGCGUCGGCUGCACCAGGGCGUUCUCAUUCCCUGCGGCGGCCGCCCUCGCAGGCGAGUUCGACCUCAGCGUCGGCGAUGGGUACCUCUUCCCAGACGACGCAGCCUUCACCGGCGACGGCGCGCGCCCCUUGUCCCUAGCCGGGACCGACACCAUCUUCCCCGGCUGCUGCCGCGCGCCCCGCUCGCCGGUCCCCGAGCUCCCCGCGGCGGGGGCGACGUCCGCGCGCCGCCCCGGCGACCGGCUCACCCUCCCGCUCCGGCUCCCGCUCCCGCCGCCAGUGCGGCCGUCGUGGCUCGCGGACCGCUUCCGGUCCGGCGUCCGGCGGCGCGGGGAGGGCCUGGACACCGCGGCCCCCUCCCUGCCCCAAUCGCACUCGUCGGCGCCGCCCCCGCCCCUCCUCUCGUGGUCGAAGUCGUAGCUCCGCUUGGAUCCGGCGUACCUCCGGUGCCCGCCGCCGUGCUCCCCCGACGGCGCCUUCCCGGACGCCGACGAGCUCCGGCUGAGGCGGCCGCACUGGAUCAGGAUCGCGUCCACCUCCUCCUUGGUGCAGCUCGACGUGCGCACCGGCGCCCGCACCACCGCGACGGGCCUCGGCUCCUCCUCCUCCGGCGCCGCCCGCUUCACCUCCGCCGCCUCCCCGGACCCGGCCUUCGCGGCUGCAGCGACCUCCGCGGCCGCCGCCGCCGCGGCUGCCUUGACGACGAACACCGUCCUCUUGUCGGCUGCCGGCUCCUCCGGCCUUGCUACGGCCUUCUUGGCCGUCGCCGAAGCCGGCGCCUUUGACUGGGGCGCUUUCUUGGCACCGACGACCGGUGCGGCGUCCCUGCCGGAUUUCCGGCUGCCGCUCUUCUUGGCGUCGUUGCACGGCUGCCCGUCUCGCCGCUUCGCGUGCUGCUUCUUGCUGAAACAGAGCCCCAUGGGAUUCAGACGGGGGGGAAUGGACGGAGUCGGGAGCUAGGUAGGGAGGGAGGUGGGUGAGGACUGACGGUGAGCCGAUGCGGUGGUGGUGUUUGGGAGGGGCAGACGGCAGAGCCUUGGGAGGCGUGGAUUGGAGUCUUGCGUUUUUGUGGUGUGCGCGGAGCAGUGGAGAACAGUUUCAACAGAGACAGGAGAGGGGCGGCGGCGAGGGGGAGCGAGAGGGAUUUCAAAUUUCCUGCUGUUUCAUCGGGGUCUGCGCCCACAGCGGCCGCCGCACGACGCGCACACAGGAUAAAGCCGUUGAGCUCUGCGCACGGGAGAGUGAGCACUGAGCACAGUGAAGACGUGUGCCGUACCACACUUGCCACGCUUCUCAGCUUCUGCCUGAUGUAAAAUCUCAACUCUUUUUUGUAAGAAAAAAAGGUAAAAUAUCUGUUAUUGCGUUGUUAAUCAGAAAUGUACACAUUCAAAAUCCUUUUUAGAAGGUUUCACUACUUUCCUGUCACCACUGUCUAGUGUCUACUAUCACUUGUAGAUUCAGCUCGACAUCCGCUGCAAUCACUGGCUGACAUGACCCCAGGCACGUGUUCGCGUAACGCACUCUGGGUUGGGAGAGACGGUAGACGGAGACGGAGACGGACGGACUAAUAGCUAGAUUCAAAUUGGAGGAGCAGUGCAGGUGCAGGAGAGCUGGAGAGGGACUGUUGAGCUUUUCGCAUUGUUUAUAUUUUUUUAACCCAAAAGAACCGACCGUUGCAGGGGUCAGCAGAGCUGAGCGUAGGAUUGGCAUCUGUCUACACCUCGCAUCACAUCAUCCUAUUGCAUUGGCUCGAGGCCGGAUCAUGUUUUGAGGUUAAUUAGAAAGAUUAAAUAAUAAAAAUAAUUACAUAAAUGAGGGUUAAUUCGUGAGAUGAAUUUAUUAAGCCUAAUUAGGGUCUGUUUGGAUACACUGCGUUAAAAUUUAACAAGUGUUAAAGUUUUAACACUCUCAAAUAGAGUGCUAAAGUUUAACACAUUGGGGUGUUUGGAUGAUAUGUUAAACUUUAACAUCUUUGGUGGAAAAUGACUCCAUUGCCCCCUCAUUUAUGGCCGGCGGAGAGAGAGGGAGGAGAGAGAAGGGGUAAUCUGGGAAAAAGUGGAGAGGGGACCACUUUUAACACCUUUAGCAAGUUUUAACACCUCCUUGAUGUGUUUAUGAAAAAUGGGGUGUUAAACUUUAACACCCCACUUUUAACACAAAUGUUUGGAUAGGAAAGUGUUAAAAAGUGUUAAAAGUAGGGUGUUAAACUUUAACACCUCCUUCCCAAAUAGGGCCUUAAUUCAUGAUUAGCACAUAUUUAUUGUAGCAUCACAUGUUUACUCCGCAUGAAGAGCAUCCAGUAUCCAAUUUCUUUUUUGACGAAUUCACGUGAUAGCAGAUAAGAUUUGUUCAAGCCUUGCAGAGGUGACACCCUUGAUUCUUUGACGCAACACUUUCUUUGUCAACGUAGGAGGGAAGGGAAGCUUGGACCACAUCCAAUGAUGAUGGUAUUGAUGUCAUGGUGAUCCUAUCUUGGACCUUGCAUAGUACAGAUGAGAGUCACUCUUUGCGUAUUGAGAUUGUGGAGUAGUAUUUCAUUAGUCAUUAGAGAUUUUAAGGGCCAGUUUGGUAGGGCUCACUCCGGCUCCAGCCGUGACUUCUGCUAGAGCCCUCCCAAAGGGCAGCGCACGAAAUGGCUCCACGAGCGAAGCACCCAGAGUCGGGGCCCUUUUUGUACCGGCGGGGAGGAGCCAAAAAUAGUGGCUCCUCCUGUCUCCCAAGUACUAAAGGCCGAUGGUACCCUCGGCGUGGAGUGGCGGGGAGCAAGGUAGAGGGCAGGUUGGCACGAACAACUAAUGAGAUGCGGUGGUGCAAAAGAGAAGGGGAACGACGAAGCUAAUGGCGAAGAAAGGGUGAUAUGGGGCCUACCAGUAGGGAACACCUGUGGCGGGGUGGAGAAAUAGUGACAUGGAGCCGCUGCAGCCAUGGAACUGUCGUCUCCCACCAAUUUGCCGUCCAUAAGGUCGCCUGCCAUGCCACCAAUGCCAUGGGGCCACGAGCCUACGGAGGAGAGGAGGAUGGGCGGGAGGAAGAGGAAGGAGAGGUGGAGGACUAGCAAUUGCAUCUUUGGCAUGCCGUGGCUGCAUCCAUGAUGCAGGAAGAAGGGAAUCUGUGAGGACGGAAUUGAGCGACGUGGCGGCAUGCGGAGAAGGCAGCGUUGCGACCUCACUCAUGGAGAAGAUAAGGAAGUAGGAACAGAUAAGGUGGAGAAAAGAAAGGAGAGAAAAAAGAGAGAGAAAAGGAGAGAAAAAAGAAGGGUCACCCGUGUGUCUUUUGGGCCUAAAGCUCAUAAUUACCGUGUAAAGCCUGUUAAACAAUUAUUUGUUAAUCUAGAAUUUAUAUUCAAUGCUUUUUUAAUUUAUAUGAAAUUGCAUUAUAAAAUGAGGGCUACUAUUUGUACAACCAAGUCAAGUAUGCAAGGUACAUUCGACAUUUCAUCUCUUCAUCUACUCAUGAAAACAUAGGUCAAAUGUUUUUCAAAAUGACUUCAGCUCCACUAGAGAAGUCGCUCCACCAAAGAAGCCAGAACCGGAGCUGUUUUUGGAAAAGCCGAAGCCUUGCCAAACAGGCUCUAAUAGUUGAAAUCACCUAGAUCUUUUCAAAAAAAAAAUCACCUACAUCUAAAGCUCAUAAGACCCUGUUUGGAUAGGGGUGUUAAAAUUGAACACCCUACUUUUAACACAUUUUUAUCAUAUUAUCUCCCAAACACAUGUGUUAAAAGGGAUGUGUUAAAGUUUAACACCCCCAAUUUCAUAAACACCUCAAGGGGGUGUUAAAAGUUGUUAAACUUGUUAAAAGUGGUCCCCGUCUCCACUUUUCCCAUUGCCCCCUUCUCUAUCCUCCCUCUCUCUUCGUCGGCCAUAAAUGAGGGAGCAAUGGAGUCAUUUCUCACUGAAGGUGUUAAAGUUUAACACACCAUCCAAACACCCCAAUAUGUUAAACUUUAGCACUCCAUUUGAGCAUGGGGUAUCCAAACAAGCCCUAAAUACGCCAUAUGGCUUAAGAAAGAGCAGAUGCUCAUAAAUACAAAACGGUUGUAUGUGAAUCAUUUCUCAUUUCUUAAGGCGGAAGAGGUAUUUCCACGCUCAAACUUCCCCAAGGCUCAAUUUCAAUCAUUAACUAUCACAUUUUUUUAAAGAUGUGCAUAGCAUGUUUUUCAUUAAGAAAGAGAGAAGUACAACGACGCAACUUCAGGAGAAACCCCAAAUGCAGAGUUACAAGAGACACCACCGGCGACAAACAAUACAAACACGACAACAGAAAAGAAAAAACACCUCACCACCACGACACUGAACACGACCAAGACGACUGAAGCCAACAGGAGAGAUGGACACGCACAUCACCGAUUACCUAACAACUCGGAGCUAGCGGAGGUCGAGUGAGGAGGUCAUGGAAGAUGAUGCCUCCAAGAAGGGAGCGACGCCAACGCCGCCAUCGUCCGUCUGUCCACAGAGGAGUAGACCAAGUUUUCACCUGACAAUUCCACACAGCAUACAGCCAAGGUCUGGAUGAGAGCCAAUGCGAUGGUAUGGCAGCGAGUAAUCCAUGGCGACGACGAUGAGGAUCAUCCGCAGGCACAGCCAAAGAUGACCAAGGAGCGACCAUGCGGCGACCCAAAGACGACCAGUAGGCGAUGGGCGGCGCUAGCAAGAAAAGGCGACCUAGAUUCGUGGCAGACGACCACAAGCAGAAGAACAGAGAACCCCACUCACCCCACAACAACAUCCCUAACUAAUGGGGCGGCCAAAACAACUGAAAAUUACGACCCAAACAACUGACAACCUGUAAGAUUACAAAGAAACAUUGCCUACAGAACUGCCAAACCAAGGUCACCCGAAGUAGUUUAGAGGAGGGAUAUGCAAGACCACGCCUCCAGGGAGGGAACGGUGUCAAAGAUGUAACCAUCGUCCGUCCAUUCAAGAAAAAAUGGACCAAGCUUUCACUUGGUGUAACCAAAGUGUUGUGGAUGACCUCGACAGUGCCCCCAACAGAGUGAGCUACACCCACGGAUGUAGCCACUGCCGGCACCGGAUAACACCGAGCAGAGCUUUCGCUCGCGACAUCCACAGCCAAGCACCGAAAACACAUCUUCGGAGACCUAAGGUUCGGGAAGAGGGCAGCCUGACAAAGGUGGCAGACCAACGCGAAGCCGUUAAUAGAAGAGCACAUGCAGGCGUAGAUGAAGCCCUCCCCCACCCAGCAACACUCGAUGACAACGAUCGGGGAUGACCCGUAGCGGGACGGCCGCCAUGGGAGGCGGCGGCACCCUGAAGGAACAUGGGGAGGACAAAGAUGCAUUCUCCCAACCCUACCAACGAAGAAGACGGCUAGCAGAGGCAUGGCCCCACGAGCGACCACCAUCGGCAACUAAGAGUGGGCGACGGAUUCGGACGGCGACCUUGGGGAUUGGGUACGGUGGGGUGAGGGAGGAGGAGGGAAGGGAAGGGAAGAAGAGAGAGGAGCGCGUGCGGCCUGCUGGCCAGAGGCAGGUGGCAGUGGCAACAACAGGAGGCAACGAAGGUGAGGGUAAGGCCACCCGAAGUGGACACUGCCGCCACCAUAGGCCGCCUUGCUCGGGAAGUAGCAAUGCGGAGGUGACAUCGUUGACAAGGAGCGACCAUCGGAGAAAGGAGCGACCUUUGCGACCUGGGCCAACCUUUGCGACCUGGGCCGACUGGGGGCAGUAGACUGGCGUCAGCUUGGCGUAGUCAUUCCCGGCUGCGGCGUCUUCGGCGUGUCGUCAUUGUAGCUACGCCGGCACGGUGUCCUCGUCCUCACGGCCGUUGUUGUCGUUGGCAGCGCCCCGGCGUGCGGCCGCCGCAGACCACGUUGCCGCCGCCACAGACCACGCUGCCGCCGCUGUAUGCCGCUGCCCACUGCGGACGCUGACGGCCGUGUGAUUACACCACCGCAAUCGCCCAGGCCCGGUACCCCGCCGCCGAGGCCCCAAGACCCCGUACCCGCAGGGGCGCCGCAGCUGGGCGCGCGGGCCGUCGGACACCGCCCAACGCUGCCGCCCGUCGCGCUCGCCACCGACGACGCCGGUGCCGGCAACCUCCAAACACGGCACCGGGAGACCGCGCCACCGGGCAGGAGCCAGUAGAUGCUCAGCACAGCGAGCCUGUCGGUGAGGGUGGCGGCCAGCGCCAGCGGCCGCCGCAGCCGCUGCUCCAUGCGCCAGAUCCAGAAAUUUGGGGCUUGAUUUCGUUCCUCAUAGUCAUACCCAGUGUCACAUUGUCGCGCGCUGUGUGUGGGAACUGGGAACCCUGCUCGAGAUACAUAGCUGCAAAUAGUAUUUCCUGAGGAUUGAAAAGACUGAGAAAGGAAUCAUAGGUAUCUUUCAAUCUUUGCGUUCUAAUGGAAUCCCUGGUUCUCAAAAGCAUCAGCAGAAUGCUGCUGAGUAAAACUGAGGAAAACGAAGGAGGGGUUACACAAAAAAAUGGACUGCUUUUUCUCAUCAAAGAAACAAAGCAAAAGCUGAUUGCAUAACUCCUCACGGUUCUGCUGGGGUGGCCUCGCCGUGGCUAGUUCUUUUUCGAGAGUGAAUUCCCUCGGUGCCAUAAAAAUUAACAUCAAUCCCUUCAGUGUCAUAGAUUUUUACGAAUUUUCUUCGGUGCCAUCGAAAUUUUGAUUUAUGCACUCAGUAUCAUUCCGUCUAUCUUCCCAUCCAUAUGCUGCUAAGUGUGAUUGGAAAAGAUGAUCUUACCCCUCCUAAGUGAGGCCCCACCUGUCGGUGCUCCUCUCAAUAUCCUGUCUUUCUUCUCUUUCUCUUCUGCCCGGUGCUCCUCCACGCCGCUCCAUCCUCCGGCCUGCCAUGGAGCUCCUCACCACCGGCACCUCCGUCCCGCCCCUGAGGUCGCGCCACCUCGAAGCUACUCCGCCCGGCCCGCAGCCGCCUCCCCGCUACGCCGGCCGCUGCAUCCACACCGCUCCUGCACGGGCAUAUUCGCUCGCGCCACGCCAGCCAGCCGCCCCCAUGCCGCGCACUGCAAGCCGCCAUCGUCCGCCCCUGGCUCGGCUCGGCUUGGCUGGCGGGAAGGCGGGGCGCAAUACGGCGCUCAGGCCGGGAUGGCUCGGGCGGCCGGGGACAGGUCGGCGCCAUGGGCGCCAUGGCCGGCACUCGGGCAGGUGGAGGGCGGGGCUGUGGCGUGGGGAAAGGGCGCAGGUGGUGGGGGAGAGCUGCUGCGCGCGUUCGGAGUGCGGCUCAGGGGAGGGGCCGGGGAGAGGAUGGGGGGCGGCCGCAGGUCGAGCAGCUCCAGGGGCCGGUUGCCAUGGCCAGAAUGGCCGGGAUUCGAUGUGGGGCGCGUGGGUGCUGGCCGGCGGCCAAGGUAGGCGGCUGGGGGAGGAAGGCAGGGGCUCGCACAGCUGCGGGAAAGGGGGAAAGGGUGGUCGCCGGGGUUGGGCUGGGCAGAUAGGCGGCGGUAGCGUUUAGGCCGAUCGGCCAUGGCCGCGAGGAGGAGGCCGGGCGGCGCGUCGCUGCAGCGCGCGAGGCGCACGAGGCAGGGCCGGGGACGGGCAGGGGCGCACGGGGAGCCGAGAGUGGGGUGCGCUCAAACGCGAGGAAGGGGGAGGGGAUGGCGCAGAUGGCUCACCAUGGCUGGAUGGGGAAGAAAGAUGGGGGAUACAUCAAAAUUUCAAUGGCGCUGAGGGAAGUUCGCAGAAAUCUGUGGCACUGAGAGGAUUGACGUUAAUUUUUUAACACGGAGGGAAUUCACUCUUCUUUUUCUCAUCAAAGAAACGCAAAGUUGAUAUGAGACCCUCACCAUGUCACUAAUAUGGAAGGAUGGCAAUGGGGUAGGUUCGGAUUGGGUGGAGUGUCUGGGCACCCAAAACCGAAACCUGAAUCCGCCCCAAACACCGAUUCGGGUGAAAAUCCAUCCCGAAACCGAAACCCGCGGAUCCCCGAAACCUGCGAACUGGAGGCGCCGGGUGAAGUGGCGGAGGAGCCGGCGGGCAGCGGGUGGCGGAGGAGCGGGUGGUGGGGCGGAGCGAGCGGCGGAGGAGCGGGCGGUGGGGCGGAGCGAGCGGCGGAGGAGUGGGCUACGGGGCGGAGGAGCAGGAGGCGGGCGCGGCUGGUCGCGGGAGGGCGGGGUGCCUAGGUGCGGGACGACACGACGGAGUGAAGGAUUUCAGGCUUAUAUACCUAGGAUAACCCUAGGUGGACUUCUAGUGGGCUGAAUGUUUCGGGGUCCGAUGGAGCUUCACGGGAGAGUUUAAGAAUCACCCCAAACCCAUAGUAUUUGUAUCCGAAUCCGCAAAUCCGUGGACGAAAACUAGAAACAAAAACCGAACCCGCGGACCUGAAACCCGCAUCCUUACUAAUCUGUUCGCACUCCCACCACUGGAUGGUUCAUGACUCCACCAUGUCAACAACAUUAAAUGGUAUUGUACAGACACUUGCAGUAAGCUGAGUAUAGUAAAAAACCCAUGUUUGGAUCAGAUUCUUUGGAAGGUCUUGACACAAUUCCAUGAUUUAGACAAAUGAGCAGGUUCCAUGCCAAGUAAUGGACAAGUUGGACUGGUUAACUAAAUUCAUCCGAGAAGAAGAAUGUGGUAAUUCUCACAGGAACCAAAUAGAAUUUUAGAAAGAAAUAAUUCCCUAGUCCUCCAUUUGUCGCAUUGUCUGUCACAAUCAGUCAUUCAUGUGAAGUUGCCUAUACAGAAUAGCAGAAAAGCACCCAAAAUAAAAAAAAAAUAUCGAUGGCACAAACACAACCUUACAACUAUAGGAGUAUUCACCAGUCUAUAUAAGCGAACAUUCCAAAGGGAAUCCAGUAUACGAUACAGAAUGAAUCUGAUAGUUAUGCUAAGGUUCAAAAAUCAAAAUCACAUGGUAACAAGAAGUUCCUAAAUAUUUUGAAAUGACUGAAACAUGUGAAUUUCAACAUUUUCAACACACGCAGAAAUUUCCUUUACCAAAGCUGAAGGGUUCUGAAAAGAAUUCAUUUCCAUGAUCUAUCAACCAAAGCAUAUAUGGAUUCUGGACAAGCAGAAUUGUUUACUGAAAUUUCCUUUACCAAAGCUGAAGGGUUCUGAAAAGAAUUCAUUUCCAUGAUCUAUCAACCAAAGCAUAUAUGGAUUCUGGACAAGCAGAAUUGUUUACUGGCAGUUUUCCGGAGCAAUAUAAGGCCUUGUUUAGUUGGGGAAUUUGGGAGGUGCCAAAUUACUGUUACAGCACUGUAGCACACUGUAGCGUUUCGUUUGUAUUUGUGAAUUAUUGUCCAAAUAUUGACUAAUUAGGCUCAAAAGAUUCGUCUCGCAAAAUACAACAAAACUGUGCAAUUAGUUUUUAAUUUCAUCUACAUUUAGUACUCCAUGCAUGUACCGCAAGUUUGAUGUGAUGGGGAAUCUUCUUUUUGCAUAGUGUCAAAGUUGGGAGUUGGGAGUAACUAAACAUGGCCUAAACCUAAAUUUAUAAAUCAGGGAUCCUCUGACCAAUAAAACAGAUAGAAAAUACUAAAGGAAUUCAAUGGUAAUUAUCAAGUACAUAGGAAUUUAUAGAUAAUUCCAAAAAAAAUAACCUACAUGAGCAGAUUUUAGUAUUCAGAUUGAAACAUACUCGAAUAAGACUUAUAGACACUAUGUAAUGUAAUAUUCAUUAGUGAUUGGAUCCUAAAUCUAGAAAAAUUCUUGCCUCGCAUGACAAUGGCGCAAUAUCUACAAGAAGAAAUUGUUAUAGCUCUUAAACAUGUAAUAUCAAGCAUAGCAACUGUGCCAACUGGAACACCCUCUCCAUCAAGCUAAUGUGCCUAGCACACUCAUGCUCAGUAUAGCAUGAGCAAGGAUCAAGAAGCAAAAGCAAAUCCAAGAGGAACUACCAACAUCUAUAGAAAAAAGAGUUGAUCGAUUCGUCAGUUCAUUAGGAGUUCCAGAGCACUAAACUAAAAUCAGUUUGAUAUACAGCAAAGACAAAGGUAAAAUCAUAAAAGCAUUAUAUGCCACUUACCACAGUAUAGCACCCUCCUGCUAGUAUUAACAUUUUCUCUUAACAAUCAAUAUAACAAAAAUGCUGAACACAGUCAGUAAUAGAUUUGUCAGUUCAAUUACUUUGGAUCAUAGAGUACCAACAUUCAAUUAAUUCGUCACAUCUAAAAAAGGACUGCUUUUCUCAUCAAAGAAACAAAGCAAAAGCUGGCCGCAUGACUCAUACUUCAUGGUUCUGCCACAGCAGAGCCUCACCGUGGCUUGGUACUUCUCCCAUCAAAGAAACAAAGCAAAGCUGAUUUGAGACCCUCAUCACCAUGUCACCAAUCUGUUCUCACUCCCAGCACUGGAUGGUUCAUGACUCCACCACCAUGUCAAUGACAUUAAGAAUUUACCCCCAGAAAUAUCUGUGGCAAAUGAUUGAAAGCUUUCAGGUUUUUUCUAAAACCUGUGUAAGUUUGUCUUGGGUUCUAUACCUUUUUCCUUCUUAAUAUAUUGAUACGCAGCUCUCCUGCAUGUUAGAAUUUUUUUUUUUUUACCUUGCCCCCCAGCCCACACCCACCCACCCACAAAAAGCAAAAGCGUGACAUAUUAUAUGAAUGGUUCUUAUAAAGUAGAAUGGGCAAAACAAAUGUUGCCAUAUAGAUGCUUGCAGCACGCUGUAAAAUUAGAGUAGAAAACUAGGUUUGGGUCAGAUAUUCUGAAAUGAAUUUGACAAAUGACCAGGCUCCAUGUCAAUAGGCUAGUAAUGUGCAAGUUGGACUGAUUAACUUAACUCAUCCGAAAAUAAAUAUGGUAAUCAUGUCAGCAUGCACUUCGAAUAGAGUGAAACACCAUGUUAAGUUCACAUAUCCAUGGACAAGUCUUAAGCUGCUGACAGACACAGUUGAAGGACUGAAAACGAUUAGACACCUGAGUUAGUUCUCAUAGGAACCAAAUAGAAUUUUUAGAAAGAGAUAAUUCCUUGUUCUCUAUUUGUCUCAUUGUCUGUCAUACUCACAAUCAUCCAUGUUAAGUUGCCUAUACAGAAUAACAGAAGAGCACCCGAAAUUAAAAGUAUAGAUGGCACCAACACAGCCUUACAACUAGAGUGUUAAGCAGUUACAUAAGCAGAGACCGAUAAACCUAUGAAAUUGAUAUGGAAUCCAUCAUACAAUACAGAACAAAUCUGAUCGCCAUGCUAAGGUUCAAAAACCACAACCACAUGGUACCAAAAAGUUCCUAAAUAUAUUUUAGAAUAAUUGAAACAAGUGAAUUUUGUCAUUUUUACACAAGCAGGAAUUCCCUUUUGCAAAGCCAAAGGGUUCAGAAAUGAAUUCAUUUCCGACCUAUCAACCAAAGCAUAUCUGGGCAAGUACUAUGCAUCACAGAAUUGAUUGCUGGCAGCUUCCAGUGCAAUAUAAACCUAAAUAAAUAGAUACCAGAUAAAAAAAAACUCGACCUGCGGGGGGUAAGAUAGCCCCCGGGUUUUUUGCUAAGAAGGCCUUCUCAGGCAGGCCGAGAAAACCCCCGAACCUCUGCCCCACCCUUACACAAGGGCCCGUAACCCUUGUGAGACUACCACUGGGCUGGCGAUUACUGCAACUACCCCAGGUAGGAGGGCCCAAACCAACCACAGCUACGACCUGGGCCGGGCCUUAAUUCAGCUAGAGACCCUUUCACAUAGAUACCAGAUAUUCAAUGACCAAUAGAACACAACAUCAUAGAAGAGAGCAAUAAGCUAACUCAGAGCUAGAAAAUGAUAAGGGAAUUAGCUGGUAAUUAUCAAGUACAUAGGAACUUUCAGAUGAUUCCAAGAAUGGCCUACAGGAGCAGAUUUUGAGACACGACAUAAUGUAAUAUUCAUUUGCGUCAGAUAAGAAAUCAAGAAAAACCUUGCCUUCCAUGAUAAAGUUGCAAUCUAGAACAGAAUAUUGUUAUAGGUCCAAGAUAUUUAAUAUCAAAAAUAGUAACUGUGCCAACUUCACCAAUCUAAUGUGCCUAGUACACCCAUGCUCGUAUAGGCUGACCAAGGAUCAAGAAGCACAUGCAAAUAAAUCCAAGAGGAAUUGCCAACGUCUAUAAUAAGUGUUGAUGUAUCCACCAGUUCAUUAGAAGCUCCAUAGCACAGAACUAUAAUCAGUUUGGCAUAUAGCAAACACAGAGGUAAAAUCAUAAAGACAUGAUAUGUCAACUUUGCUCUGCGCUGAGUAAAUGAUUUUAGAAGACAAUUACAUAAAUGGCCCCUAUCCAAUUAACAGAAACCAGCAUGCCAAUAACAGUUACAUAAAAAAUAUGCAGAGUUUUCUUAUUUACUGACUUGCCUUCUGUUGUUGUAUAUCUUGAAAGAAUACCCACCACCAAUGUCGUAGCAGCAAUGAAGGAAAUCAAGAAACACCUGAAGAGUAGACUUACAAGUAGAUGCAGCUAAAUUUCAGAACAGAGCUGUUAUGCUGAUAACUUUCGACCAUCCUUAUUCAAUUUGCAUAACUAUCAGCAGACAUGUUGGCUUCUUACUUUACUUUGAAAAAGUAGGCCCCUCUGAGCCAUGAUCAAGCUUAUUCGAUCAUCAAACAGAUUUAACUACUUUCCAUCAUAUACCACAGUACCACACUCCUAGCAGUAACAUUUUGUCUUAAAAGUCAUCAAUAGAACAAAAUUCUGAACACAAUCAGUAACAGAUAUGUCAUUUUAAUCACUUUGGAUCACAAAGUACAACAUUCAAACAAUUCGUCACAUCUGAAAAAAAAAUCGAUGCUGUAGAGGAGAGGGGAGAAGCACACCGCAUACAAGUAAACAAAGAGCAACUUACUUGUAAAGUUGCAAUCUCUUACACCCUCGACGGCCUCCUCUCUCAAAGACUAGAUAGUAUACAGAUGCCUCAGUCGCCGCUGGGAGCGCGUUAUUCUGUAACCAAGAGCUCUACUCGUCUCCGACGAUCUCGAACUCUCGCUCGCGGAGGUGGGCGAUGAACCGUACGGGCUUGUCCUGGCCGUCCAGAUUGAGCUCGAACUCCACCUUGAAGGGGAGAUUAGCCGUGACCCGCUUGCCCUUCCACACGCCGACGUACUGCUUGACUACGCCCUCCAUGCCGCGCAGGUCCAGUCCCGGCGCCUUGGCAACGUGGUGGACGCGGACAGGCGCCGUGACGCGCACGCGCUUCCCGACCUUGGGCGCGGCCGCGGCCUGCUCGGCGGCCACGUCAGGCGACGAGAACACGUCGCUGCCGACGGCCACCCGGGGCGCGAUGUGGAGGCGCGCGCGCCACCGCGGCGGCGUGGGGACGAGGCGGCAGCGGGCGGGCGUGGAGGCCGGAGGGAGGAAGCGGCGGCGGGGGAGGAGGGUAGCUGACGAUGUGGAGGUGGAGGGGGAUGCCACGGCGCUGGCGGUGGCCGCCGUGGUUGGCAUCGGGGACGGGGAGGUUGGUAGGCGAGUGGGGAAUUUCAUCGAUCAGGCGGUGUGCACGUGAUGGAAGCAGAGAUGCGGGGGAGGAAAGCGAAUGGCGUGAAAUCCCAGCGAAAUGGCUUUUGUUUCCUCCCGGAAAGAAGGGCUGCCGACCCACGGGCAUCCCAAGGGCCGAGACCAGCCAACUUUGGCACUUGGGAUCUGUCUGCGUAUAUUUUCCCUUCAAUGCACAAUCACGUACUUCCUCUUUCUUAAAAUACAUGACAUGUUGACUUUUUCUUUUGAAAUUUUGAUUAAUAAUAUUUAUUUAAUUAAUUAGUUAAAUAACUUAAAAUGAGUACCAUCUAUAUCAUCAAAAGUGCUUUAAUUUUAAUUUGUAGAUCCAUUUAUUUGCAUAAUCAUCUGUAAAAAAAGAUGAAAAUCCAAAUGAACUAAAAAAAGCCAAUAGUAUCAUAUAUUUAAAAGCGGAGAUAGUACAUUGAAAACUGAAACACAUGUUUUGUGGCAACAACUUUUAAUAGCUAAAUUUAACUUGAUGGACCAUAAAAUUUUCUUCGAGCAUUUCAGCUUCUUUGUUGUUUCAGUAAACAAAAUGACUGAAUGAGAAUUUUAGUAGAACACAAGUACCUGAUUUUUUUCAUUGUUUUAUUAUCAUUUCUUGAAGUAAGAGCAAUUUCAUUCUUCUCUUUGACCGGCUGUUCUAUCUCCAAAUGGGUGCCAUAUAAAUCUGAGAAACGUUUAGUUCGAAUAUAGUUGGCUUAAGGCUAUUAGGGAUAGACUAAACCCCCAAGACAAACCAUCACAGUCUUUCUCUUAAACUUGGUUGGAUCUACCGUUUUAUCACUACCAGGAUUCGCUAAACACGUUUUAGACCCUAACAACUAAAUCCUUGUUUGUCUACGACAGGAUAAAGCCAGCAUAACAAGAAAAUAGUUUUGCUAAUAGCAACAUUCACCUAAACACUAAACGGUAAUCAUUCGGUCACCCUUUGAGUAGGGCGUUGUGUACACAGGCUACACGUCUUCUAAGAUUGCAAUAAAAUUCAUACUUAUCCAAAUAAAAAUUAGAAAUUUUGAUAUUUCAUCAUCCAAAUAUAAAAAAUUACUAAGCUUAAAAGUCAAAUUGACUAAAGAUCUAAUCAUAUGUUGGUGUUACUAAUUGACAGUUCUAAAAUCAAACAACAAAUGCCAUAUUGAUAUACAAUUAGUUGUAGUUCAUACUUUUCUAUUGCCUAGACGUUGUUUAAAAUGGUCUACUCGCCGUGUAAAAUUGUGUAAUCACCGUUUCGUGUACGUGUAUGACAUUUUUUUACCAUGUAAACGGUUGAACUGUGUAAUCACCGAUUAAGUCCUAAACUGCACUGUUGGCUAUCGAGUAACGUUUACACGGCGUGCAAACAGCACCACGAUCGUGUAGGCGAACACCGGCUAAUAGUCAAAAUACGAGUAUUAUGAAAAACUGCUCCUACUCGACUUUUGACAAAAUCAGUUUUCCGUGGGGCUUCUUCUUAGCAAACUAUACAAGCCGGAUGCCAACGUUACAACGUUGUAUGUUGGCUCAACCAAACAUUGGAUAAGCUGAAUGUUGUUUUUGCUUAGCGCAAGCCAAACAUGAUGGACUACUAAAAAAACCUACUUUUUGAAAAUGAAUUCCUAAUCCAAACAAGGCCUGUGGAGCAGAUAUUUGUUUGGGCCUGAAUCUAUUGACAGCCCAGUCCUUCCCAUCUUAAACUUGUUUGGGUACAGCCCAUGAUUCACUCGGCAAACUCGCCAGCGGCCACACACAGCCGGGCGGGCAGGGAGAUGCAAGAACUCCAGUCUCCAGUCAAGCCUACACCCAGUUUAAAUUCGUAAUGGGCCGCCUAGCCUACAAACAACAUCGACUGAGGUCUCUCUCUCUCUCUCUCUCUCUCUCUCUCUCUCUCUCUCUCUCUCUCUCUCUCUCUCUCUCCCUCCCUCCCUCCCUCCCUCUCUCCCUCUCCCUCUCUCUCUCUCUCACAAAAUCUGAGAUUCUGAUGUCCCUUUUUGACUCUCCAGAAUAUGCAGGAGGUUUGCUGAUGCUGAGCACUGAGCUUAAAUUCGUUUCCACUAUUAGAUCUUGUAAUACGGUUGCACAUGUUUGUUCGAAGCCAAAAUAUGUGGUAGAUUGAAAAGGGCCAAGUGGAUGCCUUUUGGCCUAGAUAUCCAUUGUUUGAAGAUGCUUGAUCUAAAGAAAAGCUUCUUUUGGAUGUUAAAACGGCAAGGGCUGCCAAAUGCCUUGCCUUGUAUGUUAUGCAUGCGCUAAAAUUAUAUUCAUGCUCGUCUAGCUUAUCAAGAGUUAUCAUCAAACCACACCUCACCACCGAAAGUCGAUCCAGUGCCACGAGCUUCAGUAUUUAUCUGUUACACAAUGGUGAACCCUAAACCAAAAUCUUGCGCACAUCGGACCUUCCGCCAAGGAUUUCGUCAGGGUUGGAGAAGAAGAGCCAAGCAUGAAUCAACAAAGAAUGAGUGUGGUAAAAUAUUCUGACACUGAAGGGGAGAUAAAAAUGCCGGUCAAGACUUAGCUUUUCCCCUAGUUUUUGCUUCGCGGCUAUGAUGUCUCAUGGAGUUCUGUGGAGGCCGAAGAAAGGUCAAACAGGCGUCCAUGCUCAUGCUGGAACGAACUGCUCGAUCAUAUAAAAGGGUAAUUUGACGUUUACAUUGCCUUAAUAAAAAUUUUACAAUCAUAAUUCGCGUCUUUAUGGGACAAGAGCAUUGAGAUAAUUAAGUUCAAGAAGGCCGGAAUAUCCCCUCUACAUGUAAGAAGGUUAAGAACUAUGAACAUCGUUACAGCAAUCACAAAACGUGCAUGCACGCACACACUUGAUGCCUGACAUUUCCAAAGCAAUGCAUGGUCAAGGUACAUGAAAAUAAAUCAGAGCACAACAUACACACACAUAUUAAGCUGCUAAACCCAUUUUUACUAACACUAAGAAUCCGCAGCUGAUGAAUCAGUGACCGAACCCAUCUCGCAUGAAACAGUAACAUAAUGUUGCAAACAAACUGAAGAACACUUCCAAGAGUCUAAGAAAUAUCUAAAACACAUGAGUCAUCUGUAGAGGAUGCAUGCUGUUGCACAUCAUGGGAGAGAGAAAUUGACAGGUAGCCCUAGCAGCUGACCUAAAAAUUGCAGCCUAGAGCAGGGUUUCCUGGUGGGUUUCAGAAGAAGUGUUUGAGGAAGAAAAGGCAUGGGUGAAUGGUUCAUGAAUGCUGCUGUGAAAUGAAUCUGUGUGAUGCCGCAAGUUGUCUUUAAAACCUGAACCUGCGUGCAUCUCUAUCCUAGCUAGUGUUAUUACUGCCGUGCAGAUGAAACAAUGGGAUCAGCAAGAUAUCAGGGUGUGCUGUUUAGUCCAUGAAGGAAGGAGAAUGGGGAGACUGCGAGUGAAGUGGGGAAGAAGAAGAAGCAGGUGUUACCGGGACGUGAUCGCAUGACAUGUCCGUCCCGGCUGCCGCUGCCGCUGUGGUUUCUUGUGCGGUGGAGUGCUCCAUGGUGGCCUCAUCGCCGGCGAAGCGACCAUGGAGAAAGAGGCCUGGGUUGCUGUCCAUGUCGUAGUCCCAGAAGGAACUUCCUGGCCCCCACGCGUUGAACCAAGCCUCGUCGGCCGGACCCCACUCGCUGCCAUGAGCCACCGGCGCGUGAAUCAUUUCACCCGAGACUGGCAUGGUUUUAGAGCUGACAUCUUGCUGCCACGAUGUCGCCACCGGAGGCUGUGGCUGCUUGUCCAACGAUCCUUCUGCGUGCGGCGGUGGCGUUUGUUGUGUGCUUGCCUCGUCCGGAGUCUGUGGAGGCGACGAGGAGGAGGAGGAGCCAGACCCCGCGGCAGUGGUCGGGGCGGCUGCGGAGGUGGCGCUGGUGCGGCCGCUGCCCCCGGCGUGGCCCUUGCCGAAGAACCGGUCCGGGAAGUUGAGCCGCGCGUUCUCGCCGCGGAGCUUGAAGGCCUCGCGGUCGUACGCCAUGGCGGCGUCCUCGGCGGAGUCGAACGUGCCGAGCCAGAGCCGCGUGCGGUUCCGCGGCAGCCGGAUCUCGGCCACCCACUUCCCCCAGUGCCGCUGCCGCACGCCGCGGUACAGCUUCUGCGGCGGCGGCGGGGCCCGCACCAGGUGCUGGUACAGCGACGGCAGCACGGCCGCGGCCUGGCCGCCGCGCGGGCUCAGGUUCAGCGCCUCGCUCCAGUACCGCAGCAGAUGCUGCUGCUGGUGCUGCGGCGAGCCAUCCGGCAAAAAGAACUGCGCCUGGAACUGCGGCGGCGCGCCGAACGAUAUCAUCUGCUGACGCUGCAACGGCGCCUGCUGCGGCGACGCCGGUUGCGACGCGCUGGAGUGCUGCCACGGCGGGAGCUGCAGCCGCGGGGCCCCGCCCACCGGCGGCGCCGAGGGCUCGUACGCGAACGGGAAGAUGCGCCGUGCGGAGGGCGGCGACGACUCCGCCGGCGUCGGCGAGGCGGCGCUGGCGCGAGGGGAAGGCGGGGCCGACGACGAAGCCGUCGUCGAGAGCGACGACGCGGACCGCUGGAAGCGGUCCGGCGCCCGCCCGAUCUUCUUGUGCGGGCGCAGCGACGCCGCCGACGCGUCCUCCAUGACCGGCGCCAGCUGCCGCCGCGGCUGUAUGGGCGUGACGCCGCCUUUGCCCUUCCACCUCCUGCCCCCACGACCGCCCCCCGCGCCACCGCCGCCGCCGCUCUCGCCGCUAGCGCUCGACGCAUCCAUGCCGAGGGACCUCGAUGAAGCAGGUAGCUAGCGCGCCGAUGCGAAGACGUGCGCGCGCGACCGAACGAAAGCCCCAGCAAGUGCAGCGCGCCCCGGCGGCGCUACAGCGAUAUAUAGACGACAAGAACCUCGUAAACAAACUGAUCCUGAGACCAACUUGCGGCCCAGACGGACCAACGAACUCCCGGUGAAAUGAUCACUUCGCGGGGUGGCGCGACCGACCGGUGCGGGCUGGCGAGCUGGCGUGCGCGGUGGCGUUUGGUUCCGGAGGUUCCAGACGAGUGGUGACCAACCGGAAAAGUGAGCAUUAGUCCCAGUUGGAGAGACACAUAUGUCUUGAAAAUUCAACCGGAACUGAUCUUUCAAGACUAAAGACCCUCCUCUUUAGUCCGGGUAUUUUACCCAGACUAAAGACCUACUUUACCGGGACUAAAAAGGUUCCAAAAAAUAAUUAAAAAAAUAGGCCACCCAUGCCGUCUUGCCUACUCCCGCCGCUACCCCUUGCAGCUCCAUCUCGACCACCGUCUCCUCGUGCCGGCUCGCCCGCCGGAGGCCGGCCCGCGCCGCUCGUGCCCCCCGCCGCUCCGCCUGGAAGAAAGGGAGAGGAGGAGAAGAGAAGAUAAGAAAGAAGAGAAAGAGCGCUACCUGCACGAGACAAGGGAAAAAGGGAGAGGAAAGAAAAUAAGGUGGAGAGAGAGGGAGGGCCAUGUGAAAAAAGAGUGGAUAUAGUACCGAUUGUUGGUUUCAACCAGGACUAAAUCUUUAGUCCCGGUUGGAAACACCAAUUGAGACUAAAUGAAUGGUUUGUUACUAACCGGGACUAAAUGCCCCACCAAAUUUCCUUGUUGUUCCCAACCAUUACAAUCGGGAUUAAAGGGAGCUCUUUAGUCUUUAGUCUCGUUAGUCUUCAGUCCCGGUUGAUAUUACCGACCGAAAUUAGAAGUCCCAGCCGUCAGAGCUGGUUUUUAAACUUAGGACUAAAGCUUCUUUAAUCUUGGGUUAAAAAUAUCCAGAGUAAAAACACGGUGCGAGACGUUUGGCUUAGUCGAGGGGAUUCAUCCCUCACCUCGGCCAGAACCGACUUUGCCGCGAGCCAGGAAGGAAAAUGAUCUCAAGGUCGGUGGUCGGGCUCCACCUCGCAUUGACUUGUCGCGGACCCUCCGAUGCCGACACGUCACGGCCGCACGGAUCUUGACGCGACGGUCGGGAUCGCGACAUGGUGUUUUCUGUUGCUGUCACCGCGGCGUGGACGGCACUGAUCGUGUGCUAGAUUGACCCCCCUCGGUUGCUUUCCUUGUACUCAAAUCUUCCCCAGCCACUUUGGUGCUUAUAUUCCCCGGAAAGGUAGUAGCGUGACUCGAUUAUAAAUUUGAGUUUCGGCAGUUUCAAACCAAUCCCAUCACGCCCGCAAUAAUUGCCAUGAUGCUUCCAAGUUCCAGUAGACCGUUUGGCAAAGUUGUUAGGGCCAGUUUGGUAGGGCUCCGGCUCCUCUGAAAGUGGCUCCGGCUCUGACGCCUCUAGUGGAGUGGCUUCUCCGGCUCUGGCUCCUCCUUUUGAAAAAACGUUUAGCAAAACGGCUCUUCCUGUGGGCCCUCCACAAGGAAGAGA
rnacentral:lncRNA from 1 species